UUCUGUAAAGAAAUAUCCUCACCCACUGCUGAGAACUUCACUUGGCUAUCAAUUACAGAUAUAUAAAGCCUGUUACCUAGAAACAAAAAAUUAGGUCAGCCAGCUAAAACAUAUUUAUAAACCAACAUUGGAGAUAGUACUCCAUUUAUAAACAAAAUUACAAGACUCAAAACCAAGUCGACUCAGCAAAAUCAUAACCGAUUACAUUCAUCCCACUCAGCUCCUCCACUCCCAUCAAUAUAUCCAACAUUCCCUUCAUAUUUACAAAAGGUAAGUGGUCCUAUAUAUCCCACUCAAGAAUGCAUAAGUUUCUUCAAUCUUAAGUAUCUAAAGUUUUCCUCUACGUUUAUAGAAACUUCGGAAGCAUCUCCCUAUAGUUCUUCAAGUACACGACAUAGAUAUAUGAAUGUUUAUGUGUUAUGCCAAAACAACACAUGACACCCAUUUGUCUAGUAUGCACCCAGAGAACAUGAGGAGCAGCUGCUGAAAAACCCAUUUUUACGUGGGAAAAAAAUUUCAGGCACUAGCUGCCAUAGAAAUCUAUGCAUUACCAAACUGUCCAAGCCUAGAUAUUUCAAGAAUUAUUAAUAGACAUAAGAUCCUCACUAUCAUCCAAAAGAUGACACUAAUAAAACAUGUGUCUAUUAAUAAUUUCUUAAAGGAGUUUAAGCUUUCAAUGCAUGUAUCAAAAGUUUAAAAUUGAAUCUGAAACUUGAAUAACACAUAAAAAUCAUAAAUCUCUUCAAUUUAUUCCUAAUAAAAUGUAGCAUUUUUUCACAUUUCAUUUCUUAAGCAAAACCAUAAAAAAUUACAAACAAUAAAUACAUUUUCUAGCACUGAUGCACAUUAUGUUUACUGAGCAAUAAGUUUUAAGUCAUUCAUAUUAAAAUACUUCUUCCUAUUCUAUCAACAAAUAACUAGUACGUACACACAAUUAAUAAAUUAAAUGUAACCUGGUUGUGAAUCUUGCAAAGUCUUCCUAUUUUUUUUUUUUUUUUUUGGUGGGGGGGGGGGGGGAGGGGGGAGGGGGUGGUUAUGCUCAUUUGUGUGUUGUUAACAGAAAUUGAUCCAAAGCCUCAGUUUUAAUUAGCUUCAUUAUAGCCAAUGAUUAGGUGUUUAAAAACCAAUGAAUAUUUUUUAUAAGAAAUCAACAAUAUUGUUGAAAGAAAAACCAAAUAAAAAUAAUAAAGCAAUGCAUAGAUUAAGGCUCUUUAUUAUCUAAUAACUAAUCAAACUAAGUUGUGGGUAAAGGAGAAUAUGUUUGUUUGGCCAAUAAUAAACUCAAGGAAUCACCAAUAAUCACCUAGUUACUAUUCCUUAUGCCAUGCAAUGUAAUGGCGUCGGUAAUGGCGACAAGGCAGGCAAUAACUAGCUAGCUAGUUAUGAUAGUUGCUUAACUUAACCUACUGGAAAUCUGAAGACCAAAAUGAAGAAACUUUGCCUAGAACUAGAAUAGGAAAACAUUCAUACCCAAAACCAAUAUACAUGAUUAAGAAACUUGAUUAUAUGUAUAUUUUUGUUUGCCACACCAAAUCCCACUAUUUCCAUACUCAUAAGCACAAAAAACCAUCGCAAAAAUGAAUGACCAUAUAAAAUAAAAUAGGUCGCAGGACAUUGAGAAUAGGACAAUAUGAUUUAUGUACUGUAAAAUAACUAUAUCUGCAGUCAACUAUAUUUCUGUUAGAACUCUAAAGUUUUCCAUUAAAUUUUUUUCCCUGUUAGGUAAACCACUUAACUGAAACACUUAAGCAAGAUUGACAAUCAUAGACAUAAAAGUAUUAAUAGGCUCAUUCAAGUGAAAUGAGCAUUAUUUCACAUAUCCUUUAGGCUUUUAAGUCAUUUAGAAGUCAUUCAUGUUAAACAAUUUCUUCAUAUACUUUCAAUAUAAUUAGUACAUACACAAUUAAUUAAUUAAAUAAAUCUGUUUCAGCUAGCACAGGAACUUAAGCAAUCAGAGCUAUUAGUUAUAGCUAGGACUUGAAUGAGGCACCUUUCAAAGUUCAAGAGGAGCAUCUGAACAGAAUGAAAGCAGUUUGUAGAAAUGGUAGUGAUGCUUUACAUCUACAUGCUCUUACACAAUAUGAACUUUCAUUUAUUCAAGAACAUAACACUAAUCCAAGCUCUUACUCUACAAGUCAAUUCAGUUUGUAGAUGCAAGCCAUUGUAAAAACUUUUGUGUUAUAAUUUCCGUAAAUGGAACAUGACAUUACUAAUAUAGAAUCAGCAAUGUUAUAUAACUUAUCAGACAAUAUAACAAGCACUUGGCGAGCAUAUAAGAUAAACUAAAACAAGUUAAUUAGAAAAUGAAACUAAAACCCAAGCUCCGCUAUUCAUUGUAGAAGCUUUAAACAUAAAAUUAAACUAAAUCUAAUGCCAAAACAUUAGAAUGGAUGUUGGAAUUAAAGCUAAAUUCAAUAGUAAUCCAAAUGAAUCCAUUUGAACUUUGUAAACUCCGCAGAACAAAAUUAAUUUGAGUGAGCAAACUCACCAAUGGCACAAGAACAGAAGGGCUUCAACUUCUAGGAACAAAAAACAUUGCCGGUGGGACAAAAAUUGACAUUAAUGGCUACAAUACGAAUUAAAGAGAUCAAAACCUAUAAUUACAAGCUAAGAAAGAGAGGAAACUCAUAAUCACAAGCUUACCUGAAACGAAGAGAGAGAAUAAGAUGAAGAAGAAGAUCGCUGCCGUUUUACGCCAUUCUCCGGCUACCAGUAAGGUUUAGGAUGCUGGCCAGGCACGAGAGAGAAUUUGGGACUUUGGUCUUCAAAAUAUUGACUCCAGCAAAUAGUUUUCUAUUUAGAAACAAAUUUAUAACUCUACCGUCACUCUCUACCGUCACGUGGUUAGUAACAUAAGUGAGAGCAGUCUAGCCGUCACAUAAACGGUCACAAAAGCAACUGGCUGUUACAAGUUUAGGAAUGGCAGAUAUUGCCGCGGGGACAUGACCCUCGAGAUUUUCCCAAUUCAGGUGGGUACAUAAUUUUUUACUUAAUUUUUUAUUUGAAAAGGAGACGGAGAUAGUUUUUUUACCUAAUUUCUUAUUCAGAGAAAGAAUGGGGGAUCGGCAGAAUCCCUAUUCUCUUCUAAUUUUUUGAUUUAAUUUUAUUUUUUAAAAUUAUUUGUAAAUAAAUAAUAAAAUAUAAAUAAUAAAAUAUUAAAUAUUAGUAUAAAUAAAAAAAUAAAAUAAUUAUAUUAUUAAAAUUUAGGCCUAAUUGACUACAUUAAUAUUUGGAUGAGAAAGUUAUGCUUAGGAUGAAAGAUUUUAAUAUUUUGAGUUGGUGUAAAAUAAAUGUCUAUAGAUAUCCUAUACUGGCAUGAAUUGCUAGAGAUAUUUUGGCAAUUCUAAUUACAAAUGUUGCUUCUGAAUUAGCUUUUAGCACCAGUGGUAGAGUACCGUAACACGCUUUAUUCAAGCACAUUGGAGGCUUUAAUAUGUUGUCAAAGUUGACUACAAGCUUACAAUGACAGUAUGAGUUUAUUUUACAUUGUAAUUAUAUUAUAUAAUUAUUAAUAUUUUCACUUAGAAUUUACAUUACUUAUAUUAUUUUUGUUGUUUUAAAUUUGAAAUCUGAGGCUAUCUCUCAAUUUGUCACAUUCCUCGAGGAAGAACAAGAAGAGUAGGAGACACAAGAGGUAAAUACUUUUAUUAGAAAUAUUGAUUAAGUAUCUAUAUUCAUUUCAUUUAUCUCAUUGUUGAUAUAAAAGUAAUUUCUUUUUUUUUAUUAUAUGAUUUUGAAGAUUGCCGAAGAUAAUUAUUAUGGUGAUUUAUACUUUGUAAUGUGACUUUUGUAAUAGAUUAAUGUUAAUGUAAGAUAUAUCGUCAAACUUUAUUUUUAUUUUUAUUUUUUAUUUUAAUAUGAUUAAAUUAAAAUUUAAAACUAAAAACGUAUCAGUUAUUCGAGAAUCGAGGACCUUUAAGGAUCCCCUAUUAUUAUUUGGGGAGGGGAGGGGGAUUCCCUAAAGCAAUUUUGUGAAUGGGAAGAGGCCAGGGAUAUAUACAGAAUAUCGAGAAUGGGUACGGGGAGGUCGGUCUCUUCCCCUCCCCUUCCCAUUGCCAUUCCUAACAAAGUUGGCAAUACAUGUACGGGCCGCUUUUGUAAAAUUGCUUUAAGGGUCGUUUGGGAUUGCUUUUGGGAAUAGCAUGCAAGAUAUAUAUAAAAAAUAAAAUCGUAGAAUAACUUUUACCUCUAAUUCGAUUUUUUCUUCUUUUUUGUAAAUUAUUAUGCAUUUAUAUUAAAGUCACUGUGUAUGAUUGGAUUAUUAAAAGUUAUUUGAGAGAAUAUGAAUUGACUUAAUAAGUUAUUACGUGAUUGAUGAUGAUCAGAGCUUACCCAACUGGCAUUAAGUGGAAAAGACUCGAGGAUGACUUUGCAGAGCGAUUUCCCACAACACCUUUUUGGCAGUCUUAAACUACUACAAACAGUGGAUGAUGACUCAACUUGUUUUCCACUUGAUUUACUUGAGAGAUUUCAUAAUCUGGAAACUCUCAUACGGCGUCGUUGUUCAUGCGAAGAGGUAUUUUCGAAUGGAGGAUACUUGAAGAAACAUGUGAGGAAGUUUACAAUGAUAAAACAUUUAGAUCUGCACAAAUUUAAUCAUCUGAAGCAAUUGUGGAAACAAGACUCCAAAUUGGACUCGUUUGUUCAAUGCCUUGAAAUUCUAAAUGUACAUUAUUGUCAAAAUCUGUUAAUUCUUUUGUCUUUGCUGCUAAUUCUUUAAUUCUUUUCGGUUCUUAAGUUUCUCUGUGAUUUGUUCUGGAUUGAUUCUUUUUGCAUCUUGGUUGUUUGAUUUGCGAUCUUGGCGAGUAUUUGGAGUUGAUCAUUAUCGAAUCUGUCACUCCAAACUCUACAGCGACUCUUAUCAAUGUUGGUAUAUGGAUGCAGAGCAAUGAGAGAGGUGGUGAUAAAUGACGAAGAUGGAGCAGCAAAUUUUGAAGAAGAGAUUGUUUUCACCAAAUUGAAGAUUUUGUAUCUGUAUGAUUUGGAUAGUCUCACAAGUUUCUGCUCUGCCAAUUACACCUUCAAAUUCCCAUCUUUGGAAGAUUUAUCUAUAAUUGGUUGUCCCAAGAUGAAGAUUUUCACUAAAGGAGAAUUAAACGCGCCUCUCAGAGUAAACUUCUACUAUGGAGAGAGAGACGAUCAACAGCCUUGGGCUAAUAAUGAUCUUAACACAAUCAUACAGCAUUUACAUGCUGAGAAGGUACGAAUAACUCACUAUCACCAGUGGAAAAAUUUUAUAAAAUUUCUCUUUUAAAUAAAAUGCACCAAAUAGAUCAGAUAUUUGUUAUAAAGUAAGUUUAUGAUCACGUACUGGCAGAUGGGAUACAUAUGUGCUUCAUUCUUGAAACUCUACCCUAUUUAAAAUUGAUAUUUUCACAAGAGUUAGAGAAUCCUAUUCAUUCAAUUAUCCAAAAUCAGAGAAUCUUAUUCAUUCAAUUACAAAAUUUCGUUAAUCGUUAGUUUUUAACUUCAUUACUGUAUGGAAGUCCUGUCAAAUUAAAUUGCUGUUGUUAAAUUUAUUAAAUCUCUUGCUUCCCUGCAAAUCUCUGCGUGCUUUACUUUUAAUUGAAACUAAUGAAUGAAAAUUUUACUUUCAGCUGUUGGAGGGGUCCUCAUCUUAUUCAAUGAUGUAUAUGUCCUAAUGGCAUUGGCCUUUUACUUUAAUUACAAGCGAGUUGUGAAUUUGAAAAACAAAGUCCCAGGUAAUUCAAUUUCAUUUCAUUUUAUUUUAUUUCUUGGCUUGUUUUAUCGCUUCAUCUAAAUUGUUUGGAAUACACCACUAGUUUAUUUUUACUUUUAGAAUGAGUUUUAAUGUUUUGUUCUGAGAUUUAUAUGCUGAUUUUAUAUCAUUAAAGGUCUUAGUGACUUAGUUUGGUCUUCACUUAUUUAUUUAUUUAUUUUUUUGACGUCGUGGCUUUAUAAUGUGUUUUUUUUUUUAAUUUUGAAUUUUAUAAUUCCUUGAAAAUGUCAUUGAAAGGGCCAGCACUUUUAUGUGGAAACCAUCUCAUCCUCCUUAUUUCAAACUAUUAAACAACCAAAUGUAUCCUAACAUAUAUGUUUAGAAUCAAUCUACUCAUUAAGAUAUAUGGUAAUGGUGUCAUCUGUUUGCUAUAGUUUGAUUACAAGAGAACUUUUCCAUUUGUUAGUUGCCAUCUUUGUUGAUCUGUUAAUUCAGUCUUCUUCUGUUUGUCCUGUUUAUCUGUUUAUUUCAACCUUUCUUUCAAAACUUAGAAGGUAUGGAAAGAGCAAGUACUUAGAAAUUGCGAGAAUUAUAUCAAAUCAUGCAUAUAUGCCCCUGCCUAUGAACUCUUAGGAACAAUCGAAUAUCUUUCCUUGAAUAGCAUAAAACAAAAUCUACAGAUCAUUAAACCAUCAAAAGUUAGCUAUGAACAACUAUAUAAAAAUCAUUUGUUUCUCACCUUUUCGUGAGUCUGAGAAGUUGUAAAUUCUACUGAGUUUCUCACCUUUUUUUUUUUUUGGACAAUUGGAGUUUUUAGUUUAUGAAACUUAAUGCCUAUAUUUCUCACAUUGUAAAAGUGUUUUGAAAAGAUGGUUUAUAUUGCACCAUAAAAAUGUGGUCUGAUAAACCAACAGGGGAGUAGUUUGAUCCAGUUACGUGAAAUGCAUGCAAAAUAAUAUUUUCUCUAUAGUUACUGAAGAGAAUUUUGGUCACUUUGGUGUGCAUUAUCUGGAAUAAAGUCGUUUUCCAGUUUCUUCAAAGUUUAUGUGCGGAGGACUUCCGGUUUCCAUCUCAAGUUCAAAUACUAAUAAAGAUGAGUAAAUUCAUCAUCCGUGUGUCUGCUCUUUCUAUGCAUUUUGACAUUUUUUAUUAAUGCGUCUUUAACAGUAGUUUUUUUUCACAGAAAAAAUUGUCAGUAUUUUGUGUCAAAUAAAAAAUUAAAAAAUAUAUAUGUAUUUUGGGCGAAACUUUUUGCGAAAAAUAAUGAGUGCCAACACUUUAUAACUUAAUAUGUAUUUUGGGCUUGGCGAAGUUACGGUUCAUGUAACUAAUCAAUUUAAUCAUUACCGGAUAAAAUUGAAUACACCAGUAGUGUUUUUCCACGGAGAUAUUGCCAAAUUUUGUGUCAAAUAAAGAAUAAAAACCAUAAAUACCAGUAGUGUCCGAUUUUGAAAGCAAAGCAGCAUACAUAUUAACUACUAGGCUUUGAUGGUGGUUGCAGUAAAAAGGAUUAAAAGAGAGAGAGAGAGAGAACUUGAAAACUAUGGAAUGGAAGAUAAAUCAAAGUUAUAAAUUUGGACUCAAUAGUUUUGAUGUUCAAUCAAAUAUGGAGGGGCGAUUAGAAAUUAUCAAAAAUUUAGAGGGAUUUCAACCGUUCAAUUCAUUAUUAGGCGUUGUAGACUGCAGGGAUGCAGAAAUUUCCACAGGGACGAUGGCCCCGAGGGAUCUUCCUCAUUCGGGAGUUUGAUAAUUUUAGAUCUAAUUUUUCUAUGUGGAGACAAGACUGUGAUCAAUUAAUAUGUGUGGGUGUAAGUUACAUGAAAUAUAACUUAGUGUUUGCCCUAAUAUUUUAUUUGGCUCCACAUUUUUCUAUUUCUAUCUUUAGUUCUAUUUUUAAUUAAUUUAUUUCAAAUUUAUAGUAAAUACAUUUAAAAUUUCAAUUAUAAUAGUGUGAUGUAAAUAAAAAAUAUCACAAUACAUUUAUAAAAAUAAUAUAAAUAACAGCCAAUAUAAAGUAAAUAUAAACAUUUUAAAAUUGACAAAGAUAAUUUAAUUGAUGGUUUAUACUAUAUGACAUUUAUGGAUGAGUUCAACUUUGAAGAUUUACUUUUGCUUAAUUAGUUCAAAGAUUAUCUUCUAAUUUGAUGACAUUGACUUAAUUUGAUGGAAAUGAUUUUAAUCACUUUAGUUAAUUUGAUAUUUUUUGUGUUAAUAUGAUUUUAUAUUUUUACUUUAAGAUGAUUAAAUUAAGAAAAAAAAGAAAUUAAAUAAUCAGAGAUCGGAUAGCAUCGGAGAUCCCUUUGUAUUAUUUAGAAACAUCCAUCCCCUUCUUUCAAGUGAUUUUGAAGGAAAUGUCUAGAGUACAAAGAGAUAGACAGAGUAUUAAAGAUGAGUAUGGGGAAAUCAAUCCCCUCUCCUUCCCUUCUUAUUGACAUCUUUACAUGUGAGCCCAAGGGGAAAUGCACCAUGCCUGAUAAAAGUAAAAUUAAAAAUAAAAAUUUUCUUUUAUCAAAUCACUCUAUGUGGUGGAGAUUAUUGUAUAAUCAAGUACACAUGGCAUUUUUAAAAGCUUUUUCUUUAUUUAAAGCUCUAAAGGUUUGCCUAAGAGUCAAGGUUGGUGCCGUUCUUCUAGAAGAACAACCCGUAUCUUUUGAUAUUCAAAGUUUGAAUAUCAAGUUCAAACUUUAAAUUUUGAAAUAAUAAUAAUAAUAAAUAUAAAAAGUGCCAAAUUUUUAGCUAUAAAUAGAGGGGUUCACCCCCUCAUUUCACUCAUUCCAUUCUUUUCUUCUUUAGUUCUAUAAUGAGAGAGUAAGAGUUUUAUACUCUUGAGUGACUAGUGUUUAGAGAGAUUGGGUGUAUUAAGGUUUUGAUAAGUGAAACAAAAUACUAAAAUACUUAUAAUUCUCAUUUCACUAGUAAAGUUUUAUCCUUUUGUCCUUGCCUAUGGGCAUAAGUUAAAAGCCGAACCAAAUAAUUUAUGGUGUCCUCUGUGUGCUUGUUCUUCAUUUUCUUCCAAUUUCAUUUUAGUCGUGGCCCUACUUCACCAAUCAAUUUUCUAAUAGUGGUAUUAGAGCCGGGUUGUAUUUUUUGGGGUCGAGAUACUAUUUACAUAUAUUGUAUUGUUCAUGUAUAUGAUAUUGUUUCUGUAUACGACACUUUAUUCAUAUAUACAGUUACUGCUCAUGUGAAAUGGUAGGAAUCGAUCUUAGCAAAGGUAGCUCGUGGUGAAAAGUGAUGGCGGAAAAAUACAAAAUUGAGAAGUUCAACAGAAAUAAUUUUUCGUCAUGAAAAAUGAAGAUGAAGGUUGUAUUGAGGAAAAGUAAUUGCUUGGCAGCAAUUGAAGAGAGGCUCACAAAGAUAACUAAUGAUGGCAAGUGGAAUGAGAUAGACAAUAAUGCCAUUGCAUAUCUACACUUACCACUUUCAGAUAGGGUAUUUUUCAAUAUGGUAGAGUAAAAGAGAGUAAAGGAAAUAUGGUUUACUCUCACAAGACUAUACGAGGUCAAAUCACUACAAAAUAAAAUCUUCUUAAAGAUGAGGCUUUAUACUCUUCAAAUGGAGGAAUCUACAUCAGUGAUCGACCAUAUCAACACUUUAAAGACUUUAUUUUCAUAACUUACAACGUUGGGUCAUAAAAUAGAGGAAAAUAAACAUAUAGAGCUUUUACUUCAAGGUUUACCAGAUUCGUAUGAUCAAUUCGUCAUUAAUAUAACUAAUAACAAUCGAGCAAACAAGUUAGUCUUUGACAAUAUGGCAGCCUCCGUAUUAAAUGAGGAGAGUAGCAAAAAAUAAAAAAGAUAGACAGAAGAGUUCGCAACAAGUAGAAGCGCUAUUGGUGAUGAAAGGAAGAUCCAUGGAACGUGGCCCUAGUGAGAGCCACAGUCACGGUAGAUCAAAAUCUAGAAGUAAAAAGAAUGUCAAAUGCAACAACUGUUGCAAGAAAGGGCAUGUCAAGGAAGAGUUUUGGAACAACUAGAAGAGAAGAGAUGGUAAAGAUUCUGAGUCAUCAAAUGCUCAAGGGUAUGUAGUAAGUACCUCGUAUGAUGGCAAAAUUCUCUACAGUAAGGCAACAACUGCUUCAGAAGAUAGAAAACCACUAUAUGACAUCUGGCUUAUAGACUUAAUAGUUGCCUGGCACAUGAUCUCUCCAAGAGAAUGAUUUCACAAAUAUGAACCUAUUUCAAGAGAAUUUGUAUACAUAGGUGAUGAUUAUGCCUUUGAGAUUACUGAUAUUGGUACUGUCAAAAUAAAUAUGUUUAAUGGUAUGGUUCGCACAAUUGAGAAGGUAAGACAUGUCAAAGACUUGAAAAAUAUCUCUUGUCUUUAGGACAAAUAGAUAGUCUUACGCGCAAAACUCAUGUAGAAAAUGGGAUCAUAAAGAUAGUCAAAGGCGCACUUGCAUUAAUGAAGGUGGAAAAGAUCGGUGAUAAUUUAUUCAUGCUUAAAGGGAAACACUACAGAAAGCUUUUGUGUCAGUCACAUCAAAUAGAGAAAAUUCAGUGAUGAUGUGGCAUCUUAAACUUGGCCACAUGUCAAAACAAGGAAGCAACAUAGAUGAAAGUUUAGCAGAUCCACUUUCAAAAGUAAAUGUAUUUUAGACUUGAUUCAUUCUAAUGUUUGGGAAUCAAUUGAUAUAUCUAUGGGAGGUGCAAAGUACUUGGUGACUUUUAUUAAUGAUUAUUCUAGGAGAUAUUUGGUGUAUCCAAUCAAGAAAAGGUCAAAUGUAUUUCCAUUGUUCAAAGAAUUCAAAGCGUAGAUUGAACUUAAAUCAGGGCAAGGGAUCAAGUGCCUGAGGACAGACAAUGGUGGAGAGUAUACAAAUAGCAUGUUUCUUGCAUAUGUAAGCAAGAAAGUAUCUAGAGAUAGUUCACGGUGGCAUACACUCCUCAAUAAAAUAGAGUAGUAGAGUGAAAGGGCAUGACUCUUAUAAAAAAAAAAAGAGUUAUGUUGAGAAAUGCUGGUCUACCAACUCAUUCUAGGUGGAAGUAGCAAAAACUACUUAUUAUGUGGUAAGUGGGUCAUCAUUCAAUGCAACCGGGUUGAAAAUUCCAAUGGAAAAAAUAGACAGGAAAGCCAGUUGAUUACUCUCAUCUCAGGCAUUUUGAUGUCCUUUUACGUGAUAUACAAUACCCAAGUGAGAUUAAAGAUGGAUCCAAAAUCCAAGAGAUGUAUCUUCUUAGGAUAUAUUGAUGGAGUGAAAGGGUAUUAUCUGUGGGACCUCAAUGCCCAUAAGAUCGUUAUCAGUAGAGAUAUUAUCUUUGUAGAAGAUCAAAUGCAAAAGAGAGAUAUGGAUGAUAGCACUAUAAAAAUUCAGAGAUUGUGCUAAUAUAUGUUGAAAAUAAUCUGGAAAAUGAAGAUUUAGAUUUUUUUGAAGCAGCACCAAAGUAUGAGAACAAGAACCAAUCGAGUCUGAGGCCCCAAAAGUUUGUUGGUCAACUCGUGAUAGAUAAUUGUCAGUGUGGCAUUUGGAUUAUGUCACAGAUAUCAAUUUUGCAUACUGUCUUUUAAUAGAGAAUGGAAAGCCAUCAACUUUUCAUGAAACCUUAAACAGCUCAGAUGUUACUUUGUGAAUGAUAGCAAUGCAGGAAGAAAUUAAGGCUCUACACAAGAAUAUGACAUAGGAACUCGUACUACUACUAUAUGAAAAAAAAAAGACCCAUUGGUUGGAAAUGGGUCCAUAAGAUCAAACGUGAUGGUAAUAACCUAGUGGAGCGGUAUCAUGAAAGAUUGGUGAUGGAAGAAUAUCCUUAGAAAGAAUGUAUUAACUUCAAUGAGAUAUUUUCUCCAGUGAUUUGACUCAGGACAGUCAGAGUGGUCUUGUCGAUGUGUGCUACAUUUGACCUAUAUUUGGAGCAGUUAGAUGUGAAAAUUUCAUUUCUUUAUGGAGAACUUGAAGAAAAGAUUUCUAUGCUCUAACUAGAAGGUUUUACUAAAAAGGGACACUUGGUUUGCAAGUUAAACAAAUCUCUAUACGAUCUCAAACAUGCACCGAGAUGUUGAUAUAAGAGAUUUGAUCCAUUCAUCAUAAACCUUGGAUACAAUAGAAUCAGUUCAGACUGUUGUACAUAUUACAACAAGUUUGAUAAUAAUAAUUUCAUCAUUCUACUGUGGUAUGUUGAUGACAUAUUAGUAGCAGGCCCCAACAAAGAUCGAGUCCAAGAACUAAAGCACAGUUAACUAGGGAGUUUGAAAUAAAAGACUUAGAACCAGCAAACAAGAUUUUAGGGAUGCAAAUUCACCGAGAUAGUAAUAGCAAAAAGAUUUGGCUUUCUACCCCGCCUCCCAUUAAUUUCAAGUUAUUCUUAAGUAUUCAUCUAGUAAUGAAGUAGAGAAGAAGAGAUGUCUUGAGUACUGUAUGCAUCAGCAGUGGAAAAUUUAAGGUUCGCUAUGAUUUGUACAAGUAGUGGGAGAGGUUAGUCGAUACAUAGCGAAUCCUUGCAAAGAACAUUGGAAGACUAUUAAGAGGAUUCUGAGAUAUAUCAUAGGAACAUCAGAUGUUGCAUUAUGUUACGAAGGAUACUGUCAAGGGCCAUGUGCAUUCAGAUUUUGCAGAAAAUCUUAAUAAAAAAAAAUCCACUACUGGCUAAGUAUUUGCACCAGAAUGAGAAAUUGUUAGUUGGAUUUCAAAAUUGCAGACCAUUGUGGCUUUAUCAACAACAGAAGCAGAUUACAUAGCAGCUACACAAGCUUGGAUGAGCUAUUUAGAUACAAAGGUUACUGAAGGAGCUUGGGCAUAAAAUUUUUUAUGGCUUGUGAUAGUUAGAAUGCAAGGAAUCCAACCUUUUAUUUUAGGACAAAGAAUAUAGGAGUACAAUAUCACUUCUUCGUGAAGUAGUGAAAGAUAUAAGAGUGGAUACCAAGGAGAACUUAACAAAUGUUUUGCCCAAGCCUAUCAAUGCUGAUAAAUUUGUUUGGAGUAGAUCAUUUUACGGCCUAGUAGAGACAUAAACAACAUGACAGCGGCGAAGUAGAAAGGAUGGUGUGGAGAUUGAUUGAUUCUCAAUCAAAUUUCUAAGUGGGAGAAUAUCAAAGUCAAUGUCGCUUUUCUAGAAGAGCGACCAAUACCUUUUGAUAUUCAAAGUUUGAAUGUCAAGUUCAAACUUUGAAUUUAAUAUAUAUAUAUAUAUAUAUAUAUAUAUAUAUAUAUAUAUAUAUAUAUAUAUAUAUAUAAAUAGUGCCCAAAAUUUUAACUAUAAAUGAGGGGUUCACCCCUGCAUUUCAUUCUUUUCUUCUUCAAUUCUAGUGUGAGAGACUAAGAGUUUUAAUGCUCUUGAGUGAUUAGUGUUUUAAGAGAUUGAGUGGAUUGGGGUUCUGGGAAGUGAAACAAAAUAUUAUAAUACUAGUAAUCCUCAUUUCACCACUAAAGUUUUAUCUUUUGUCUUUACCCAUAGACGUAGGUUAAAAGUCGAACCACGUAAUUUUUAGUGUCCUCUGUGUGCUUGCUCUUCAUUUUCUUCCAAUUUUAUUUUAGCUAUGGACCUACUUCACCAGUAAAUUGAAGACGUUGGAACUGCGUGAUUUAGAUAGCCUCACAAGUUUCUGCUCUACCAAUUACACCUUCAAAUUCCCAUCUUUGCAAGAGUUAUGUGUGAUUGGUUGUCCCAAGAUGAAGAUUUUCACUACAGGAGAAUCAAUCACGCCGAGUAAACGUCUGCUAUGGAGAGACAGCGGAUCAACGGCGCUGGGCUAAUAAUGAUCUAAACACAACCAUACAACAAUUACAUGCUGAGAAGGUACGUAUAUACAUAUUACUCUCUAUCUCCCAUGAUAAAUUUUUACAAAAUUUGCUUUCUUAAAUACAAUAUAGAUAAGAUAUUUGAUGAAUAAGAAUUUUAUUUUAAGCUGUUGGCGGUGUCGUCGUCAUACUCUACGCAGUAGUACGACUAAUGUCAUAGGCUUCUUAUGACCUGGAGUUGCGAAUUUUUAGAAGAAAGUCUCAACUGGUAAUUAAUUUUUAUUUCAUUUAUUUAAUCCCAUGGCUUGUUUCGCAAUUUCAUCUGAAUUAUUUAGAAUGGGUCCCUCGGUUUACUGUUAAAUUUGCAAUGCAAUUUUAAUGAUCCUUUCAGACUUUUAUGGACAGAUUUUGCAAAAUUGAAUGUCUUUUAGUCUAGUUUAAUUUGAGUUUUUCUUUUUUUUUUUAGAGCUCCCCAUGUUUUCUAAAAUUUUAUAAUUCCUUGCAUACUUUUUAGGAUAAAAUUUCAUUAAAAGCCUUCAUAUUUUAUAAUUCCUUGAAAACUUGCAUACUUUUUCCUUUUUUUUUCUUGCCAAUUAUUUAUUGUCAUCAUUGCUGUUCUUUUAUUUUAGUUUGUGCUCUGUUUGUUCAUUGGGUUUGCUUUUCGGAAAGUUAGAAGGCAAGGAAAGUACUUAGAAAAUGUUCUUCCCUAUGAACACAUAAUUAACAGCUGAAUAUCAUUCAUUGGAUUAAAAAAAAUUAAAAUAAAAAAAAGUAAUAAGCCCAUUAUUCCUAGAACAAAUCCUUAAACCAUCAAACGUUAGCUAUGAACAAGUAUAUUGGUCUAUAGCAUAUUCAUAAUAUUUUCUCUGCUGUUCCUGUUAAAAUUUCUCUACUCAAUGAUCGCAGAAUAUCUGGAUACUGAUGAAGAUUUAAGUCACUCUUCUUCUAUGAAUAAGGUCGUUUUUCUUUUUUCUUCUAUUCAAAGUUUCCAUUCUGAGCAGUUCCCAUUUCCAUCUUCGUGAUCUUCUUGUGAUAGUGUGAGUUACAACCUGUCUGUUUCCUUUGUUUGAUCAUUGCAAGUUCAAAGACAUUUUAUUCUAGCUAAGCUCUUUGUAUGUAUUAUAACAUUUUUAUUCUCAAUAUAUAUAUGACUCAAUGAGAGGUCUUUUAUUAUAUUUAUGUCGUGAAUUUCUAUUGUAUUGUGACAUUUGAUGGUGUAUCAUUGUCUCAUUGCAAGGUCUUGUAAUCACUCUGAUUCUCAUUUGAGGAGGUUGGUCUCGUCUAUGUGUAUGUAUUUAUAUCCACAAGAAAUUUGAUAAAUGGUCUUGUCAUUUUCUCAUCAAAACAUCUAGUGCUUCAUAUGUUGGAGGGCUACCAGGCAUCAGGGCCAGUUUUUUAAACUCAAAGUUCUUCCUGUCAUUUUUUAACAAUAAUAAGGAAAGCCCAAGAGAAAAUCUAGAAGUCCUAAUAAGGACCGCUUCUGCAUAUAUUGUUCAUUUUCUUAAUUACCUUCAUUAUUAUUUUCGUUUUCAAUCGAUCAAACUUCAGUUUCUUAGCAUUAAUCUAAUUAUGUACUUCAUCUUGAAAUCCUUAAAUUACCCAUCAAAAUGUGAACGAUUAGUGUAUCAUUUUUGCACUAUAAGAAAUAGUUGUAUUACCGACCAGACAUUUCCACAAUAUACUAUUGAAAAUAAGUACUUUUUACAAAGGUAUUGUCAUUGAUGAGCCGUUGGAUAAAUAUGAAAAGUAUCAUACCUCGGUGAUAAAGAAAAUUCGUUUGUCGGAAAUGGAAUGUCGAGCCCAAAAUUACUCUAAACUUGGUAAAGUUAGAUUUUGGCCCAAUUUGUUUGAAAGUUUUAUACAUAAAGCACUUUUUUUUUUAUGUAAUUUGUGCAAUCUGAAGGGAGGUAUUGUAAAAUUAACAUAAAUAAAUGUAAUAUGCCAAUACCGUUUAAAACAAAAAAGAUAUCAUGAAAUUGAAAAAAAAUAAAUAAUAAUAAUAAUAACAACAUUAAAAGAAAAAGGAAAUUACGGAGAAGAAUAAUCGCUUCUUGAUCUCAACUCUCAAUUUGAAUACAAUCUCUGAAUCUCACUUCUCGAUCUGUCUCCAUUCUUCAUUCGCAUUUACUCGGUGGUAAUUAAUUCUUCACUCUCACUCGCCUUAUUUCCUGCAGAUUUCUUCAUUUUCCUUCACUGUUCGUUUUUAAGGUUCCAUUGUAUUUCCAUUGAGUUUGCAACUGUUCAAUUGCUCGAUCCACAUUAGUUUUAAGGUACGAUUGUUGGUUAUUUUCCUAAUCAAUAGACAACCCUAGAUACGAUCAUAGGAUUUAAUCAAUUGACAGUCUGAAAAAUCAGAGAGACCCAAAUCCUAAUCAACAAACGCAUACGAUGAUUCAUUUAAAUUAGAUUGUUUAUUCUCAUAACACAAUGCACUGCUAUGCUAUUUGUCACAAACAUUAAAAUCUUCAUACGAUAAAUCUUUUAAUUGACAAUAGAUUAAGUUGAUAAUUAAAUAGUAGCCAAUUAUCUAAUUAACAAACAUAAUCAUGACAAUAAUUCAGAGAAUAAACAAAUACCCAAAAAGUAAUAAAAUAAUUAAAGUAUAAGAAAGAUCUCACAGCAGUGAUGAAUCAAAGUUUCAUUAACCUUCAACCAGAAUAAUAGAUUUAGUUUUUCAUAGACAGGAGAGAAAAAUUUAGAUCUAGGGUUUCUUUCUCUUCAAAAAUCUCCGUCUUUGACAAUAGAUUCCUCCCUUAAAUUCUCUUCUCUCUCUUCUCCUCUAGAGUUCUUUUUAAAAUAAAAUACUAAUUUCUAAAAUAUUAUCUAAAUAUUAAAUGCGUAAUUACAAAAAUAACUAAAAAUACAAAACACGUUAAACUAAAAACUGCAGGUCCGUAGUAGACAGCAUGCGCCCACACCUUAUCAACAAAGUUCUUCUGAAGCUCAUAAUUUCUUCAAGAAAACAAUCAUCCUCAAACAUCAUCUUGUAGCUCAAUUUUAGCACCAAUCAAUAAAAUUGCACCUACCAAAAUAAAACACAAGUAAAUCACUAUUAUUAAGUGCAAAACAUCGAUAUUAAAAGAAGUAAAUAAUGCAAAACUAGUGCAUAAAUUGUACUCUAACACUUCAUUCCGAUCCCUUGAUCAUUACUCAUUUAUUUAUUUAUUCUUUGCUUCACUUCUAAGCUUAGCAAAGGAACUUGAACUUUGGCUUUUCAAAUAGGUCACUUUUGCUUUUAAUCUCGCCCAUGAUCUUCAUCAUGAAGAUGACAAACCAUUAUUCUUUAUUCUUCACUUUUGCUUUUAAUCUCGCCCAUGAUCUUCAUCGUGAAGAUGACAAACCAUUAUUCUUUAUUCUUCACUUGUUGAAUUUACAGAAUAUAUAGCAUUCUUAAAAUUUUAGCAAAUCGUUAUUCUUCAGCUUCAGCACCUCAUUAAAAAGUCAUUCUUUGAACUUAUUCUCAAUCAAGAAAAACAUAUGCGUUCGUUCGUUGUAGUCACUGUUGUUUUGUUAUUAAUGUUUGCUCCCUAUUGCCGUUAACUCUCUUGAGCUUCACAGGAUCAGGAAACCCUUUUCUCUUGGCAUCUGUUUUGUUGUAAUCUCUCAGUCCUUGUUGAUUAGUUUCUCUCCGCUCCCAAUUUAGUUGUGUCCUGCUGUUGUCUCUGUUUUGUUCCAUAUCUACUCUCUGCACUUCUGCUGUGUCAAGACAUCUUCUUUUGUUCAUUCGGUUGUGGUCUAUAAUAUAUUUUUCAUCUUUCUUUUGGUCUAUACUUAAGUUAUUUUGAUUGGUUCCUUUCUCCUUUAUUAUCUAAAUCCCUCCUUAUAUUUAUUCAAUCAGUUGUUACGCUUUCUUUCAUUUCUCCGCUUCCACAACCAGAUAAACUGUCCAUCUUUGUUGUUUCUUCUUUUUUCUCUUCUGUGGUUGGCUCUUGUUUAUUUGCUUUUCAGAACUCAAAAAAAAAAAAAAAAUAGAAGGAUCAAAGAUGGUGGAAACCAUUAUUACUGUUGUUUUGGAAGUUGUGAAAUGCUUGGCUCCUCUAGCAGAACGCCAACUUGGUUAUUUACGUAACUAUAAAACCAACUUUGAGAAUCUCAGGGCAAAAUUUGAUGAACUCAAGGAUGAAAGUAGGAGCAUUCAGCACAGAGUUUCUGAGGCUGAAAGAAAAGGAGAAAAGAUUGAAGAGAAGGUUGAAAAGUGGCUGGUUAGUGCAAACGACAUCAUUGACAGCGCAGCCAAAUUCAUUGAAAAUGAGGAGUCAACGAAUAAGCGUUGUCUCAAGGGCUUGUGUCCUAAUUUGAAGACCCGCUAUCAGCUUAGCAAGAAAGCAGAGACAGAAAUGAAGGCCCUUGUUGAACUUGGAGAAGAAGUAAAGAAGUUUGAUAUUGUUUCCCACCGUACCAUUCCGGAGGAGAUUUGGCUCAAGUCUCACAUAGGCUACGAGGCCUUCGAAUCAAGACGUUCUACUUUGGAGGCUAUAAAAAAAGCAUUGAUCGAUGUUAGCAUCAUUGGGGUGUACGGCAUGGGCGGCAUUGGAAAGACGACACUGGUGAAGGAGGUCUCCAGGCAAGCUAUGGAAGCCAAGCUCUUUGAUAUGGUGGUCUUUUCAGAGGUUUCGCAAACUCCAGACAUAAAAAAGAUUCAACAGGAAAUUGCCGAGAAGUUGGGCCUGGAGUUGCGCGAGGAAGUUGAAUCUGGAAGAGCAAGUAGACUAUUUGAGCGAUUGAGAAAUGAGAAGAAGAUCCUUGUGGUUUUAGAUAACAUCUGGAAACACCUUAAUUUGGAGACUGUUGGAAUUCCUUUUGCAGAAGAUCAUAAAGGAUGCAAACUACUGCUGACAGCAAGAGAUCGUAGUGUCCUCUUACAAAUGGGAUCCAAAGACAACUUUUUGAUAAACAACUUAAAAGAAGAAGAAGCCGGGAGAUUGUUUAAGAUGAUGGCCGGUGAUGAUGUUGAAAAUCGUGAGUUGAAAUCUACAGCAAUAGACGUCGCCAGGGCAUGUGGAGGUUUGCCCAUUGCCUUGAGUACGGUAGCAAAGGCAUUGAGAGGCAAGAGUCUGCAUGAAUGGAAGAAUUCCUUGCGAGAACUCCGAACGCCUUCAAUGGUAAACUUCGAAGGAGUAUCUGCAGAGACUUAUGCAAGUAUUGAGCUGAGUUUCAACCAAUUAAAAGGUGAACGCAAGGAAAUUUUUCAGCUCUGCAGUCUAAUGGGUAACCGUAUUUUUACUUUCGACUUGUUUAAGUACUCCAUGGGUUUGGGUAUAUUUAAAGGAGUCAAUAAGAUGGAAGAUGCACGAGACAAAUUAUAUGCAUUGGUCCAUGAACUUAGAGACUCUUGUUUGUUGCUUGAGGGUGAGAGCAAUGAACAAUUGUCAAUGCAUGAUGUUGUUCGCGAUGUCGCGAUAUCAAUUGCAUGCCGCCAGCAACAUGUGUUUUCGGUGAGGAAUGAGGAUGUGUGGGACUGGCCAGAUAAGGAUGCACUUCGAAAUUGCAAAGCUAUCUCUUUAAUAAAAAAUAGUAAUCGUGAAUUUCCUGAAGGAUUAGAAUGCCCAAACCUUGAAUUUUUAUAUAUCUCUCUCAAAGAUUUUUCUCUUGAAAUCAAUAUUCCUGAGAACUUUUUUGUAGGGAUGAAAAAGCUUAGAGUUCUAGAUUUUACUCGAAUGCAGUUUUCUUCUUUUCCAUCUUCAAUUGAUCUUCUAGUAAAUCUUCACACACUAUGUCUGGAUAAAAGUGCGUUGGGCGACAUAGCAAUCAUUGGGAAGUUGAAGAAUCUAGAAGUCCUUAGCUUUUUGAAGUCUGAUAUAACGCAGUUGCCAGAAGAACUAGGUCAAUUGAAUAAGUUGAGAUUGUUAGAUUUAACCAAUUGUUUCCGUCUGAAAGUUAUUGCCCCAAAUGUCAUAUCAAGCUUAAUCCGAUUAGAAGAGCUGUAUAUGGGUAAUUGCUCCAUUGAAUGGGAGGUUGAAAGAGCCAACAGCAAAAGAAGUAAUGCUAGCCUUGAUGAAUUGAUGCAUUUACCUCGGCUAACCACUCUAGAAAUUGAUGUUAAAAAUGACAGUAUGUUACCAGAAGGUUUUUUGGCCAGAAAGCUCGAAAGGUUCAAAAUAUCUAUUGGAAAUGGGUUAUUCACACAUCCCAUGAUUGCUGAACAAAAUUGGUUCCAAAGUCUGCGGCGCUUUUCUCGCAAAAGUGAUCGCAAGAGUUUAAGAGCAUUGAAGCUCAAGCUUGCUUUUAUGGACAUUUGCUCCAUGAAAUUGCAGGGCAUCAAUAACGUAGAAUGCUUAUGGUUGGACAAGCUGCAAGGCAUCGAGAAUGUUCUUUUCAAUUUGGACACAGAGGGCUUUUCACAAUUGAAGCUUCUCUGGGUUCAAAAUAAUCCUGACAUCUUUUGUAUCGUCGAUUCAAGGGCGAUGGUCGCUUGUGAUGCCUUUCCUCUUUUGGAGUCACUUGGCCUUCACAAUUUGAUCAACAUGGAGAGGAUAUGUAUUGAUCGGCUCAAAGUAGAGUCCUUCAACGAACUCAAAAUCAUACAAGCAUAUAAUUGUGAUAAAUUGAGUAAUAUCUUUUGGCUCUCUACAACAAAAUGCCUUCCAAGACUUGAGAGAAUUGCAGUUAUUAAUUGCAGCAAGAUGAAAGAGAUUUUUGCAAUUGGGGAAGAAGUUGAUAAUGCAAUUGAGAAGAUAGAGUUUGCUCAAUUAAGAUCUUUGAGUCUGGGGAAUCUUCCAGAGUUUACAAGUUUUUGCCGUGAGGUGAAGACUCCUUCAGCAUCACCAAACAGACCAGCGUCGCAGGAGGAAUCGACGACUACGUAUAGCUCCAGCGAAAUCACUUUGGAUACUUCAACUCUGCUUUUCAACGAGAAGGUGCGUAGGCUAACAUUUUCUUUAUUCUAUCAUGCGUUCUGUUUUGAUGUCAUACGUGGAAAAUAAUUAAAUCAUUUAAAGAAUUGAAAGAAAAUGGAAAAAAGGAUAAAAAGAAUCUCACGCGCUCACUAAUUGAGCUCUUAACAAGUAGUAUGAAUUAGAAUGCAUACUCAGCUGUCAGUUGGAAAUUGAUUCAGACUUGCAUUAAUUUGUAAUCAAAGAAGAAAAUUUCAACAAGUGCUUCCCAUAUGGAUAUUGGAUCUAACGAGAAAUUCUUCUUUUUUUAGGUUGCGUUGCCUAACUUGGAGGCUUUGGAGAUAUCUGCAAUUAAUGUCGACAAGAUUUGGCACUACAAUCAAAUUCCAGCGGCCGUGCUUCCUCACUUUCAAAGUUUAACACGAUUGAUUGUGUGGGGUUGUCACAAAUUAAAAUACAUAUUUUCAGCGUCUAUGAUCGGAAGCCUUAAGCAGCUCCGACACCUAGAUAUACGCUUCUGUGAGGAUUUAGAGGAGAUCAUUUCUGAAAACAGAGCAGAUGAAGUUAUCCCUUAUUUUGUCUUUCCACAGCUCACCACUCUAAGACUCGAAUGUCUACCAAAACUUAGAUGUUUGUACCCUGGAAUGCAUACUUCGGAAUGGCCCGCACUAGAAAUUCUUUUAGUGGGUCGUUGUGACAAAUUAAAGAUAUUCGAUGCAGAUUUAUCGCAGAAUAAUGAGAAUGAUCAACUUGGUAUUCCUGCACAACAGCCCCUAUUGCCGUUGGAAAAGGUACGAAGCCAUUUUCUAGAUUUUUUAUCAAUAGCGUAUUUUUAACUUCGAAAAAAAUGACAAAGCAUCGAUAAAUUAACACUCAAUAAAUUGAAAACUUUUAUUAUACAAUAAUCUUUGCUAGUCUAGAUUAAGAGAUCAAUGUGGUAGAUUAAUAAUUAUAUGAACUUUUUAAGGUAUAGCAUUUAUAAAAGAAUCCUUAGUCUUUCCAUAUAGAAGAACUUACAAAAUAAAUUAGUAAUUUAUUAUUGUGCAAUAAAAUAAUUUCAAACCAGUAUAAAUCAACCUUUUUUCCCUAAUUUCUUUUUUACCUCUAAAAUUAACAUAUAAAAUAAAUUUUAUCAAUAAUUCAUUUUUUUUUUAAAAUAUAAUAUAAAACAAAUACUAUAAAGUCACUGCGUGUGACCGUAGAUCAUCAAUUGACCUCAUUAGUUAUUAUGAUUGAUGAUGAUCAGAUCGUACCCAACUUGAAGGAACUAUCACUAAGUGGAAAAGAUGUGAAGAUGAUUUUGCAGGCCGAUUUCCCACAACACCUUUUUGGCAGUCUUAGAGAACUAGAGAUUGCUGCAGAUGACUCAGCUGGUUUUACAAUCUGGAACGUACUGGAGAGAUUUCACAAUCUCGAAAUACUCACACUGUUGUUUUUUUCAUCCCACGAAGAGCUAUUUUCGAUGGAAGGAUGCUUACAGAAACAUGUGGGGAAGUUGGCAAUGAUAAAAGAAUUACAGCUGCGCUGGCACUAUCAUCUGGAGCAGCUGUGCAAGCAAGACUCCAAACUUGGCCCCAUUUUUCAGUAUCUUGAAAUUCUAAAAGUAUAUCAUUGUCAAAGUCUGUUAAUUCUAUUGCCAUCAUCAUCGGUAUCUUUUGGGAACCUAACAAAACUUGUAGCUUUCGGUUGCAAGGAAUUGAUACACUUGGUAACAUCCUCCACAGCAAAAACUCUGGUGCGACUCAUAGCAAUAGAAAUAUAUGGAUGCAGAGCAAUGACAGAGGUGGUAAUAAAUGACAAAGAUGGAGUUGAAAAAGAAGAGAUUGUUUUUAGCAAAUUGAAGACGUUGGGACUGUUUGAUUUAGAUAGCCUCACAAGUUUCUGUUCUGCCAAUUACACCUUCAAAUUCCCAUCUUUGGAAUAUCUGGAUGUGAUUGGUUGUCCCAAGAUGAAGAUUUUCACUACAGGAGAAUCAAUCACGCCUCUAAGAGUAAACGUCUGCUAUGGAGAGACAGCGGAUCAACGGCGCUGGGCUAAUAAUGAUCUAAACACAAACAUACAACAAUUACAUGCUGAGAAGGUACGUAUAUACAUAUUACUCUCUAUCUCCCAUGAUAAAUUUUUACAAAAUUUGCUUUCUUAAAUACAAUAUAGAUAAGAUAUUUGUUAUAAAGUAAGUUUAAAUUGAUGAAUAAGAAUUUUACUUUCAGCUGUUGGCGGUGUCGUCGUCAUACUCUACGCAGUACGACUAAUUUCAUAGGCUUCUUAUGACUUGGAGUUGCGAAUUUUUAGAAGAAAGUCUCAACUGGUAAUUAAUUUUUAUUUCAUUUAUUUAAUCCCAUGUCUUGUUUCACAAUUUCAUCUGAAUUAUUUAGAAUGGGUCCCUCGGUUUACUGUUAAAUUUGCAAUGCAAUUUUAAUGAUCCUUUCAGACAUUUAUGGACAGAUUUUGCAAAAUUGAAUGUCUUUUAGUCUAGUUUAAUUUGAGUUUUUCAUUUUUUUUUUAGAGCUCCCCUUGUUUUCUAAAAUUUUAUAAUUCCUUGCAUACUUUUUAUGAUAAAGUUUCAUUAAAAGCCUUCAUAUUUUAUAAUUCCUUGAAAACGUGCAUACUUUUUCCUUUUUUUCUUUGCCAAUUAUUUAUUGUCAUCAUUGCUGUUCUUUUAUUUUAGUUUGUGCUCUAUUUGUUCAUUGGGUUUGCUUUUCGGAAAGUUAGAAGGCAAGGAAAGUACUUAGAAAAUAUUCUUCCCUAUGAACACAUAAUUAACAGCUGAAUAUCAUUCAUUGGAUUAAAAAAAAUUUAAAAUAAAAAGAAAGUAAUCAGCCCAUUAUUCCUAGAACAAAUCCUUAAACCAUCAAACGUUAGCUAUGAACAAGUAUAUUGGUCUAUAGCAUAUUCAUAAUAUUUUCUCUGCUGUUCCUGUUAAAAUUUCUCUACUCUAUGAUUGCAAAAUGUCUGGAUACUGAUGAAGAUUUAAGUCACUCUUCUUCUGUGAAUAAGGUCGUUUUUCUUUUUUCCUCUAUUCAAAGUUUCCAUUCUGAUGGGUUCCCAUUUCCAUCUUCGUGAUCUUCUUGUGAUAGUGUGAGUUACAACCUGUCUGUUUCCUUUGUUUGAUCAUCACAAGUUCAAAGACAUUUUAUUCUAGCUAAGCUCUGUGUAUGUAUUAUAACAUUUUUAUUCUCAAUAUAUAUGACUCAAUGAGAGGUCUUUUAUUAUAUAUAUGUCGUGAAUUUCUAUUGUAUUUUGACAUUUGAUGGUGUAUCAUUGUCUCAUUGCAAGGUCUUUUAAUCACUCUGAUUCUCAUUUGAGGAGGUUGGUCUCGUCUAUGUGUAUGUAUUUAUAUCCACAAGAAAUUUGAUAAAUGGUCUUGUCAUUUUCUCAUCAAAACAUCUGGUGCUUCAUAUGUUGGAGGGUUACCAGGCAUCAGGGCCAGAUUUUUAAACUCAAAGUUCUUCGUGUCAUUUUUUAACAAUAAUAAGGAAAGCCCAAGAGAAAAUCUAGAAGUCCUAAUAAGGACCGCUUCUACAUAUAUUGUUCAUUUUCUUAAUUACCUUCAUUAUUAUUUUCGUUUUCAAUCGAUCAAACUUCAGUUUCUUCAUCUUGAAAUCCUUAAUUUACUCAUCAAAAUGUGAACGCUUAGUGUAUCAUUUUUACACUAUAAGAAAUAGUCGUAUUACCGACCAGACAUUUCCACAAUAUACUAUUCAAAAUAAGUACUUUUUACGAAGGUAUUGUCAUUGACGAGCCGUUGGAUAAAUAUGAAAAGUAUCAUUCCUUGGUGAUAAAGAAAAUUCGUUUGUCGGAAAUGGAAUGUCGAGCCCAAAAUUACUCUAAACUUGGUAAAGUUAGAUUUUGGCCCAAUUUGUUUGAAAGUUUUAUACAUAAAGCACUUUUUUUUUUUUAUGUAAUUUGUGCAAUCUGAAGGGAGGUAUUGUAAAAUUAACAUAAAUAAAUGUAAUAUGCCAAUACCGUUUAAAACAAAAAAGAAAUCAUGAAAUUGAAAAUAUAUAUAUAAUAAUAAUAAUAACAACAUUAAAAGAAAAAAGGGGAUUACGGAGAAGAAGAAUCUCUUCUGGAUCACAACUCUCAAUUUCACUCAGUGGUAAUUAAUUCUUCACUCUCACUCGCCUUAUUUCCUGCGGAUUUCUUCAUUUUCCUUCACUGUUCAUUUUUAAGGUUCCAUUGUAUUUCCAUUGAGUUUGCAACUGUUCAAUUGAUCGAUCCUUAUUAGUUUUGGGACUUCAAUGACCAUAGAAGAAGAUUCUCACAGACAACUCUUCCUUCUUUUGUCUUUGUUUUUUUUUUUAUUUGUUUAUGCAUGUUUCCUUUGCUGAUUUAUUUACUUAUUUCUUUCUCUGAUGUCCCAAUUUAUCCUAUGAUAUUUCAAUUGAUGUAUUACGUUCAUGUUAUGUUUAUGGAUGCUUGCUCUACUGUCCUAAUUUACAAUUAAAUUUUACUCCGUCCUUAGCUAUCGAUUCACAGUGGUGUGUCAUUAAUAUGUACUUGUCUUAUUUUAUAUUUCAUUAACUAUUAUUUCAACAAUUGCUGCAGGUGUCAAAUAAUGAAUUUGUAUGAGCUUCAGUCCAAGGUAAUUAUCUUUUUCAUUUCAUGUUAUUUGAUCUCUAGGUUUAUUUUAUCGUUUCAUCUAAAUUAUUUGGAAUGCAUCAGCUGGUUUAUUCUUAAUUUUGGAACGAAUUUGAUGCAGCAGAUGGUUGCGAAGGAUGAGUGGAGUAUCUCUCUAGGGUAACAACUUGAGCUAUAAGUAUCUAUUUAGGGUGCAUAAUAUACAUUUCGAAGUUCGCGACGAGGGGAAUCUAAUCUAAUACUGUAGCGCCGCAUUAGUCUCGUGGUUCGAUUGAAAAUUAUAUUUAUUUCAUAUUAUUUUACAAGUUUAAGAUCUAUUUUCCUAUUGUUUUCGGGAUUUUUAUCUUUUUUUUUUUUCUAGAUAUAGAAUUUGAGUAACAUUUAUCUUAUUUCAGUUAGGAGAAUGUUAUUAUGUAGUAAUAUGUAGGUUUACUUAUUUUGGUAAAUUUGUGAUAUUUAAGUUUAGUUUAAAAGAAGUCCAAAACCUUAAUUUUGUUAUUCAGACUUUCAUUAAUAAAAUAUAAAACUUUCUAAAAAAGAAAAUGCUCGUCUGGUACCUAUAUUUUAACUUCAAUGCUCGUUUAGUUUUUAUAUUUUAAAAAAUACCUCAAUAUACCUUGAUAUUAAAUACGUUACAUUUUUCCUUAAAUUUUAUUUACUUUUACAAUAAUAUCUUGGCAAUAAUAUUCUUAAAUUAAUUAAUUUAUUUAUAAAAAAGUUAAUUGGAAAAUUAAUCAAGAAAUAUCAAUAUGAAAUAACCAGUAUUUUUUGUACUUUUACAACAAUCUUGCCAAUAAUUCUUUAUAAAUAAAUUAAUAGCAGCCAUCUUAAAGUAAUGUUUAAUAUUCUUAAAGCAAUCUUACUAAUAAAUGCAUAAAAAAUUUAAUUUACGAAAUUAGUCCUAAAACUAAAAUAAUAACAUAAAAGUUUUUAUUAAUAUUUAUUUUGUUUAAGGCUGGCUAGAUGAAUUACCAUUUUUUUCUUUUCAUUGAUAUUCCCAAAAAUAUUAUUCCAACACAGUAGGGGUGUCUUGAGGUUAGGGAUGGCAAUGGGGAGGGGAGGGGAGGGGACUAAUCUCCCCGUACCCAUCCCCGAUAUUUUGCGUAUGUCCUCGUCCCCUCCCCGUCCCCGUCCCCGUCAGAAUUACUUGAGAGAAUCUUCAUCCCCUCCCCGAAUAAUAACAGAGGAUCCCCGAUCCCCGAAUAACUAAUACAUUUUUUUUUUUCAAUUUUGAGUUAAUUAUAUUAAAAUAAAAAAAUUCAAAUAAAAGUAAAUUUCGAAAUAUAUCUUACAUGAAUAUCUAUUUCAAAAGUCACAUACAUUAAAUUAGUAAGUAACGCAGCAUGCAAGGGAUACAAACUAUCAUGAACAAAUUAAUAGUCUAAUACAAAAUUGUUACAAAUAAAAUCGAAUUUAGAUUCAAAAUUAACUUUUUCAAUGGUGGCGUGGGCACUUUAUAAAUGUGGACUAUUCCCUUUACAGCACAAUAGUUAAGUCCGAGCAAAUCAAGAGCAAAUAUUAGAUUAGAUUAGAUAUUAAAAUUGUGAUUCGCUGUGGGCAAUUAUAACAUCUAAAAAUAAAUAAAUAAAUAGAUUUAAGUUUAAAAUAUUUAAUGAAUAUUAAAAUUAAAACAAAAUUUUUGGGCUAAUAGAAUCUACUGGUCUUUUUAAUGUCCUAAAUAAAAAUUUAAGACUUUAAUUUGUUAAUUAGGCCUAAAAGUUUAAUAAUAUAAAUAUUUUGAUAUUUGUUAUUUUUACCAAUAUUUAUAAUUUUAUAAUUUAUUUACUAGUAAUUUUAAAAAAUAAAAAUAAAAUUAAAAAUUAAAAUGGGGAAAUGGGUAGGGUAUGGGGAUUCCACCUCAUCGCCGUCCCCUCCCUAAAUAAGAAAUUGGGUAAAAAAAUUUGCCCGUCCCUUCCCCGAAUAAGAAAUUGGGUAUGAAAUUAUCCUCAUACCCUCCCCGAAUAGGGAAAAUCCCCGAUGGUACCCGUCCCCGUGGGGAUUUUUGCCAUCCCUACUUGAGGUUGAGGCACUUUUUAAAAUAUAAGAACUAAAUGCGCUCUCAAGUCAAAAUAUAGAGACUAAAUGAACAUUUAUUCCUUUUAAAAAGCUUGUGUUUCUCUAUCUUUUCAAUCUCAAUGUUUUUGUUUCCGUUUCAUCAUAAGUUCUAAUGUUUGGUUCUCAUCUUAAUGUGCAAAUUUUACAUCAUUGAAGGUCUUUUGAUCUGAGUUAAGAUCAUAAAAUUAUACUUGCAUUGGUCAGGUUAUACGAAAAUUGUACAAAAUAAUAUUCUUAUAUAACUGUUGUCCUCUGUUAUUACGGAAUCCCCAAGUUCUGAAGAAGGUCGAAAUCAGGUCUCUCUACUGUGAAGCCCCUGGAAUAAGAGCUACAAAUGUGUUACCGUUGAAAGCAUGGCAGAAAACUUAGUACUUAAUUCAGACUCUUUGUGGCUUCAAUAUUUUACUUAACAUGAAAAAUUCUUUCUAGCUUGCAUCAUUGUAAAGAUAAAUUGUCGCAGUUCUGACAAUGAACAAGUAUAAAUGUCCACAGAGAAAAGUACUGAACAAUUAAUGUUAACAGCAAUCGAUUGGUGUGAGCGCCAACCACCAUUUUCAUAUUUAAGCCUUUAGAACAGCAAAACAAAAUACGGCAAGUGGCAACCACAUCAAAUAAUCAAAUUGUUGAUAGAUUUUGAAAGCUUUAAUUUGCUUGAUAUAUAUUUAAAUAUUUCAACAGAUGAUCUUUUCGCUACUCACGGGGCACGCUGAGUUAGAAACGGUUUGGAUGUCAAUAUUACUCCAAGUGCCUCAACCAAAUUCAGAAUGAAAAAAAACCAUCUGGUUACCUGCACUUUUGUUUAAGCAGCUAAUGAAGCUAAUUAGCACGAAAUAGUACACAAACUCGCGAGAAAUUUCAUUAGUAGAUCAUCAUCCUGGGAGGAAACCAGCAUCUUGACGCUUUUGUGAUCAAGAAAAUCUGCCAGAACCCCAAUUAAUGAAAAAGAAAUUAUAACAUCAUUUACGUAUAGUUUUACAAAAUCAACAGGACACUCACAGAGCACCUCCUACAGCUGGACCGGCAGUUUUGGUAAGCGACACUACAGUCAUAGCAAGUCCAUUAGCAGCUCCUCUUUGAUGCUGUUCCUUUUGUUGUGGCAUAAACCAACAAAUUAAAUUUAAACUUUGACACAUACAAAAUUUGAAAAAGCUGAAAGCAUGUAAAUGUACUAAACAAACAAAAGAAAAAAAAUAUUUACCACUGCUCUGUUUUGCAGAAGGAAUAAUCUAGUUAUUAUAGACACCUGAUAUUAUAAUUCAGGAAUAGUAAAAUAGAAUUACAACAUUUCUAAUAAAAAAAGACACAAAAUAAUUUUAUACAUACUUGAUGGAUAAUAUAACCUAAGUAUAUGGAUCAAUGAUUAGGAUAUCCACUUACAGCUAAAACAUUCUUCAUCACAGAAGCACAGUUUAUCAAAAAGGCAAGGCUGAACCCAGAUAGCAUUGCUAUGUAAGUGUAACUUGUCAAAAGCGGUAUCGAUAAAACCUGUACAUACAUAGAAAAUUAUGGGACCAAAACCAUGAAGAAAAGUAUUUUAUAAACAAAUAUGUUUGAAACAAACUAUCAAAUGGUCUAAAUGCCACAUGGUGUGUUCAAAAUUAUUGUUCUGUUUUAGUGACAAAACACUCAUCCCAUGACAUUGAGCUAUCAAUUCUCAUGGAUUCGUCACGCUUGAAAGGUUUGGUAGUUGUUCUGUUUUAUCUUCAGUUUCAUUUGUGAUCACAGAAACGUUAGGACUUGCGUGCAUGAAAGCACAUUAAAAUUUGAAAGUUCUGAAGAAGAUUCAGGUCACUCGCGUGCAGCCUCUGGAAUAAGAGCUGUGUUACUGUUUAAAAGUUUUCAUGCUGUGGGGCUUCCAUCUUCAUUAUUCUACGAAUGCUUAACUUCACUAUUCUACGAAUGCUUCACUUCACUACAUUGACAGCGUUGAAAGUGUAACUAAAACCCUUGCUUUCACAAGCAAGCAUCGGUGAAUGAAAAAGAAAGUCUCUCUCGAAGGUAAUUGACAGAGGAGCAAUCUUCUUACUCUUUAACUAAAUAUCAGAAAUACAAGGUUAAGGCAGCUAGGGUUGCGAAGGAGAAGGAUCGUUCCCGGAUUUUGCCUGCUUCAAGUUGUUGGGCUUGGUGAACCAAGUUGUGUACACGAAUUGCUUAUGAGGGCCCACAUGGUUGCAGACAAGCCUGAGCUUUUGUCUCUCCCUCAUGUCUCACAUUUUAUGAUGAAUCAAAUUGAACUCCCAACACGGUAGUUCAUAAAAUAUGCUUUUCUUCUUCCAAGUAAUCUUAUCAUUUCUCUCAUUUUAUUCAUUCUCCACUUUUCAAGUCUUCAAUCUUAAACUCAGUAAGGAUAUUAUUCAACUGCUUUUUCACUUCAGCUCCAGACAUCCGAGAAGGUGCUUGUCCCCACUCUCUAGAUUUAUCAAAAGGCACUAUAUUUUCGAAACCUAUGAUUCGUCAGUAAAAAUCGACGUUACCGACGUGACAAAAUUUUCUACUAUGUAUCAACCAAUUAGAUCUAGUGUUUUGUUGGCAAACAAGAAAUGCUUAUUUACCUUUAAUACUCCACUCAGACAAGUUGGCAUGUGCUAGAAAGUCACUGAUAGUCCAUAACAAUGCUGUGUGUGAAUUGAAUAUUUGAUUACGUGAUGUAUCAUGUAUCAUUCCAACCAUAUCAUCAUCAGCACCCGAGUCAUGACUAACCUGUUUCUUGGUUAGAUUCCAAAGAUGAAGAUGGCUCACCAUGCAAUAUCCAGUUUUAAUACUUUAACCAAAAACCAUUUAUAAUGAUAUGGUCUCUUGCUACUUCCCUUAAAACGAAAUAUUCGACACUUCUUACAAGGAUAAUAAAUUCUUGCAUCACCAACAACAUUCUCAAAUGCAAAAUCUAUAACUUAGAUAUCUAUUUGCCAAACCAACCCAACUCUUCUCCAUUACCAUCUCCUUUUAAUGCACUACAAAAAUUAGUUAGAUAAAUCAUUUUAGUUUUUCAUUUCUACUACUGACCAAGAUAUUUUCGUGUGUGCACAGUUUUGCAAUAUAAUUAAAAAAUCAUUAUACAAUUUUAUGGUUAAUUUCAUUAGAAUUUAUAUAUAUGAAAGCAAGUAAAGCGACAAGAAUCAGAGAAAAAGACGUGAAAAUUAAAGUAUAUAUACAACAAUAAUUAAUGUAAAAAACAGUUUCCAAUACCUUCUGUAAAGAAAUAUCCUCACCCACAGCUGAGAACUUCAGUUGGUUAUCAAUUACAGAUACAAAGCAUGUUACCUAGAAACAAAAAAAAAGGUCAGCCAGCUGAAACAUAUUUAUAAACCAACAUUGGAGAUAGUACUCCAUUUAUAAACAAAAUUACAAGCUCAAAACCAAGUUAACUCAGCAAAACUAUAACCGAUUACGUCCAUCCAACUCAGCUCCUCCACUCCCAUCAAUAUGUCCAACACUCCCUUCAUAUUUACAAAAGGUAAGUGGUCCCGUAUAUCCCUCUCAAGAAUGCAUAAGUUUCUUCAAUCUCAAGUACUUUAAAGUUUUCUUCUACGUUUAUAGAAAUUUCGGCAGCAUCUCCCUUUAGUUCUCCAAGCAACGACAUAGAUAUAUGAGUGUUUAUGUGUUAUCUAGUAUGCACCCAAAGAAGAUGAGAAGCAGCUUGCGAAAAACUCAUUUUUACGUGGGAAAAAAACUUCAGCUACUAGCUACCAUAGAAAACUAUGCAUUCCCAAACAGUUCAAGCCUAGACAAUUCAAGAAUUAUUAAUAGGCAUAUGAUCCUCACUAUCAUCCAAAGAUGACACUAAUAAAACAUGUGUCUAUUAAUAAUUUCUUAAACGAUCUAAGCUUUCAAUGCAUGUAUUGAAAGUUUAAAAUUCAAUCUGAAAUUUGAAUAACACAUAAAUAUCAUAAAUCUCUUCAAUUUGUUCCUAAUACAAUGUAGCAUUAUUACGCGCAUCAUUUCUUAAGCAAAUCCAUAAAAAAUACAAACAAUAAAUACAUUUUCUAGCACUGAUGCAGAUUAUGUUUACUAAGCAAUAAGUUUUAAGUCAUUCAUGUUAAAAUACUUUUUCCUAUUCUUUCAACAUAUAACUAGUACGUGCACACAAUUAAUAAAUUAAAUAUAACCUGGUUGUGAAUCUCGCAAAAAUCUUCCUAUUUUUUUUUUUUUGGUUGGGGGGGGGGGGGGGGGGUGUGAGCUGCUUGUGAAUCUUGCAAAUCCUCGGGAAGGCAUGUUAAGUCAAGGCCAACUUACUAUUAGGGUAUGAAAGAUAUAACCUUUUUUUUCCCUUUUCAGAGUAAAAAGAACAUUGACAGUGUUAAAAAAAUCUAGAGGAUUUCAGGCCCAUAUCCUAACAAAUCAAGGAUAUUAGAAAAAUUUACUGAGGAUAUAGUUUAUGCUCAAUUGUAUCUUGCAGGAAGAAAUUGAUAAGCCUCAGUUUCAAUUAGCUUCAUUAUAGCCAAUGAUUAGGUGUUUAAAAACCAAUGAAUAUUUUUAUAAGAAAUCAACCGUAUUGUCGGAAGAAAAACCAAAUAAAAAUAACAAAGCCAAUGAACAGACUAAUGCUCUUUAUGGUCUAAUAACUAAAAACCAAUGAGUAUUUUUAUAAGAAAUCAACAGUAUUGUUGGAAGAAAAACCAAAUAAAAAUAACAAAGCCAAUGAACAGAUUAACGCUCUUUAUGGUCUAAUAACUAAUCAAACUAAGUUGUGGGUAAAGGCGAAUAUGUUUGUUUGGUCAAUAAUAAGCUCAACGAAUCACUAAUAAGCACCUAAUCACUAUUCCUUAUGCUAUGCAAUGUAAUGGCCUGGGUAAUGGCAGCAAGGCAGGCAAGAACUAGCUAGCCAGUUAUGAUAGUUGAUUAAGAAACUUGAUUAUAUGUAUAUUUUUGUUUGCCACAUUUAAAGAGAAUUUUCCAAAGAUGCUAAGAUACACCAAAUCCCACUAUUUCCAUACUCAUAAAAACAAAAAGCCAUGGCAAAAAUGAAUGACUAUAUAAAAUAAAAUAGGUCAUAGGACAUUGAGAUUAAGGCAACAUGAUUUGUAUACCAUAAAAUAACUAUAUCUGCAUAGUCAAUUAUAUUUCUGUUAGAACUCUAAAGUUUUCAUUUAAAUUUUUUUCCCUGUUAUGUAAACCAUUUAACUGAAAUGCUUAAGCCAAUAUUAACAAUCAUAGACAUACAAGUAUUAAUAGGCUCGUUCAAGUGAAAUGAGCAUUAUUUCUCAUAUCCUUUAGGUUUUUAAGUCAUUUAGAAGUCAUUCAUGUUAAAAAAUUUCUUCAUAUACUUUCAUUAUAAUUAGUACAUAGACAAUUAUUUAAAUAAAUAAAUCUGUUUCUGCUAGUACAGGAAAUUAAUUAAUCAAAGCUAGUAGUUAUAGCUAGGACUUGAAUGAGGCACCUUUCAGAGUUCAAGAGGAGCAUCUGAACAGAACCUUUAUAGAAAUGGCAAUGACGCUUUACAUCUACAUGCUCUUACACAAUAUGGACUUUCAUUUAUUCAAGAACAUAACACUACUCCAAGCUCUUAUUCUACAAGUUAAUUCAGUUUAUAUUAUAAUUUCUGAAAAUAGAACGUAACAUUAUUAAUAUAGAAUCAGCAAUAUAUAUAACUUAUCAGACAAUAUAACAUGCACUUGGUGAGCAUACAAGAUAAACAAGUUAUCUAGAAAAUGAAACUAAAACCCAAGCUCCGCUAUUCAUUGUAGAAGCUUUAAACAUAAAAUUAAAGUAAAUCUAAUAGCAAAACAUUAGAAUGGAUGUUGGAAUUAAAGCUAAAUUCAAUAGUAAUUCAAAUGAAUCCAUUUGAACUUUGUAGAACAAAAUUAAUUUGAGUGAGCAAACACACCAAUGGAACAAGAACACAGGGCUUCAACUUGUAGGAAUAAAAACAAUUGCUGGCGAGACAAAAAUUGACAAUAACGACUACAAUACGAAUUAAAAAGAAUCAAAAUCUAUAAUUACAAGCUAAGUAAGAGAAGAAACUCAUAAUCACAAGCUUAACUCAAAAGAUGAAGGGAGAAUACGAUGAAGAAGAAGAUGCCCGGUGUUUUACGCCGUUCGCCGGCAACCAGUUAGGUUUACGAUGGAGUCCAGCGAAUAGUUUUCUAACUGGAAAUAAAUUUAAAAUUCUAAAAUAGUAGUAUACCGAACGGCUCUUUACCGUCACGUGGUUAGUAACAUAUGUGACAGCAGUGUGGCUGUCACAUAAAGGGUAACAAAAGCAACUCGGGGUUACAAAGAAGUUAGUGAUAUACGUAAUGGCUGCUUUUGCAUUCGCAUUAGGGGUCACAUAUACCAUAUUUUCUUGUAGUACAUGGUAAAUUCUAUUUGAAAAUUGCUAAGUAUUUUAGAUUUGUAUGAAUUCAUUUUUGUGUGCUCGUUGGAUAAUAAUAUAUAAUAAAUCAAAUUUUUGGUGUAAUUUUCACAAUAUUGUAUUAUAAAUAUGUCUCGUUGAAAGGUUUUGAAAUCGUUUUGAUUGAUCAUAAUUGAUAUUUCCACAUUUGCAAAAGAUGCCAGAGAAAAUCUGAUUAUCUUAAGAAAUGAGUGCAUGAGAUAUGAAAUCAACCAUAUAAUAAAAUCAAAUUUUAUUGUGUCAUCCUUCUUGGUUCAAAUUUAUGGAAACAAUAAUCAAAUGCAUCCAUGAACUAGCUAGUAUAUUCCGACACAUGUACCAUCAAAUUUUUGCUAUGUCAUACUUAUAUUUUGAAAUUUUAAUAACAACAAUUGGGCCAAGCAUAUGUUGGUACUUGAAGAUUUAUAAGCUCCAUCCUUGAAAAAAUAAGGCUUGACUGUCCUCAAUCUAAUUCUUUUUGUUUUAAGUUCCUAAUUAAGCUUUCUUGCUUGUUUUCAAGAGCCAGUUUUGUAAUGAUCGACAAACAUGAUUUGCAUAUAUUGCACUUGGUAUUUAUGUGUCACUUAUUAAUUAGAUUUAAAUUUUAUAAAUUAAUUAAGCUGAUUAAUACUUUAUGUUGAUGCAGAAAUCUAGUUGAGUUGGUUGUUGACUCAAAACCACAUCCCCGCAUCAGUAAUAAAUUUGUUUGGUGAAGAAGCGGCUUAUUAAUCUUCAAGAAAAUCCUCUAACCAUGAGCAGAUAAUUCAUGAGCCGAUAAUCUAUGAGCUGUUGAUUAGUGAGCACCAUGAGCAGAUAAUCCACGAGCUGCUGAUCAGUGAGCACCGUGAGCAGAUGUUCUAUGAGCAGAUGAUCCAUGAGCAGAUAACCCGCGAGCAUGCAAGCACAAAGAACAGUCAGGGGGCGCUAGAAGUUUUUCUGGUGAAAACCCUCCGACGCUCAAGUCACAAUAUUGUAUCCAACCAAUAAAAACUAAAAGAUCCAAAAGUUACAAGUUCUAACACCACCCAAAUAAAGGCAUGUUAGGAUUGUUUUUGGGAAGCUCAAAAGUGAUUUUAAAAACUAAAAGCUAAUUUUUAAUGUUUUAUAAAUUUAAAAACUAAAAGUUCUAACACCACCCAAAUAAAGGCAUGUUAGGAUUGUUUUUGGGAAUCUCAAAAGUGAUUUUAAAUAUUAAUGGUGCGUUUACUUCUUGGAAUAGGAAUGAGGUGGAAUGGGAAUGGACUGGAAAGGAAAUGAGGAAUGGGAAUGAGAUUUCAAUGUUUACUUGGCAAAAAUAAAUGGGAAUGGGAAUGUGCUGGAAUGCAAUUGAUGUGUUUACUUGGAAAAAUAAAUGAGAAUGAGAAUCAAUUUACCAUAAUACCCAUAGUAUUAAUAAUUAAUAAAAAUAAUUAAUUUAUCAUUAUUGUUGUUAUUAUUACUAUUAUUACUAUUAAAAAUAAUAUUAACAAUAAUUAAUAAUAACUAAAAUAAUAAAGUUAAUAAAAUAUUAUUAAAUUUUAUUAACUCUAUUAUUUUAGUUAUUAUUAAUUAUUGUUAAUAUUAUUUUUAUUAAUAUUAUCAUUAUUAACAUUUAUUAUUAUUAUUAAUAUUAUUAUUAUAUUUUAUUAACUUUAUUAUUUUAGUUAUUAUUAAUUACUGUUAAUAUUAUUUUCAUUAAUAUUAUCAUUAUUAACAUUUAUUAUUAUUAUUAUUAUUAUUAAAUUUUAUUAAAUUUAUUACUUUAGUUACUAUUAAUUAUUGCUAUUUUUAUUUUUAUUAAUAUUAUCAUUAUUAAAUUUUAUUAUUAUUAUUUUAAUUAAUAUCAUUUUAAUAAUAAUAUUUAUACAUGUAUCUAGAUAAUGAAAAUUACAUUAUUAUUAUUAUUAUUAUUAUUAUUAUUAAAUUUUAUUAACUUUAUUAUUUUAGUUAUUAUUACUUAUUGUUAUUAUUAUUAUUAAUAAUAAUAAUAAUAAUAACAAAAAUAAUGAUAAUAUUGUUAAUAAUGAUAAAUUAAUUAUUUUUUAUUAAUUAUUAUUUUUAUCAUUAUUUUUAUUGUUAAUAAUAAUAAUAUUAAUAAAAAUAAUUAAUAAUAACUAAAAUAAUAAAGUUAAUAAAAUUUAAUAAUAAUAAUAUUAUUAUUAUUAUUAAUGAAAUUUUAAAUAAUAAAAUUAAUUGUGAUUUGAAUGAGGGUAAUUUGGGAAAUAUGAAAAAAUUAGAGGGAUACAAAAGUAAAUAUAUAUUUCAUUCUCAUUCCCUCAUUUUUAUUCCCAACCCCUCAUGGGCUUGGGAUUCCCAUUCUUUAUUCCCAAAUUGUGUGAGACCCACACAUUUUAUUCUCAUUCCCAAAUUAUAUUUUGCCAAGUAAACAUGGGUUUCAUUCUCAUUCUUUCAUUCACAUUCCUCAUUCCAUGAAGUAAACAUACCAUAAAAGCUAAGUUUUAGUGUUUUAUAAAUUUUUUUAGUAAUUACUUUUGGUAAAAUCAUCUCAUCAUACAGUAGAUUUUGAAAAGUAGUGAAUGAAUAGUUUUUCAAAAUUUGAUUUUGAGAAUUACUUUUAUACUUAAUCCAAUUCUAUAUAUAUCCUCAUUAUAUAAUAAAAAUCCAAAAUUAUCUUUAUGAAUUAAGAAAUAAAAUCAUUAACUUAAAAUAGAUUAUUAUUAUUAUUACCAAUUAUAUUGAGAUAACAAAAUAGAGAAUACAAUUUAAUAAUAUAAAAUAUUUAUUUUAGUUAUCAAUAAUUAUAUGUACAUAAUAAAAAUAUUUUAUAUACAUGUUUGUAAAUGUGUAAAUAAAUUUUAUUUAGCAUUAUGUUCAAUUCAGUCAUUUAUAUUUUUUCACCAGUUUAAUAAUAAAAUUUACGAAACACAUACGUCUGCUUUUAAAACUAAAAGUACUUUUAAAAAUAAAUUUUACUAAAUGUUCAGCUGAUUCUCUUCACAAUUGAUCAAUUUCUACAGCAUAACUAACUGAAAUUAUUUUAAAAAUAAAAUUACCAAACUGACCCUAAAUCAAACCAAUAAAAAUGUUUAAAAGUAAUAAAAAUAAACCAAAGUAAAUGUACAAAAAUUCAUGCAUAAAUUGAUAAUCAACAAAAACAACCAAAAGUUUAACUCCAAGUUUUCUGUUCAAUUGACAUAACCCUUAAAUUUCAAAAGGCAUAAUCAAUUUUGUGUCUAAUCCUAUAAAAUUAGAAAAUUAAUGAAUUCAAGGGCAAAGCUACAUUGCAACAUGCCUUUGGUACCCCUCUCUUUUGUCUUUUUAAAGGUCAAUUAUAAUAGUGUCCUGGUAUUUGUUAUAAAAAUGAAAAUGUUGAAAAUUUUUAAAAUUUUACGCAUUAGUCCUACACCUACACAGUAUCAUUUUUCUCAUCCAUUUUGCACCAUCAAUGACAUCAUUUUUCUCACCCAUUUUAAUUAAAAGGUAAUUAAAAUUAUUUUCCAUAUAGAAACAGAAUAAUAAAAUAAAUUUUUUAUUCUUAUUUUUUAAUUAAUUAUAAAAAGAUAUUUUGUAUUAAAACAAUCACUAGUGACUACUGUUUCUUCGCGUGCAAUGAUAUUUUUAAUCGAAAGGGGACAUGAAGGGUUCCAUUAUAUUUGAAAUUGGAUGAUUUACAUAAAGAUAGUCUCAAUGCUAGCAAAUGGUGAUAUGUAAAGUUGCAUGCUCCUUCUAAAAUAACUGCAACAAUAACUAUACCACAAAAACACAAGGAGUUACAUUACACUACCACCUUUUCUUUUCUUUUCUUUUCUUUUUUUUUUUAAAUUUAGAGACCCUCAAUUUGGUUGUUAAAGGCAAUGAACCUUAAAACGUGAUGUAGGAAGCAUAUUAGAUAAAAUGAAUUAGAAUUUACUAGAAAUUAUAAUAUUUGGGUCAAUUUAAAAUUUAAUAUUUUAUUAAAAUUUAUCUUAUUUAUUAAGCUUACUUGAGUCAUAUUUGUAAUUCUAACCUAAUUAGGAUUUCAGAUUAUUUCUCUUAUUUGAGAAAGAUUAGCUACUAUUAUAUAUAUAAACUUGUUAUUCUUAAUUUAUGAUAACAGACACAAACUUCUUAUUAAUAAUUUUUAAUUUUUUCAUAAUUGAGAUAUCUUCUCCUUGGUGAGAGCAUCUUUUUAAAGUUUUCAAGACAUAAAUCAUAUUAGAGUUUUUUUCUGUACCAGGCAGAGCAUUCUCGACCACCAACUCCAUACAUUAGUUCCAUCAAGUUAAAAAAAAAAAACCCAACAAAACCCGAAGCCACCAUCACAUCCGUGCCACACGGCUGCCGCCGCCACUGGUUUCUCUUCUUUUUGGUCGAUCCUCUCUCCCAUCCAAAAGCCCUCACGUCGCCAAUCAUAACCCAACCCAUAACACCACCAUCCCGUCACCGUAGCCACGGGAAACUAGCCAAAACAGCCGCUGAACCACCACGAAAAUCCACCUCUCUAUUCGCUGCAAUCCGUUGCGAUUCACAUCCUCCACCACCACCCAUUCGUCCACGAUCAUCAGCUCUUUCUUUUCAACCCACUCACGCUGCCAACCCUCGGCCGGAUCGCCAGAAACUGAAACCAACCUCCACCCACUACUUUAACUCAACUUUUCAAUCAAAUCACAACUAUUUGAGACAAAUCACCACCAGCAUCACACUCAACACCAUCAAAUCUUCUAGAUCCACCUAUCCUAGGCCAAAUUUUCGACCAUCGUCGCUGGCAACACCAACUUUUGCCUAUUUAUAAUUUUGCCCCUUUACUUUUCUAUACUUAUACUAUUACCUAUAAUUUUAUGUUCUUUAAAAAACACCCAAAAACCAAACAAACUUAUAAAAAAAUAAAUAAAUUAGAAUUUACUAGGAAUUAUAAUAUUUGGGUCAAUUUAAAAUUUUGUAUUUUAUUAGGAUUUAUCUUAUUUUAUUAAGCUUACUUGAGUCAUAUUUGUAAUUCUAAUCUAAUUAGGAUUUUAGAUUAUUUCUCUUAUUUGAGAAAGAUAAGGAUUAAUUUAGCUACUAUUAUAUAUAUAGGCUUUUUAUUCUUAAUUUAUGAUAACAGACACAAGCUUCUCAUUAAUAAUAUUCAGUUUUUUCUCAAUUAAAAUAUCUCCUCUUUGAUGAGAGUCUCUUUCUUGAGUUUUCAAGACGUAUAAUAGAACGAAAUCUAGUAUCGCUUCCGCCCUGCGUUAAAAUGUCAUCUAAUCAUAGGGUCUUGUUAUAGUUGUUUGCAUUGGAAGGCUCAUCUAUCGCCGACAUAUCUAUUUAUCCGGCAACAUUGCCACCAUUACAUUGAUCAGAGAAUUUUGAAUACGUUGAUAGUUUUUUGUUUUUCUGUUCACUCACGUCUAUUUCUUAGUGAUGAUACCGUCAUUGUUGUCAUUGGUGGUGCAAUAAUUUUUAGCAAUAUUAUUUUGAUUUUUCAUUUGAUUUACAAAACUUAAAUAUUAAAUAUAAUACUUAAUUUUAGUCUCAUACACUUAAAUAUUACUAAUAUUCAAGUUCAUGGAUGGAUAUUGAAUAAAUCAAAUUCAGAGUAUUUUAUAUGGAUACUAUCCAAUCUAUUCAGAUCAGAUACUUAGACAUCCAACUUGAAUGGAUUUGUUUGCUCUUUCUAGCUGUUAACUUGAUUAAUAAUUCUAUUGGGUUUGGUUUUAAAACUCCUAAUAUGAUAAUUCAUUCAUGACACAAUUAAUUAUUCACUUAAUUAUAUUAAUUGACUUCUAUUUUAAUUGAUAGAUAUGUGUUGAAUUGUCAUCUCUAUUGUUAUCCAUGUGUGAUGUUAGCAAGAAAGAAGAAAGAAUAGAAAAUACUUAUUUUUAGUUUUUUUUAAAGAAAUAUUUAAAUUAUUUUCAAAUAGAGUAAUUGUUUAGAAUUUUUUUACCCUUCUCUCCGAUAAGUUAAUGACUAUUUAAAUAGUUGGGGUGGAGUAACAAAUACCAAUUUAUUUAAGCGUGCAAUUAAAUUAUUAUUAUUUAUUUAAGGACAAAAACUCAUUGUUAAAAAAAAGAUUUUACAAGUUAAUAAACUAACAUUUUAUUAUUAUUAGUAAAUUAACAUAUUUUUACUAUAUAAUUAAAUAGUUGAUAGUAUGUUUAAUAAAUAUUAUGUUACAAAAAAAAUUAACUACAUAGAAUAUGAAAUUAAGUUUAUUUUUGUAUUUUGUAUAUUUCAUCUACUUGAGAUAAUAAAAUCUCUUGUGUUGAAAAACAAAAUUAUGGGUUUUGAACCUUGUUCACAUAGGUGAGAGAUAAUUGGUUGCCAUUAUGUUAAAUUAAAAAAAAAAGAUCAUAUUUAUACUUAUCACUAAUUAUGGUUAGUAAAUAAUAUACAUGCAUUGUUUAACUAUAUAACAAAGUAGUUAAUUAAUUAAUUAAUUAAUUAAUUAAUUAAUUUAAAUAGAUAUUAAUAUAUGUAAGAAUAAGUCAUUUAAUUGGAAACCUAUUUCAAUGGAGUUAAAAAAAAAAGAGAGAAUAUUAUGGACUUAUAUGUCAAAUUUCAAAACUUUUGAUUUUGUUUAUUUUGCAUGAACAAUAAGGGUCUUUGAUGUUAAUAACCCAAUAAUCACAUCUCAGCCAUUACGCAAUUCUUACAUUAAAUCCAACGGUAGGUUUGAAAAAGACAAAAAAUAGGGUACCAAACCCCACGGGUAUUGUAGUUGGACCCUGAAAUUCAAACUCCUUUCACUUUUCUGUUGUUUGGUUUUCACUAAUAUAUGGGAAUUUAAUUUCUAUUUAAAUUUAAUUUUCAUCAAAUUGUGCAUUUUGGAUUCCCCACCGAAGGCUGUAAAAUUCAAAUUCUCCUCCUAUUAGAAAUCGAAUCUUCCAAAAUUGCUCCUCUCAAAUAUUUAUCAAUUAUUUUAAUUCUUAUCAAAUAAUUCUUAUUUAUGAUUUUAUUUUUUCAAUUUAAAUUGUCACUAAGGAGCCUGACUUACUACCACAGAAAAGCAAAAAUACAAUUUAUAGAUUAUGAUAAUUCCAUGUAUUGUAUGAGAAUUGCAAUCUAAAAAUUUUCCCUACAAAACUUUAAAGAAAUUAUUAUUAUUACCAAUUAUAUGGACAUAACAAAAUAGAGAAUAAAAUUUAAUAAUAUAAAAUAUUUAUUUUAGUUAUCAAUAAUUAUAUGUACGUAAUAAAAAUAUUUUAUAUACGUGUUUGUAAAUGUCUAAAUAAAUUUUAUUUAGCAUUAUGUCCGAUUCAGUCAUUUACAUUCUUGCACUGAUUUAACAAUAAGAUUUAUGAAACACAUACGACUGCUUUUAAAACUAAAUGUACUUUUUAAAAUAAAAUUUACUAAAUGUUCGGUUGAUUCUUUUCACAAUUUAUCAAUUUCUACAGCAUAGCUAACUGUAAUUAAUUUUAAAGAUAUAGGAUUACCAAACUAACCCUAAAUCAAACCAAUAAAAAUGUUUAAAAGUAAUAAUAAGAAACCAAAAUAAACGUACAAAAAUUCAUGCAUAAAUUGAUAAUCAACAAAAGCAUCCAAAAGUUUUACUCCAAGUUUUCUAUUCAAUUGACAUAACACUUAAAUUUCAAAAGGCAUAAUCAAUUUUGUGUCUAAUCCUAUAAAAUUAGAAAAUUAAAUAAUAUUAUAUACUAAUAAUUAAAUAAUAUGCAAUUAAUAAUGUUUAAAAAAUAAUGUUAAACAUAUUGUCAACUAAAAUAAUUGGGAGAAUUGGAGUUCCAAGAUAAAUUCUUAUCGAGUCCCAAAUCAACAAUUGGGAUUAAUUUCAAUCUUAAACUCCGAAACUCCGACUGCUUUUAAAAUUGGUCCUAAUAAUAUGAACAAAUCCCAUUCUGAUCAGUAUGGGAUCCCAAUCCCAUACCUUUGGAUUUCGAUGGUAUUUAGUUGGAGGGAGAAGAGAGGAAGGAAAUGAAUUCAAAUUCCUUUCACUUUUCUGUUGUUUGGUUUUCACUAAUAAAUGGGAAUUCAAUUUCUAUUGAAAUUUAAUUUUCAUCAAAUUGUGCAUUUUGGAUUCGUCACCGAAGGCUGUAAAAUUCAAAUUCCCCUCCGAUUAGAAAUCGAAUCUUCCAAAAUUGCUCCUCUCAAAUAUUUAUCAAUUAUUUUAAUUCUUGUCAAAUAAUUCUUAUUUAUGAUUUUAUUUUUUCAAUUUAAAUCGUCACUAAGGAGUCUAACUUACUACCACAGAAAAUCAAAAAUACAAUUUAUAGAUUAUGAUAAUUUUACGUAUUGUAUGAGAAUUGCAAUCCAAAAAUUUUCCCUACAAAACGCUUUUUAAUCGACAGCAAAUACAUGCUUUCAAAUUUAGUCAGCUGAACUAAUUUUUGUUUUUUUGGAUUAAUUUUGAAAUGUUGCAUCCAUAACGAGCUGGUAUUGAAAUUAAUGUUAACAACAAAAAUAGAUGCAAAAGGAGAAAUAAGCAUCAUGGCCAUUAAUAUUUUGACAUUCAAUGUUGAUUUUGAUCCCACUAAAUUAAGCCAUCAAAAAUUGCUGGGAAGGGAGUAAUAUCUAUUUAUAACUGGAAAUUACUCACCGUACAAUGAUGAUUGGAGCUGCAUGUAUCAUUUAUUAUUAACAAUUAACUUAUGAAAUGCUUUGAAUGUACCUCCUAGGUCGUAUUUACUACACUAGUUAGGAGAAAUUACGAUGUUAAAUUAUUUGAUAAAUACUUAUUAUAAUUUGAAAAAUAUGUCACAUUUGUCCUCCACUUUAUGAUAAAAAAUUUAAAAUAUAUAUAAAUCAUUCAUUUUAUAAUCUUGAACUUUAUUAAAGUUCGAAAAACUAGUAUUACUCUAUAUGAUAUAAUAGUGUGAUGUUGUUACACUAUUUUACCAUAUAAAAUAUAUUUGCUUUCUUAUAUAUAAUGGUUCUGACAUCCUUAUUUUAACAAAGUGAUGAUAUCACUAACAAACUAAAUAACACAUAUUUCAAUACACCAAUAGAUUAAAAAGAUACAGUUCUUAAUGUGUUAAAAUAUAUGUUUCUUGUAUAUUAUUGAUAUUUUCACUUUAACAAAGCGAGGGUCUCCUCACUAUAGAAGUACUUUAUAAAUAUUCUUUGUAUUUUUGUGAAAAUUAUUAUUUAAAAGUCAUAUCUUACCAAAGACUAAUAGUUUUUAUUUUAUCACUAUACCGUACUUUUGAAGAUAGAACACCUCAAUACCAUGACCUUAAUUUUUGAACUCUGCUGUACAAAGUUGUUGGCUGGUCUAUUUAGUUUAGUCUUUCAAUUAUUUGUCGUUUGAACUGAGAUGAUCCGAAUAAAGCUAUAUAUCAAUAAUUUCCUAGUGAAACUUCGGGAAAAAAAAUAAAAAUCCUCUCAUAUAGUGGCAUUAUUUUAAUUCUCAGCUUGAUUAUGUUUUGAGUUAACUUAUAGAUUAUUUGAAAUAAAAAGAAUAUAAUUUAUUUUUCUAACUAAAUAUUUUUAAAUAAUUUUGUUAAUUUAAUGAGUAAUUAUACACUUACAAAGUUAUGAUAUAAAAUUUAAUCUAAUUUAGCUAAGAUGUCCAAUUUAAUACUAAGAGCAAUGUUAAGGAUCCCAAUAAUUGAGUCUCAGCUGAUAUGAUAGUCAUUUAUUAGAUAAUCGAAAUAUUAAUUUUAUUAGUUAUGAAAUUUAUUAUCUAAUAAAAAAAUAACACAUAACAAUUGGGUCUCAAGUUAGAAUUCUACUAUCGAAAUUCCUAACAUUAUUCUCAAAUUAAAAAUUCAUCAAAAUAAUAUCUAUUAUCUAAAAAUAUAAAUAUAAAUAUAAAACCAUAGAUUUACUCUUCAAUCUUCGUGAUUUGGCCGAUUUCUCUUAAAGCUUUGGUUUCUUUAUAAGUGCAACGAGAAAUAGUAAGAAGAUUAAAAAAGCAAUAAAGUAAAACUUUAAAAUUUUUAUUUCUUUAUAUUUUUAUCGGUCAUUUGACCGGUACUGGCGUUUGAUUUUCUGACCGAGCUACUGUUUAGUUCUAAGUUUUGGCAAUUAGAACUGGUGGAUGUCGACUGUUCAAUAAUGAUGGCAGCAUUGACGCAGUGGAAUAAGGAUCACAUAUCUCAAACUUUAGGUGAUGAUAUUGUUAGAUAUUUCAUUGAUUGAGGAUCACAUGUUUUAUGACCACUAUUGUUAGAUAUUUUAUUGACUUACUAUGUAAGUCAAGCAAUUAUUUUUAAAUAAUGAUAUUAUAAUUAAAAAUCAAGAAAUAUUUAUAAUACUUAAAGACUAAUUCAGAUUAUUAUUAUUUUAUAUGACUUAAUUAUUAGCUGACAAAUAAUUAAAAGGUCAUAGAACAAUAUUUUUAGGUCAAAUUUGUAUUCUAAUAUGACACAACUUGUACUUUCAUUCCUAUGCUAAAAUAUAUCUAACCUACUAAUAGUCAAGAAAUAUAUCUAUUCAUCACAUACUUGUUAGAAAGAUUAUCUACUAAUUAAUCAUUGAGACGAGAUUACGAGUCUCAACAUAAAUUAGGAUAAAAAUUAAUACAUUGAAAUUCAGAACAUUUCUUUUUCCUCCUUCUGCAGUUUAAAAAGGAGUCGCCCACGAGUACUGAAAUAAUUUUAUCAGAUUCGCUUGAAAGUAGUUUUACGAGCAAGCAGUUUUUCCCUCUUGAUCCCCGUAUUCGUCAGCUCCUACUCUUUGCCUUCAAUUCUCAGUCAAGUAGUAUCAGUUUUUGUUGUCAGCUCUCUUGAAUUUCACUGGAUCAAGUUUUCUCUUGGCAUCUGUUUUGUUGUAAUCUCCAGUCUUUGUUAAUUAGUUUCUCUCCAUUCCCAAUCUUGUUGUGGCCUGCUGUUGUCUCUGUUUGGUUCCAUAUCUACCCUUUGUACUUCUACCGUGUCAAGAUACCUUCAUUUUUUCCAUCUCUAUUACCAGUCAAUAUUUUUUCCGUCUUUCUUCUGGUCAAUUCUUCAGUUAUUCUGAUUGGUUCCCUUCGCCUCUAUUAUCUAAAUCAUUCCUUAUAUUAAUUCAAUCAGUUCUCGAACUAGAAAUUUUUUCCUUGUUUCCAUCUUCUCACCAGAUCCAUAACAGCUUUUACUCUUUCUUUCAUUUCUCCGCUUCCAAAACCGGAUAAACUGUCCAUCUUCGUUGUUUCGUUUUUUUUUUUUUUCACUCCCUCUUUGUUUCGCUCGUUUUCUAUUUUCUUGUCAGAACUUUGAAAAAAAAAAAAAAAGGGAUCCAGGAUGGUGGAAAGCAUUGUUACUGUUGUUUUAGAAUUUUUGAAAUGCUUGGCUCCUCCAACAGAACGCCGAUUUGGUUAUUUGCGUAACUAUAAAGCCAACGUUGAGAAUCUCAAGGCAGAAAUAGACAAGCUCAAGGAUGAAAGGAGAAGCAUUCAGCACAGGAUUUCUGAGGCUGAAAGAAAAGGGGAAAAGAUUGAAGAGAAGGUUGAGAAGUGGCUGGUUCGUGCGAACAACACCAUUGAGCAGUCAGCCAAAUUCAUUGACGAUGAGGAGACAACAAAUAAACGAUGUCUCAUGGGCUUGUGUCCUAAUUUGAAGACCCGCUAUCAGCUUAGCAAGGAAGGAGAAACAAAGGUGAAGGCCAUUGUUGAACUCAAAGAAGAAGCUGGGAAAUUUGAUGAUAGAAUUUCCUACCGUACCAUUCCGGAGGAUAUAUGGCUCAAGUCUCACAAAGGCUACGAGGCCUUCGAAUCAAGACUUUCUACUUUGAAGGCCAUACAAAAUGCAUUGAUCGAUGUUGAUGUCAGCAUCAUUGGGGUCUACGGCAUGGGCGGCAUUGGAAAGACGACACUGGUGAAGGAGUUUGCAAGGCGAGCCAUUGAAGACAAGCUUUACGAUAUGGUGGCUUUUUCGGAGGUUACCCAAAGUCCAGACAUAAAAAAGAUCCAAGAGGAAAUUGCGGAAACGUUAGGCCUACAGUUGUCCGAGGAAGCUGAGUCUAGAAGAGCUGGUAGACUAUAUGAAAGAUUGAAGAAUGAGAAGAAGAUCCUUGUGAUUCUGGAUAACAUCUGGAACCCUCUUGAUUUGGGGACUAUUGGAAUUCCUUUUGGAGUUGAGCACAGAGGAUGCAAAUUAUUAUUCACAACAAGAGAUCUUGAUGUGCUGUUAAGGAUGGGAUCUGAAAAAAACUUCUCGAUUGGCAUUUUAAAUGAACAAGAAGCCUGGAGAUUGUUCAAGAUAAUGGCUGGUGAUUAUGUUGAAAAUCGUGAGUUAAAAUCUACAGCAACAAGUGUAGCCAAGGCAUGCGGAGGUUUGCCUAUUGCCCUAACCACAGUAGCAAAGGCACUGAGAAAAAAAGAGCUGCCUGUGUGGAAGAAUGCCUUGCAAGAACUCCAAACGCCUUCAGAGGCGAGCUUCGACGAAGGAGUACCAGCAGAGGCAUACUCAACAAUUGAGCUGAGUUACAAGUACUUAAGAGGUGAGCAACUCAAGAAAACUUUUUUACUGUGUAGUCUUAUUACGCCAGCACCAAUUAUGGACUUGUUCAAAUAUAGCAUGGGCUGGGGUGUAUUUAAAAGUGUCCACAAGCUAGAAGAUGCACAUAACAAAUUACAUGCAUGGGUCCAUCAACUAAGAGACUCUUGUUUGUUGCUUGAGGAUGGUGGCAGUAAAUACUUUUCUAUGCACGACGUUGUUCGCGAUGUUGCCAUUUCAAUUGCAUGUCGUGACAAAAUUGGAUUUGUGGUGACAAAUGAGGAUGAUUGGAAAUGGCCAAAUGCAGAUGAAUUAAAAAAAUAUCUUGCAAUUUCUUUAAAAGAUAGUAUUAUUAAUGACAUUCCUGAAGGGUCCGAAUCUCUACAACUUGAACUUCUAGUCAUGUCUCCCAAGAACUCUUUUGCUGUGCCUAAUAUUCCUGAGAACUUCUUCAAAAGGACGAAAAAGCUUCGGGUUUUGGAUUUUACUGGAAUGCGGUUAUUGUCAUUGCCAUCUUCAAUUGGUCUUCUAGUAAAUCUUCAGGCACUCUGUCUUAAUCAAAGCAUUUUGGGAGGCAUAGACAUAGCCAUUAUUGGAAAGUUGGAAAAUCUAGAAAUCCUCAGCUUUUUGCAAUCUGAUAUUGUAGAGUUGCCUAAAGCACUGGGUCAACUGACUAAGCUAAGGCUGUUAGAUUUAACAGACUGUUUCCGUCUGAAAGUUAUUGCCCCAAAUGUCAUAUCAAGCUUAAUCCGAUUAGAAGAAUUGUAUAUGGGUAAUUGCUCCAUUGAAUGGGAGGUUGAAAGAGCCAACAGCAAAAGAAGUAAUGCUAGCCUUGAUGAAUUGAUGCAUUUACCUCGGCUAACCACUCUAGAAAUUGAUGUUAAAAAUGAUAGUAUUUUACCAGGAGGCUUUUUGGCCAGAAAGCUCGAAAGGUUCCAAAUACAUAUUGGAAAUGGGUUAUUCACACAUCCCAUGCUUUUUAGACACAGAUGGUUUAAAAGUUGGCAGCACUUUGUGAUCGACAGAGAUCGCAAGAGUUUAAGAGCAUUGAAGCUCAAGCUUGAUUUUAUGGACAUUUGCUCCAUGAAAUUGCAGGGCAUCAAUAACGUUGAAUGCUUAUGGUUGGACAAGCUGCAAGGCAUCGAGAGUGUUCUUUUCAAUUUGGACACGGAGGGCUUUUCACAAUUGAAGCUUCUCUGGGUUCAAAAUAAUCCUGACAUCUUUUGUAUCGUCGAUUCCAGGGAGAUGGUCGCUUGUGAUGCCUUUCCUCUUUUGGAGUCACUUAUCCUUCACAACUUGAUCAACAUGGAGAGGAUAUGUAUUGAUCGGCUCAAAGUAGAGUCUUUCAACAAACUCAAAACCAUAGAAGCAUAUAGUUGUGAUAAAUUGAGUAAUAUCUUUUGGCUCUCUACUACAAAAUGCCUUCCAAGACUUGAGAGAAUUGCAGUUAUUAAUUGCAGCAAGAUGAAAGAGAUUUUUGCAAUUGGGGAAGAAGUUGAUAAUGCAAUUGAGAAGAUAGAGUUUGCUCAAUUAAGAUAUUUGAGUCUGGGGAAUCUUCCAGAGGUUACAAAUUUCUGCCGUGAAGUAAAGACUCCUUCAGCAUCACCAAACAGACCAGCGUCGCAGGAGGAAUCGACGACUACGUAUAGCUCCAGCGAAAUCACUUUGGAUACUUCAACUCUGCUUUUCAACGAGAAGGUGCGUAGGCUAACAUUUUCUUCAUAUAUAACAGAUUUUAUUCAUAUAAUUAAGAAAAUUGGUCAACUCAAAUGGACUUAAUCAUUUAAUUUUUCGUAAUUAAAUCAUUUAAAGAAUGGAAAGAAAAUGGAAAAAAAAGGAUAAAAAGAAUCUCACGCGCUCACUAAUUGAGCUCUUAACAAGUAGUAUGAAUUAGAAUGCAUACUCAGCUGUCAGUUGGAAAUUGAUUCAGACUUGCAUUAAUUUGUAAUCAAAGAAGAAAAUUUCAACAAGUGCUUCCCAUAUGGAUAUUGGAUCUAACGAGAAAUUCUUAUUUUUUUAGGUUGUGUUGCCUAACUUGGAGGCUUUGGAGAUAUAUGAAAUUAAUGUCGACAAGAUUUGGCACUACAAUAAUCUUCCGGUCAUGUUUCCUCGCUUUCAAAAUUUAACACGAUUGACUGUGCAUCGUUGUCAUAAAUUAAAAUACAUAUUUUCAGCGUCUAUGAUCGGAAGCCUUAAGCAGCUCCAACACCUAGAUAUACGACUCUGUAAGGAAUUACAGGAGAUCAUUUCUGAAAACAGAGCAGAUCAAGUGACCCCUCAUUUUGUCUUUCCACCGCUCACCACUCUGAGACUCGAUGGUCUACCAAAACUUAGAUGUUUGUACCCUGGAAUGCAUACUUCGGAAUGGCCCGCGCUAGAAAUUCUUUAUGUGUAUGGUUGUGACAAAUUAAAGAUAUUCGCUGCAGAUUUAUCGCAGAAUAAUGAGAAUGAUCAACUUGGUAUUCCUGCACAACUGCCCCCCUUGCCGUUGGAAAAGGUAUGAAGCCAUUUUCUAGAUUUUUUAUCAAUAGCUUAUUUUUAACUUUGAAAAAUAUGACAAAGUAUCGAUAAAUUAAUACUCAAUAAAUUAAAAACUUUUAUUAUACAAUAAUCUUUGUUAGUCUAGACUAAGGGAUCAAUGUGGUAGAUUAAUAAUUAUAUGAAUUGUUUUAGGUAUAGCAUUUGUAAAAGAAUCCUCAGUCUUUCCAUAUAGAAGAACUUACAAAAUAAAUUAGUAAUUUAUUAUUGUGCAAUAAAAUAAUUUCGAGCCUGUAUAAAUCAACAUUUUUUCCCUAAUUUCUUUUUUACCUCUAAAAUUAACAUAUAAAAAAUCAUUUAAUAAAUUUUAUCAAUAAUUCAAUCUUUUUUUUUUUUUUUGAGAAUGAUGAACUUGAUACUCCUGCACAACAGGCCCUAUUGCCGUUGGAAAAUGUAUGAAGCCAUUUUCUAGAUUUCUAUCAAUAGCUUAGUUUGAACUUUAAAAAAUAUGACAAAGCAUCAAUAAAUUAAUACUCAAUAAAUUGAAAACUUUUAUUAUACAAUAAUCUUUGCUAGUCUAGACUAAGGGAUUUAUUGAUAGAUUAAUAAUUAUAUGAACUUUUUUAGGUAUAGCAUUUAUAAAAGAAUCCUUAGAGCAUCACCAAAAGACUCUUUAAAUAAGAUUUUAUUACUUAUUUGAAGAGCCACAUCAGCAUUUAAAGUUCCAAAAGAUACUCCAAUUAAGAUUCUUCAAAUAAGAAAUGAUCAUCUCUCUUCAAAUUUGGAGAGUUGCAUUCCCCCUCUUCAAUUUAUAUUUUAUUACUUUUUGUUGGAGAAAGAGAGAGAGGUGUUUUAAUUACUAUUGACUUUUUAUUUUUUAAAAAUAGUUAUUUAAUUAAAAUAAUAUUAAUUCAUUUCUAUUUGAAGAGUCUUUUGGAGAAUAACAUAUUUUUUCACUUUUCUAUUUGCCACAUAGGUAAGCAAAUAGAAAUUUGAAAGAGUAAAAUUUAUAGAGCCUUUUGGAGAUACUUAGUCUUUCCAUAUAUAAGAACUUACAAAAUAAAUUAGUAAUUUAUUAUUGUGCAAUAAAAUAAUUUCCAGCCAGUAUAAAUCAAAAUUUUUUCCUUAAUUUCUUUUUUACCUCUAAAAUUAACAUAUAAAAAAUCUAAAAUAUAAUAUAAAACAAAUACUAUAAAGUCACUGCGUGUGAUUGGAUUACUUAAAAUCAUUUGAGAGAACAUCAAUUGACCUUAAUAAUUAUUAUGAUUGAUGAUGAUCAGAUCUUACCCAACUUGAAGGACCUAACAUUAAAUGGAAAAGACGUGAAGAUGAUUUUGCAGGCCGAUUUCCCCCAACCCCUUUUUGGCAGUCUUAAACAACUAAAUAUUGUUGGCGAUGACUCAGCUUGUUUUCCAAUCUGGAAUGUACUUGAGAGAUUUCACAGUCUCGAAAUACUCAUACUGUGUUAUUUUUCAUUCCACGAAGAGGUAUUUUCGAUGGAAGGAUGCUUAGAGAAACAUGUGGGGAAGUUGGCAAUGAUAAAAGAAUUACAGCUGCACCAGCACUAUCAUCUUGAGCAGCUGUGCAAACAAGACUCCAAACUUGGCCCCAUUUUUCAGUAUCUUGAAAUUCUAAAAGUAUAUGAUUGUCAAAGUCUGUUAAUUCUAUUGCCAUCAUCAUCGGUAUCUUUUCGGAACCUAACGGAAAUUGUAGCUUUCGGUUGCAAGGAAUUGAUACACUUGGUAACAUCCUCCACAGCAAAAACUCUAGUGCAACUCGUCACAGUGCGUAUGCGUGAAUGCAGAGCGAUGACAGAGGUGGUAAUAAAUGACAAAGAAGGAGUUGAAAAAGAAGAGAUUGUUUUCCGCAAAUUGAAGACGUUGGAACUGCGUGAUUUAGAUAGCCUCACAAGUUUCUGCUCUGCCAAUUACACCUUCAAAUUCCCAUCUUUGCAAGAUUUGUGGGUGAUUGGUUGUCCCAAGAUGAAGAUUUUCACUACAGGAGAAUCAAUCAUGCCUCUAAGAGUAAACGUCUGCUAUGGAGAGACAGCGGAUCAACGGCGCUGGGCUAAUAAUGAUCUAAACACAACCAUACAACAAUUACAUGCUGAGAAGGUACGUAUAUACAUAUUACUCUCUAUCUCCCAUGAUAAAUUUUUACAAAAUUUGCUUUCUUAAAUACAAUAUAGAUAAGAUAUUUUUUAUAAAGUAAAAGUUUAAAUUGAUGAAUAAGAAUUUUACUUUCAGCUGUUGGCGGUGUCGUCGUCAUACUCUACGCAGUACGACUAAUUUCAUAGGCUUCUUAUGACUUGGAGUUGCGAAUUUUUAGAAGAAAGUCUCAACUGGUAAUUAAUUUUUAUUUCAUUUAUUUAAUCCCAUGGCUUGUUUCGCAAUUUCAUCUGAAUUAUUUAGAAUGGAUCCCUCGGUUUACUGUUAAAUUUGCAAUGCAAUUUUAAUGAUCCUUUCAGACUUUUAUGGACAGAUUUUGCAUAAUUGAAUGUCUUUUUAGUCUAGUUUAAUUUGAGUCUUUUUUUUUUUUUUGGCGAGCUCCCCUCGUCUUCUAAAAUUUUGUAACUCCUUGCAUACGUUUUGAUGAUAAAAUUUCAUUAAAAGCCUUCGUAUUUUUUAAAUCCUUGAAAACGUGCAUACUUUUUCCUUUCUUUCUUUGCCAAUUAUUUAUCGUCAUCAUUGCUGUUCUUUUAUUUUACUUUGUGCUCUGUUUGUUCAUUGGGUUUGCUUUUCUUCACACCUAUAUUUCCUUGGAAAGUUAGAAGGCAAGGAAAGUACUUAGAAAAUGUUCUUCCCUAUGAACACAUAAUUAAAGAACAGCUGAAUAUCAUUAAUCGGAUUAAAAAAAUUAAAAAAAAAAAGUAAUCAGUGCAUAUUCAUAAUAUUUUCUCUGUUGUUCCUGUUAAAAUUUCUCUACUCUAUGAUUGCAGAAUGUUUGGAUACUGAUGAAGAUUUAAGUCACUCGUCCUCUGUGAAUAAGGUCGUUUUCCUUUUUUCCUCUAUUCAAAGUUUACAUUCUGAGGGGUUCCCGUUUCCAUCUUCGUGAUCUUCUUGUGAUUCACUGCAUUGUGUCGCUACAUCUGUGAUAGUGUGAGUUGCAACAUGUCUGUUUCCUUUGUUUGAUCAUCGCAAGUCCAAAGACAUUUCAUUCUAGCUAAGCUCUUUGUAUGUAUUAAAAAAAAUUUAUUCUCAAUAUAUAUGACUCAAUGAGUGGUCUUUUAUUAUAUAUAUGUCAUGAAUUUCUAUUGUAUUUUGAGAUUUGAUGGUGUAUUAUUGUCUCAUUGAAAGGUCUUGUAAUCACUCUGAUUCUCAUUUGAGGAGGUUGGUCUCGUCUAUGUGUAUGUAUUUAUAUCCACAAGAAAUUUGAUAAAUGGUCUUGUCGUUUUAUCAUUAAAACAUCUAGUGCUUCAUAGGUUGGAGGGCUACCAGGCAUCAGGGCCAGAUUUUUAAACUCAAAGUUAUUCGUGUCAUUUACCCAUUUGAUUAUCAAAUAGUCAUAAAAGCAUAUAAAUUCAAGUCAGUGUAUCAUUUGUACACAAUAUACUAAAACUAACACAAGAACUUGGCCGACAUUUUCAGUUGAAUAACUCAGACCCCCCUACUUCCUCGGGCUGACAGCCCAAAGUGAAAAUAUCUAAAAAAAAUAGUUUGCUCCACAUCUAUCUUUCCUAACUUAGGAAGGCAAGGAUUUUGAAAGCUUUGCUUGAUAAAAUCUGAAAGUUCUGAAGAAGAUUCAGGUCACUCGCGUGCAGCCUCUGGAAUAAGAGCUGUGUUACUGUUUAAAAGUUUUCAUGCUCUGGAAUAAAAUUUGCUUUACUGUGUUACUGGUCAACUUCAUUAUUCUACUAAUGCUUUACUUCAUCUUCAUUGUAUCACUACAUUGACAGCGUUGACAGUGUAACUAAAACCCUUGCGUUCACAAGCAAUUUUGAUCACAUUAAACUUUUAAGAAAUUAUCUUUUAUAGCCAUCUUCCAUAUUAUUAGGAGGAGUCGUUUUCACUAUUUUUAAGAAAUUUUGAUCACAUUAAACUUUUGAUCUGAGUUCAUAACAAAAAUCAAAACGGUGCAUGACAUCAAGAUUAUGAUGAAUCAAAUUGAACUCCCAAUAUGUUAGUUCAUAAAAAAUGCUUUUCUUCUUCCAAGUAAUCUUAUCAUUUCUUUCAUUUUAUUCAUUCUCCUCUUUUCUCCUCUUUUCAAGUCUUCAAUCUUAAGUACAUUACUGAACUGGUUUUUCACCUCGGCUCCAGACAACCGAGAAGGUGCUUGUCCCCACUCUCUAGUUUUAUCAGAUGGCACUAUAUUUUCGGAACCUAUGAUUUGUUGGUAAAAAUCGACGGUGACCCACGUGACAAUUUUCUACUAUGUAUCAACCAAUUAGAUCUAGUGUUUUGUUGGCAAACAAGAAAUGCUUAUUUACCUUUAAUACUCCACCCAAACAAGUUGGCAUAUGCUAGAAAGUCGGAGAUAGUCCAUAACAAUGCUGCGUGUGACUUGAACAUUUGAUUACGUGAUGCAUUAUGCACCAUUCCAACCAUACUAGCAUCACUACCCGAGUCAUGACUAACCUGUUUCUUAGUUAGAUUUCAAAGAUGAAGAUGGCUCACCCUCCAAUAUCCAGUUUUAAUACUUUAACCAAUAGCCAUUUAUAAUGAUAUGGUCUCUUGCCACUUUCCUUAUAAUGAAAUAUCGAUAUUACAACACCUCUUAGAAGGACAAUAAAUUCUUUUAUCACCAACAACAUUCUCAAAUGCAAAAUCUAUAAAUUUUUUGACCCCCAUCAGUAUAUGAAUUGGAUAUCUAUUUGGCAAACCAACCCAACUCUGGUCCAUGACUAUCUCCUUUUAUUGCACUAGAAAAAUUAGUUAAAUAAAUCACUUUAAUUCUUCAUUUCUACUACUAAACAAGAUAUUUUCAUGCGUGCGCAGUUUCGCAAUAUAAUAAAAAAAAUUAUUAUACAAUUUUAUGGUUUUAUAUAUAUGGAAGCAAGCAAAGCCACAAGAAUCAGAGAAAAAGAUGUGAAAAUUAAAGUAUAUAUACAAUAAUAAUUAAUCUAAAAAACAGUUUGCAAUACCUUCUGUAAAGAAAUAUCCUCACCCACAGCUGAGAACUUCACUUGGCUAUCAAUUACAGAUAUAUAAAGCCUGUUACCUAGAAACAAAAAAUUAGGUCAGCCAGCUGAAACAUAUUUAUAAACCAACAUUGGAGAUAGUACUCCAUUUAUAAAAAAAAUUACAAGACUCAAAACCAAGUCGACUCAGCAAAAUCAUAACCGAUUACAUUCAUCCCACUCAGCUCCUCCAAUAUAUCCAACAUUCCCUUCAUAUUUACAAAAGGUAAGUGGUCCUAUAUAUCCCACUCAAGAAUGCAUAAGUUUCUUCAAUCUUAAGUAUCUAAAGUUUUCCUCUACGUUUAUAGAAACUUCGGAAGCAUCUCCCUAUAGUUCUUCAAGUACACGACAUAGAUAUAUGAGUGUUUAUGUGUUAUGCCAAAACAAUACAUGACACCCAUUUGUCUAGUAUGCACCCAGAGAACAUGAGGAGCAGCUGCUGAAAAACCCAUUUUUACGUGGGAAAAAAAUUUCAGGCACUAGCUACCAUAGAAAUCUAUGCAUUACCAAACUGUCCAAGCCUAGAUAAUUCAAGAAUUAUUAAUAGACAUAAGAUCCUCACUAUCAUCCAAAAGAUGACACUAAUAAAACAUGUGUCUAUUAAUAAUUUCUUAAAGGAGUUUAAGCUUUCAAUGCAUGUAUCAAAAGUUUAAAAUUGAAUCUGAAACUUGAAUAACACAUAAAAAUCAUAAAUCUCUUCAAUUUAUUCCUAAUAAAAUGUAGCAUUUUUUCACAUUUCAUUUCUUAAGCAAAACCAUAAAAAAUUACAAACAACAAAUACAUUUUCUAGCACUGAUGCACAUUAUGUUUACUGAGCAAUAAGUUUUAAGUCAUUCAUAUUAAAAUACUUCUUCCUAUUCUAUCAACAAAUAACUAGUAUGUACACACAAUUAAUAAAUUAAAUGUAACCUGGUUGUGAAUCUUGCAAAGUCUUCCUAUUUGGUUUUUUUUUUUUUGGUGGUGGUUGGGGGGGGGGGGGGUGGUUAUGCUCAUUUGUAUGUUGUUAACAGAAAUUGAUCCAAAGCCUCCGUUUUAAUUAGCUUCAUUAUAGCCAAUGAUUAGGUGUUUAAAAACCAAUGAAUAUUUUUUAUAAGAAAUCAACAAUAUUGUUGAAAGAAAAACCAAAUAAAAAUAAUAAAGCAAUGCAUAGAUUAAGGCUCUUUAUUAUCUAAUAACUAAUCAAACUAAGUUGUGGGUAAAGGCGAAUAUGUUUGUUUGGCCAAUAAUAAACUCAAGGAAUCACCAAUAAUCACCUAGUUACUAUUCCUUAUGCCAUGCAAUGUAAUGGCGUCGGUAAUGGCGACAAGGCAGGCAAUAACUAGCUAGCUAGUUAUGAUAGUUGCUUAACUUAACCUACUGGAAAUCUGAAGACCAAAAUGAAGAAACUUUGUCUAGAACUAGAAUAGGAAAACAUUCAUACCCAAAACCAAUAUACAUGAUUAAGAAACUUGAUUAUAUGUAUAUUUUUGUUUGCCACACCAAAUCCCACUAUUUCCAUACUCAUAAGCACAAAAAACCAUCGCAAAAAUGAAUGACCAUAUAAAAUAAAAUAGGUCGUAGGACAUUGAGUAUAGGACAAUAUGAUUUAUGUACCGUAAAAUAACUAUAUCUGCAGUCAACUAUAUUUCUGUUCGAACUCUAAAGUUUUCCAUUAAAUUUUUUCCCCUGUUAGGUAAACCACUUAACUGAAACACUUAAGCAAGAUUGACAAUCAUAGACAUAAAAGUAUUAGGCUCGUUCAAGUGAAAUGAGCAUUAUUUGACAUAUCCUUUAGGCUUUUAAGUCAUUUAGAAGUCAUUCAUGUUAAACAAUUUCUUCAUAUACUUUCAAUAUAAUUAGUACAUACACAAUUAAUUAAUUAAAUAAAUCUGUUUCAGCUAGCACAGGAACUUAAGCAAUCAGAGCUAUUAGUUAUAGCUAGGACUUGAAUGAGGCACCUUUCAAAGUUCAAGAGGAGCAUCUGAACAGAAUGAAAGCAUUUUGUAGAAAUGGUAGUGAUGCUUUACAUCUACAUGCUCUUACACAAUAUGAACUUUCAUUUAUUCAAGAACAUAACACUAAUCCAAGCUCUUACUCUACAAGUCAAUUCAGUUUGUAGAUGCAAGCCAUUGUAAAAACUUUUGUGUUAUAAUUUCCGUAAAUGGAACAUGACAUUACUAAUAUAGAAUCAGCAAUGUUAUAUAACUUAUCAGACAAUAUAACAAGCACUUGGCGAGCAUAUAAGAUAAACUAAAACAAGUUAAUUAGAAAAUGAAACUAAAACCCAAGCUCCGCUAUUCAUUGUAGAAGCUUUAAACAUAAAAUAAAAGUAAAUCUAAAUACAUGAUUGUAAAACAUUAGAAUGAAUGUUGAAAUGAAAGCUAAAUUCAAUAGUAAUCCAAAUGAAUCCAUUUGAACUUUGUAAAUUCCGCAGAACAAAAUUAAUUUGAGUGAGCAAAGUCACCAAUGGAACAAGAACAGAAGGGCUUCAACUUCUAGGAACAAGAAAUAUUGCCGGCGGGACAAAAAUUGACAUUAAUGGUUACAAUACGAAUUAAAGAAAUCAAAACCUAUAAUUACAAGCUAAGAAAGAGAAGAAACUCAUAAUCACAAGCUUACCUGAAACGAUGAGAGAGAUAAUAAGAUGAAGAAGAAGAUCGCCGCCGUUUUACGCCAUUCUCCGGCUACCAGUAAGGUUUAGGAUGGCCAGGCACGCACGAGAGAGAAUUUGGGACUUUGGUUUUGAAAAUAUUGACUUCAGCAAAUAGUUUUCUAUUUAGAAACAAAUUUAUAACUCUACCGUCAAAAUAAUAGUAUGCCAAUUGGCUCUCUACCGUCACGUGGUUAGUAACAUAAGUGAGAGCAGUCUAGCAGAUAUUCCCGCGGGGACAUGACCCUCGAGAUUUUCCCAAUUCAGGAGGGUAUAUGAAUUGCUAGAGAUAUUUUGGCAAUUCUAAUUACAAAUGUUGCUUCUGAAUUAGUUUUUAGCACCAGUGUUAGAGUACUGUAACACGUUUUAUUCAAGCACAUUGGAGGCUUUAAUAUGUUGUCAAAGUUGACUACAAGCUUACAAUGGCAAUAUGAGUUUAUUUUACAUUGUAAUUAUAUUAUAUAAUUAUUAAUAUUUUCACUUAGAAUUUACAUUACUUAUAUUAUUUUUGUUGUUUUAAAUUUGAAAUCUGAGGCUAUCUCUCAAUUUGUCACAUUUCUCGAGGAAGAACAAGAAGAGUAGGAGACACAAGAGGUAAAUACUUUUAUUAGAAAUAUUGAUUAAGUAUCUAUAUUCAUUUCAUUUAUCUCAUUGUUGAUAUAAAAGUAAUUUCUUUUUUUUUUAUUAUAUGAUUUUGAAGAUUGCCGAAGAUAAUUAUUAUGGUGAUUUAUACUUUGUAAUGUGACUUUUGUAAUAGAUUAAUGUUAAUGUAAGAUAUAUCGUCAAACUUUAUUUUUAUUUUUUAUUUUAAUAUGAUUAAAUUAAAAUUUAAAACUAAAAACGUAUCAGUUAUUCGACAAUCGAGGACCUUUAAGGAUCCCCUAUUAUUAUUUGGGGAGGGGAGGGGGAUUCCCUAAAGUAAUUUUGUCGGGAAUGGGAAGAGGACAUGGAUAUAUGCAGAAUAUCGGGAAUGGGUACGGGGAGAUCAGUCUCUUCCCCUCCCCUUUCCAUUGCCAUUCCUAACAAAGUUGGCAAUACAUGUACGGGCCGCUUUUGUAAAAUUGCUUUAAGGGUCGUUUGGGAUUGCUUUUGGGAAUAGCAUGCAAGAUAUAUAUAAAAAAUAAAAUCGUAGAAUAACUUUUACCUCUAAUUCGAUUUUUUCUUCUUUUUUGUAAAUUAUUAUGCAUUUAUAUUAAAGUCACUGUGUAUGAUUGGAUUAUUAAAAGUUAUUUGAGAGAAUAUGAAUUGACUUAAUAAGUUAUUACGUGAUUGAUGAUGAUCAGAGCUUACCCAACUUAGGAGGAACGGGCAUUAAGUGGAAAAGACUCGAGGAUGACUUUGCAGAGCGAUUUCCCACAACACCUUUUUGGCAGUCUUAAACUACUACAAACAGUGAAUAUGAGAUUGUUUUCACCAAAUUGAAGAUUUUGUAUCUGUAUGAUUUGGGUAGUCUCACAAGUUUCUGCUGAUAGUCUCAGAAGUUUCUGCUCUGCCAAUUACACCUUCAAGGAAUCUUUGGAAGAUUUAUCUAUAAUUGGUUGUCCCAAGAUGAAGAUUUUCACUAAAGGAGAAUUAAACGCGCCUCUGAGAGUAAACUUCUACUAUGGAGAGAGAGAUGAUCAACAGCUUUGGGACCAAACUAAAUUCGUUAAUCAUUAGUUUUUAACUUCAUUACUGUAUGGAAGUCCUGUCAAAUUAAAUUGCUGCUGUUAAAUUUAUUAAAUCUCUUGCUUCCCUGCAAAUCUCUGUGUGCUUUAAUUUUAAUUGAAACUAAUGAAUGAAAAUUUUACUUUCAGCUGUUGGAGGGGUCCUCAUCUUAUUCAACGAUGUAUGUGUCCUAAUGGCAUUGGCAUUUUACUUUAAUUACAAGCGAGUUGUGAAUUUGAAAAACAAAGUCCCGGUUAAUUCAAUUUCAUUUCAUUUUAUUUGAUUUCUUGGCUUGUUUUAUUGCUUCAUCUAAAUUGUUUGGAAUACACCACUAGUUUAUUUUUACUUUUAGAAUGAGUUUUAAUGUUUUGUUAUGAGAUUUAUAUGCUUAUUUUAUAUCAUUAAAGGUCUUAGUGACUUAUCUAUUUAUUUAUUUUUAUAUCAUUAAAGGUCUUCACUUAUUUAUUUAUUUAUUUUUUUGACGGUGUGGCUUUAUAAUGUGCUAUUUUUUUUUUAAUUUUGAAUUUUAUAAUUCCUUGAAAAUGUCAUUGAAAGGCCCAGCACUUUUAUGUGGAAACCAUCUCAUCCUCUUUAUUUCGAACUAUUAAACAACCAAAUGUAUCCUAACAUAUAUGUUGAGAAUCAAUCUACUGAUUAAGAUAUAUGGCAAUGGUAUUGUCUGUUUGCUAUAGUUUGAUUACAAGAGAACUUUUCCAUUUGUUAGUUGCCAUCUUUGUUGAUCUGUUAAUUCAGUCUUCUUCUGUUUGUCCUGUUUCUCUGUUUAUUUCAACCUUUCUUUCAAAACUUAGAAGGUAUGGAAAGAGCAAGUACUUAGAAAUUGCAAGAAUUAUAUCAAAUCAUGCAUAUAUGCCCCUGCCUAUGAACUCUUAGGAACAAUCGAAUAUCUUUCCUUGAAUAACAUAAAACAAAAUCUACAGAUCAUUAAACCAUCAAAAGUUAGCUAUGAACAACAAUAUUGACCCCACAAAAGAGUUUUCUAUUUAGAAACAAAUUUAUAACUUUAAAAUAAUGGCAUGCCAAUUGGCUCUCUACCGUCACGUGGUUAGUAACAUAAGUGAGAGCAGUCUAGCCGUCACAUAAACAGUCACAAAAGCAACUGGCUGUUGCAAAGUAAGGGGUGGCAGAAAUUCCUGCAGUGAUAGGGAUUCUCGGAAAUUUUCUCCAUUUGGAUAGGAUAAAGAGAUAAUUUUUUAUUUAAUUUCUUAUGCAGAGAAGGGAUGAAAAUAAUUUUUUUAUCUAAUUUUUUAUUCGAAAAAAGGAUGAGGAUACAGCGGAAUCCUCAUCCCCUCCUAAUUUCUUGAUUUUAAUUUUAUUUUUAUUUUUAUUUUUUAAAUUAUUUAUAAAUAAAUAAUAAAAUGUAAAUUAUAAAAUAUUAAAUAUUAGUAUAAAUAAAAAAUAUCAAAAUAAUUAUAUUAUUAAACUUUAAGGCCUAACUUACUGCAUUAAUAUUUGGAUGAGAAAGUUAUCCUACGGAUGAAAGAUUUUAAUAUUUUAAGUUGGUGAAAAACAAAUGCUCAUAGGUAUCCUAUAUUGGCACGAAUUGCUGGAGAUAUUUUAACAAUUCUAAUUACAAUUGUUGCUCCUGAAUAAGCUUUUAACACAGUGGUAGAGUAUUGUAACACGCUUCAUUCAAGCACAUUGGAGGCUUUAAUGUGUUGUCAAAAUUAGUUACAAGCUUAAAAUGGCAGUAUGAAUUUAUUUUACAUUGUAAUUAUAUUAUAUAAUAAUUAAUAUUUUCACUUAUAAGUUACAUUACUUAUAUUAUUUUUAUUGUUUUAAAUUUAAAAUCUGAGGCUAUCUUUCAAUUUGCCACAUUCAUCGAGGAAGAACAAGAGGAGCAAGAGACGCAAGAGGUAAAUACUUUUAUUAGAAAUAUUGAUUAAGUAUCUAUAUUCAUUUCAUUUAUCUCAUUGUUGAUAUAAAAGUAAUUUCUUUUUUUUUAUUGUAGGAUUUUGAAAAUUGACGAAGAUAAUUAUUGUGGUGAUUUGUACUUUGUAGUGAGAUUUUUGUAAUGGAUUAAUAUUAAUGUGAGAUAUAUCGUCAAACUUUAUUUUAUUUAAAAUUUUAUUUUAAUACGAUUAAAUUAAAAUUAAAAACUAAAAACAUAUCAUUUAUUCAGGGAUCGAGGACCCACAGAGAUCCCCUAUUAUUAUUCAGGGAGAGGAGGGGAUUCUCUAAAGCAAUUUUGUCGAAGAUGGGAAGAGAGUAAGGAUAUAUGCAAAAUAUCGAGGAUAGGUACGGUGAGAUUGGUCUCCUCCCCAUUAUUAUCCCUAACAAAGUUGGUGAUACAAGUAACGGCCGCUUUUUGUAAAAUUGUUUUAAGGGCCGUUUAUGAUUGCUUUUGGUAAUAGCAUGCAAGAUAUAUAUAAAAAAUAAAAUGGUAGAAUAACUUUUACCUCUAAUUCGAUUUUUUCCCCUUUUUUUUUGUAAAAUAUUAUGCAUUUAUAUUAAAGUUACUGUAUAUGAUUGGAUUAUUAAAAGUUAUUUGAGAGAAUAUGAAUUGACUUAAUAAGUUAUUGCGUGAUUGAUAAUGAUCAGAGCUUACCCAACUUGGAGGAACGGGCAUUAAGUGGAAAAGACUCGAGGAUGACUUUGCAAAGCGAUUUCCCACGACACCUUUUUGGCAGUCUUAAACUGCCACAAACAAUGGAUGAUGCCUCAACUUGUUUUCCACAUGGUUUACUUGAGAGAUUUCAUAAUCUGGAAACUCUCAUACCGGGUCGUUGUUCAUGCGAAGAGGUAUUUUCAAACGGAGGAUACUUGAGAAAACAUGUGAGGAAGUUUGCAAUGAUAAAACAUUUAGAUCUGCACAAAUUUAAUCAUCUGAAGCAAUUGUGGAAACAAGACUCCAAAUUGCACUUCUUUUUUCAAUGUCUUGAAAUUCUAAAUGUACAUUUUUGUCAAAAUCUGUUAGGUCUAUGGCCAUCAUAUCAUCGGUAUCUUUUGGGAAUGUAAAAGAACUUCUAGUUCUUUUUGCAAGGAAUUGAUGAGCUUAGCAACAUCCCCCACAGCAAAAAGUCUAGAGCGACUCUUAUCAAUGGUGGUAUGUGGAUGCAGAGAAAUGAGAGAGGUGGUGAUAAAUGACGAAGAUGGAGCAGCAAAUUUAAAAGAAGAGUUGUUUUCACCAAAUUGAAGAUUUUGUAUCUGUAUGAUUUGGAUAGUCUCAGAAGUUUCUGCUGAUAGUCUCAGAAGUUUCUGCUCUGCCAAUAACACCUUCAAAUUCCCAUCUUUGGAAGAUUUAUUUUUACUUUUGGAAUGAGUUUUAAUGUUUUGUUCUGAGAUUUAUAUGCUUAUUUUAUAUCAUUAAAGGUCUUAGUGACUUAUCUAUUUAUUUAUUUUUAUAUCAUUAAAGGUCUUAAUUUAUCUAUUUGUUUAUUUUUUUUGACGGUGUGGCUUUAUAAUUUGCUAAUUUUUUUUAAUUUUGAAUUUUAUAAUUCUUUGAAAAUGUCAUUGAAAGGCCCAGCACUUUUAUGUGAAACCAUCUCAUCCUCUUUAUUUCGAACUAUUAAACAACCAAAUGUAUCCUAACAUAUAUGUUGAGAAUCAAUCUGCUGAUUAAGAUAUAUGGCAAUGGUAUUGUCUGUUUGCUAUAGUUUGAUUACAAGAGAACUUUUCCAUUUGUUAGUUGCCAUCUUUGUUGAUCUGUUAAUUCAGUCUUCUUCUGUUUGUCCUGUUUCUCUGUUUAUUUCAACCUUUCUUUCAAAACUUAGAAGGUAUGGAAAGAGCAAGUACUUAGAAAUUGCAAGAAUUAUAUCAAAUCAUGCAUAUAUGCCCCUGCCUAUGAACUCUUAGGAACAAUCGAAUAUCUUUCCUUGAAUAACAUAAAACAAAAUGUACAAAUCAUUAAACCACCAAAAGUUAGCUAUGAACAACUAUAUAAAAAUCAUUUGUUUCUCACCUUUUCGUGAGUCUGAGAAGUUGUAAAUUCUACUGAGUUUCUCACCUUUUUUUUGACAAUUGGAGUUUUUAGUUUAUGAAAUUUAAUGCCUAUAUUUCUCACAUUGUAGAAGUGUUUUGAAAAGAUGGUUUAUAUUGCACCAUAAAAAUGUGGUCUGAUAAACCAACAGGGGAGUAGUUUGAUCCAGUUACGUGAAAUGCAUGCAAAAUAAUAUUUUCUCUAUAGUUACUGAAGAGAAUUUUGGUCACUCUGGUGUGCAUUAUCUGGAAUAAAGUCGUUUUCCAGUUUCUUCAAAGUUUAUGUGCGGAGGACUUCCGGUUUCCAUCUUUAUGAUAUUCUUGACAUGCACUUCAUCCUGUCUCUCAAGUUCAAAUACUAAUAAAGAUGAGUAAAUUCAUCAUCCGUGUGUCUGCUCUUUCUAUGCAUUUUGACAUUUUUUAUUAAUGCGUCUCAAUGAGAUAUCUUGAUUAUAUGUAGCGAAUUAAUAUUCUGGCGUUUUUUGAGAUUUGAAGACGUAAUAAUUUCUCAUUGGAAAGCCUUUAAUUAUUGAUUUUCAUCAAAGGGGAUUGGUCUUGAAUGCAAAUGAAAUUUGAUAAAGGACCUUGACAUUUUUUAAAAUCAUCUAGCCUAGUAGUACUUUAUGUGUUGGAAGUGUCCCAGACCGAGAAAGAUUUCAACUUGGAGGAAUUGACAUAAAGCAAAAUGGUCUUCAUCAUCAUUUGUAUGGCAGCAGGGCCAGCUUCGUAAACUGUCAUUUUCCACGAACCAGCUGUUUUUCAAGUUGGAUUGCUCCGGAAUACUCACAAUCUGGAAAAGCUUGUAACCGUACAUAGAAAUAUUUUCACGUGCGGAGGUUGGGGAACGUGCUGAGAGGCUCACACAUAAAAACCUUAAAAGCUAAAAAUGGACUUUGGUGCAUUAAAAUUUUUAAAAUAUAUCAGAAGUAUCAUAUCAAUCAUACGAUAAGUAGAUAAUGUUAUAACAUGUGUUUAUUUAUUCUGAAAAAUUACUAAUCUGUAAUGUAUUUUAGAAUUCCUCCUGGUGGAUAGUGGAGCACUUAUGGAAAACAGAUUCCAUUUAUUUCUUCAAAAUCUUGAAAUUCUAAAGGUAUAAAAAUGUCGCCACAAUUUGAUAAAUCUUGUACCAUCCUCAGCAUCUCUCCGAAAUCUAACAGCAUUUACGCGGCUGUGCGGGACGAAUAAGCUAAUUAGUAUUUACUAACCCCAAACAAUUGAGAAGGAUACUAAAAUUUGGACCCUAUCACUUCAUUCGGUGUAAAUAACUAACUAAAAGUAGAUAAAUAAAUAGCUGAAAAUAUCACAAACUAUUUUAAAUUGAUUAUUAAAGUAAUGGAAUAUAUUAAAAUGAUAUAUAUAUAUGCGAGCGCGCGCACGUAUGUAUAUAUAAAAUAAAUAAUAUAUAUAGUCCUUUUUUGGUACAGACGCGUUCAUUUUUUCAUGCUAACAUGCUUUUAAGCCGUACAAUUUAAGAGAGCUAGUUGAAAGUUAGUUUUUAAUGUUAUUAAACCCUACGGCUUAAAAGGGUGUUUGCAUUAAAAAAAAAAAGAGAACACUAGCACCUAAUAAUGAUUAUAUAUAUAUAUAUCAAUUCAAGAUUUUAAAGUGCAAGAAAGUCCAAAAAAACUUUAAACAGUGGGGUUUUAAAAAUUUUCCGGACCUUUCUUGCACUUUAAGAUCCCGGAGGCUCUUGAUUAAAUCUUCAUCAUACUUGGAGAAAAUUAAAAAUGUAUGGAAGGAUAUUUUCAAGCUUGGUAAGGUCAAAUAAUUGUGGAGUUAAAAAAUUGAAUGAUGGGCAAGUUCAAACUACAAUACAAUUUAGAAACUUUUAGCGAAAAAUAAUAAGUGGAAAAACUUUAAAUUUCAUACAAAUAUGAAAUAUGUAUUAUGGGCUUGGCUAAGUUACGGUUUGUGUUAAUUUAAGGUUCAUGUAACUAACAACUUUAAUGAUAAAAUUGAAUAUAACAGUAGUUUUUUUCACAGAAAAAAUUAAAAAAAUAUAUGUAUUUUGGGCGAAACUUUUUGCGAAAAAUAAUGAGUGCCACGCUUUAUAACUUAAUAUGUAUUUUGGGCUUGGCGAAGUUACGGUUCAUGUAAUAAUCAAUUUAAUCAUUACCGGAUAAAAUUGAAUACACCAGUAGUGUUUUUCCGCGGAGAUAUCGCCAAAUUUUGUGUCAAAUAAAGAAUAAAAACCAUAAAUACCAGUAGUGUCCGAUUUUGAAAGCAAAGCAGCAUACAUAUUAACUACUAGGCUUUGAUGGUGGUUGCAGUAAAAAGGAUUAAAAGAGAGAGAGAGAGAGAACUUGAAAACUAUGGAAUGGAAGAUAAAUCAAAGUUAUAAAUUUGGACUCAAUAGUUUUGAUGUUCAAUCAAAUAUGGAGGGGCGAUUAGAAAUUAUCAAAAAUUUAGAGGGAUUUCAACCGUUCAAUUCAUUAUUAGGCGUUGUAGACUGCGGGGAUGCAGAAAUUUCCACAGGGACGAUGGCCCCGAGGGAUCUUCCUCAUUCGGGAGUUUGAUAAUUUUAGAUCUAAUUUUUCUAUGUGGAGACAAGAAUCUGAUAAAUUAAUAUGUGUGGGUGUAUAAUUUAGUGUUUGCCCUAAUAUUUUAUUUGGCUCCACAUUUUUCUAUUUCCAUCUUUAGUUUCUAUUUUUAAUUCUUUUUUUUUUCAAAUUUAUAGUAAAUACAUUUAAAAUUUCAAUUGUAAUAGUGUGAUGUAAAUAAAAAAUAUCAUAAUACAUUUAUAAAAAUAAUAUAAAUAACAGCCAAUAUAAAGUAAAUAUAAACACUUUAAAAUUGACAAAGAUAAUUUAAUUGAUGGUUUAUACUAUAUGACAUUUAUGGAUGAGUUCAACUUUGAAGAUUUACUUUUGCUUAAUUAGUUCAAAGAUUAUCUUCUCAUUUGAUGACAUUGACUUAAUUUGAUGGAAAUGAUUUUAAUCACUUUAGUUAAUUUGAUAUUUUUUGUGUUAAUAUGAUUUUAUAUUUUUACUUUAAGAUGAUUAAAUUAAGAAAAAAAAGAAAUUAAAUAAUCAGAGAUCGGAUGCCAUAAGAGAUCCCUUUGUAUUAUUUAGAAACAUCCAUCCCCUCGUUUCAAGUAAUUUUGAAGGAAAUGUCUAGAGUACAAAGAGAUAGACAGAGUAUUAAAGAUGAGUAUGGGGAAAUCAAUCCCCUCUCCUUCGCAUCUUAUUGACAUCCUUACAUAUGAGCCCAAGGGGAAAUGCACCGUGCCUGAUAAAAGUAAAAUUAAAAAUAAAAAAUUUCUUUUAUCAAAUCAUUCUAUGUGGUGGAGAUUAUUGUAUAAUCAAGUACACAUGGCAUUUUUAAAAGCUUUUUCUUUAUUUAAAGCUCUAAAGGUCUGCCUAAGAGUCAAGGUUGGUGCCGUUCUUCUAGAAGAACAACCCGUAUCUUUUGAUAUUCAAAGUUUGAAUAUCAAGUUCAAACUUUAAAUUUUGAAAUAAUAAUAAUAAUAAAUAUAAAAAGUGCCCAAAUUUUUAGCUAUAAAUAGAGGGGUUCACCCCCUCAUUUCAUUCAUUCUAUUCUUUUCUUCUUUAGUUCUAUAAUGAGAGAUUAAGAGUUUUAUACUCUUGAGUGACUAGUGUUUGGAGAGAUUGGGUGUAUUAAGGUUUUGAGAAGUGAAACAAAAUACUAAAAUACUUAUAAUCCUCAUUUCACUAGUAAAGUUUUAUCCUUUUGUCCUUACCUAUGGGCAUAAGUUAAAAGUCGAACCAAAUAAUUUAUGGUGUCCUCAGUGUGCUUGCUCUUCAUUUUCUUCCAAUUUCAUUUUACUCGCGGCCCUACUUCACAAAUUAAUUUUCUAAUAGUGGUAUCAGAGUCGGGUUGUAUUUUUUGGGGUCAAGAUACUGUUUACAUAUAUUGUACUGUUCAUGUAUAUGAUAUUGUUUCUGUAUACAACACUUUAUUCAUAUAUACAGUUACUGCUCAUAUGAAAUGGUAGGAAUCGAUCUUAGCAAAGGUAGCUCGUGGUGAACAAUGAUGGCGGAAAAAUACAAAAUUGAGAAGUUCAACAAAAAUAAUUUUUCGUCAUGAAAAAUGAAGAUGAAAGUUGUAUUGAGGAAGAGUAAUUGCUUGGCAACAAUUGAAGAGAGGCUCACAAAGAUAACUGAUGAUGACAAGUGGAAUGAGAUAGACAAUAAUGCCAUUGCAAAUCUGCACAUACCACUUUCAAAUAAGGUAUUAUUCAAUGUGGUAGAGUAAAAGAGAGCAAAGGAAAUAUGGUUUACUCUCACAAGACUAUACGAGGUCAAAUCACUACAAAAUAAAAUCUUUUUAAAGAGGAGGCUUUAUACUCUUCGAAUGACGGAAUCUACAUCAGUGAUCGACCAUAUCAACACUUUAAAGACUUUAUUUUCAUAACUUACAACGUUGGGUCAUAAAAUAGAGGAAAAUGAUCAUGUAGAGCUUUUACUUCAAGGUUUACCAGAUUCGUAUGAUUAAUUCGUCAUUAAUCUAACUAAUAACAAUCGAGCAAACAAGUUAGUCUUUGACAAUAUGGCAGCCUCCGUAUUAAAUGAGGAGAGUAGCAAAAAAUAAAAAAGAUAGACAGACAAGUUCGCAGCAAGUAGAAGCGCUAUUGAUGAUGAAAGGAAGAUCCAUGGAACGUGGCCCUAGUGAGAGCCACAAUCACAGUAGAUCGAAAUCAAGAAGUAAGAAGAAUGUUAAAUGCAACAACUGUGGCAAGAAAGAGCAUGUCAAGGAAGAGUAUUGGAACAACUAGAAGAGAAGAGAGGGUAAAGAUCCUGAGUCAUCAAAUGCUCAAGGGUAUGUAGUAAGUACCUCGUAUAAUGGAAAAAUUCUCUACAGUAAGGCAACAACUGCUUCAAAAGGCAGAAAACCACUAUAUGACGUCUGGCUUAUAGACUUAAUAGUUGUUUGGCACAUGAUCUCUCCAAGAGAAUGAUUUCACAAAUAUGAACCUAUUUCAAGAGAAUCUGUAUACAUAGGUGAUAAUCAUGCCUUUGAGAUCAUUGAUAUUGGUACUGUCAAAAUAAAUAUGUUUAAUGGUAUGGUUCGCACAAUUGAGAAGGUAAGACAUGUCAAAGACUUGAAAAAUAUCUCUUGUCUUUAGGACAAAUAGAUAGCCUUGUGCACAAAACUCAUGUAGAAAAUGGGAUCAUAAAGAUAGUCAAAGGCACACUUGCAUUAAUGAAGGUGGAAAAGAUCGGUGCUAAUCUAUUCAUGCUUAAAUGGAAACACUACAGAAAGCUUUUGUGUGUGUCACAUCAAAUAGAGAAAAUUCAGCGAUGAUGUGGCAUCUUAAACUUGGCCACAUGUCGAAACAAGGAAGCAACAUAGAUGAAAGUUUAGCAGAUCCACUUUCAAAAGUAAAUGUAUUUUAGACUUGAUUCAUUCUAAUGUUUGGGAAUCAAUUGAUAUAUCUAUGGGAGGUGCAAAGUAUUUGGUGACUUUUAUUGAUGAUUAUUCUAGGAGAUAUUUAGUGUAUCCAAUCAAGAAAAGGUCAAAUGUAUUUCCAUUGUUCAAAGAAUUCAAAGAAUAGAUUGAACUUAAAUCAGGGCAAGGGAUCAAGUGCCUGAGGACAGACAAUGGUGGAGAGUAUACAGAUAGCAUGUUUCUUGCAUAUGUAAGUAAGAAAGUAUCUAGAGAUAAUUUACAGUGGCAUACACUCCUCAAUAAAAUAGAGUAGUAGAGUGAAAGAACAUGACUCUUAUAGAAAAAAUAAGAGUUAUGUUGAGAACUGCUGGUCUACCAACUCAUUCUAGGCGGAAGUAGCAAAAACUACUUAUUAUGUGGUAAGUGGGUCAUCAUUCAAGGCAAUCGGGUUGAAGAUUCCAAUGGAAAAAUGGACAGGAAAGCCAACUGAUUACUCUCAUCUCAGGCAUUUUGAUGUCCUUUUACGUGAUAUACGAUACCCAAGUGAGAUUAAAAAUGGAUCCAAAAUCCAAGAGAUGUAUCUUCUUAGAAUCUAUUGAUGGAGUGAAAGGGUAUUAUCUGUGGGACCUCAAUGCCCACAAGAUCGUUAUUAGCAGAGAUAUUGUCUUUGUAGAAGAUCAAAUGCAAAAGAGAGAUAUGGAUGAUAGCACUAUUAAAAUUUAGAGAUUGUGCUAAUAUAUGUUGAAAAUAAUCUGGAAAAUGAAGAUUCAGAUUUUUUUGAAGCAGCACCAAAGUAUGAGAACAAGAACCAAUCAAGUCUGAGGCCCCAAAAGUUUGUUGGUCAACUCGUGAUAGAUAAAUGUAUGUGUGGCAUUUGGAUUAUGUCACAGAUAUCAAUUUUGCAUACUGUCUUUUAAUAGAGAAUGGAAAGCCAUCAACUUUCUAUGAAAUUUUAAACAGCUCAGAUGUUACUUUGUGAAUGAUAGCAAUGCAGGAAGAAAUUAAGGCUCUACACAAGAUUAUGACAUAGGAACUCGUACUACUACCAUAUAAAAAAAAACCAUUGGUUGCAAAUGGGUUCACAAGAUCAAACGUGAUGGUAAUAACCUAGUGGAGCGAUAUCGUGAAAGAUUGGUGGUGAAAGAAUGUAUUAACGUCAAUGAGAUAUUUUCUCCAGUGAUUUGACCCAGGACAGUCAGAGUGGUCUUGUCGAUGUGUGCUACAUUUGACCUAUAUUUGGAGCAGUUAGAUGUGAAAUUUUCAUUUCUUCAUGGAGAACUUGAAGGAAAGAUUUAUAUGCUCUAACUAGAAGGUUUUACUAAAAAGGGACACUUGGUUUGCAAGUUGAACAAAUCUCUAUACGAUCUCAAACAUGCACCGAGAUGUUGAUAUAAGAGAAUUGGUCAUUUCAUCAUAAACCUUGGAUACAAUAGAAUCAUUUCAUACUGUUGUACAUAUUACAACAAGUUUUAUAAUAAUGAUUUCAUCAUUCUACUGUGGUAUGUGGAUGACAUAUUGGUAGCAAGCCCCAACAAAGAUCGAGUCCAAGAACUGAAGGCACAGUUAACUAGGGAGUUUGAAAUAAAAGACUUAGAACCAGCAAACAAGAUUUUAGGGAUGCAAAUUCACCGAGAUAGUAAUAGCAAGAAGAUUUGGCUUUCUACCCCGCUUCUUAUUAAUUUCAAGUUAUUCUUAAGUAUUCAUCUAGUAAUGAAGUAGAGAAGAAGAGAUGUCUUGAGUACUGUAUGCAUCAGCAGUGGAAAAUUUAAGGUUUGCUAUGAUUUGUACAAGUAGUGGGAGCAGUUAGUCGAUACAUAGCGAAUCCUUGCAAAGAACAUUGGAAGACUAUUAAGAGGAUUCUGAGAAAUAUCAGAGGAACAUCAGAUGUUGCAUUAUGCUGCGAAGGAUUAGAAUUUACUGUCAAGGGCUUUGUGCAUUCAGAUUUUGCAGAAAAUCUUAAUAAAAGGAAACCCACUACUGGCUAAGUAUUUACACCAGAAGGCGAAAUUGUUAGUUGGAUUUCAAAAUUGCAGACCAUUGUGGCUUUAUCAACAACAGAAGCAGAUUACAUAGCAGCUACACAAGCUUGGAAGGGCUAUUUGGAUACAAAGGUUACUGAAAGAGCUUGGGCAUAAAAAUUUUUAUGGUUUGUGAUAGUUAGAAUGCAAGGAAUCCAACCUUUUAUUUCAGGACAAAGAAUAUAGGAGUACAAUAUCACUUCUUCGUGAAGUAGUGAAAGAUACAAGAGUGGAUACCAAGGAGAACUUAACAAAUGUUUUGCCCAAGCCUAUCAAUGCUGAUAAAUUUGUUUGGAGUAGAUCAUUUUAUGGCCUAGUAGAGACAUAAGCAACAUGAUAGCGACGAAGCAGAAAGGAUGGUGUGGAGAUUGAUUGAUUCUCAAUCAAAUUUCUAAGUGGGAGAAUGUCAAAGUCAAUGUCACUUUUCUAGAAGAGUGACCAAUACCUUUUGAUAUUCAAAGUUUGAAUGUCAAGUUCAAACUUUUAAUUUAAAAAAAAUAUAUAAAAAUAUAAAUAGUGCCCAAAUUUUUAACUAUAAAUGAGGGGUUCACCCCUGCAUUUCAUUCUUUUCUUCUUCAAUUCUAGAGUGAGAGACUAAGAGUUUUAAUGCUCUUGAGUGAUUAGUGUUUUAAGAGAUUGAGUGGAUUGGGGUUCUAGGAAGUGAAACAAAAUAUUAUAAUACUAGUAAUCCUCAUUUCACCAGUAAAGUUUUAUCCUUUUGUCUUUACCCGUAGACGUAGGCUAAAAGUCGAACCAUGUAAUUUUUGGUGUCCUCUAUGUGCUUGUUCUUCAUUUUCUUCCAAUUUCAUUUUAGCUGUGAACCUACUUCACCAGUCAAUUUCCUAACACUGAUAGGGGCGGAUCUGCAUUGGGAGUUAAAUAUAUGAAAUUUUAUUAAUUUAUGACUUUUUCUAAAAUUUAUUUUUUUUGUGACUUAUAUAUGAUUUUUAAGCAUUUACAUUUGAAUAGAAAAAGUAACUUUUGUGACUUUUAUUGAAUAGGAAAAAGUCUAAAUAAGAAUUAAAUAUAUAUUCUAAAAAUAUUUUUAUAAAAUAUAUUUAUUUCUUAAACUAUAAAAUCUAACUACUUUUUUUUGUUUUUAUUUGUAAAAAUAUAAAUAUCAAAUAACCAUAUUUAAGAUAAAUAAGAUGUCACUUAUAUUUGGGUAUUAAGAAAAAGAAAAAUAAAUAUAUCAUUCAUAUAUUUGUACUCAGCUCAUUCAUGCUUACGAAAAAUUUAUACCUAUUCAGAUUAUAAAAACAAACAAACAAAUAAACAAACGCCUUAGCCUAGCGUGGGCAAUUGACUUUACUGAAAAAUAGUUUUCAUUUAAUUUUAUUUUAAUUUAUGGAAAAUUUUUCUUUUAAUGUGGCAAUUUCGUAGACGACUUUCUUAGUGGGAUUAAUUUUAUAACGCAAGUUUAUUUUUCUCACAUUUGAAAUCUGUAAUUGUUUUUAUUUUUAUUCAAAAGAUUAUCUUAUAAAUCAAUCUCCAGGCUCCGCCCUUAUUUCUAAGUAUGAGACGUUCGCAUCAUUAAAAAUGGGGAAGCAGCAACAACCUACUGGCCAAUAGUAUAGGAUAGGAGUUAUUAAUGCAUAUCAGCUAUUUGGUGAAAUGCUCACAAGAAAUGGAAAUUUGACAUGUAUGCAUUUCUCGAACUUUACCAACAAAACUUUUAUAAAAGCAUAUUUGUGAAUGAUUUUCCUGAAAUUUAAUGUUUAUCAUCUCCAAUCUUUUUACUCCUCCAGUCUUGAGUAAUUAUGGUGUUGCCACCCAUGCAUGCUUAUAGAUGCUUUGGUUCCUGAGAUAAUUAGUUCAUCAAAUUAGCAGCCUUAGCCUUAUAUUUGCAUUUUAUUUUUGUCAACGUUAACUGGUUAAAUUGAAUCAGUAGUGAAACUGAAAUGAAAGUAACUGAAUGACCCGAAUUUAAAAAUAAUAAUAAUUUUGUCAACUAAAUGAUCCUUCUGUUUGCUUUAGUAUUAUUUUUUUCCCCCUUAUCAAUUCAAGUUUGAAAGACAAGCAAUGUAUAUACCUAAACUGAAGUUUAUGGUUUCUCCGUGCUCCUUGUAUUACAAGUAUCAAAGCUGUGACUUCACAUGAACCUUAGCAGAAGCUUCUGUGAUAUUAUUUAUGUAGCUUUUAACUUUAACAAAAGCAUAUGGAUUUUUAUUUUUUGACUUGAUUUGCCAAGAUGACGAUGAGUGGAAUUCAAUUCAUUUUCUAUUUUUGUAUUUUUUUUUUUUCAUUCUUUAAAACCAAUAAUUGUGUUUUGUUGUUGCAAUUUAAUACAUCAAUAACAUUUAUUGAAAAAUUGGCUAAAUUAAAAUGUGUUAACAUAAUGUACAAAGUAAAAUGCAACUUAUAAUUCAUAAAAUUUUAGAUGCUGAUCAGUCUAAAUAGAAAGGAUGUGUUUCACCUACUCUGUUUUGUACUAAUAAUCAACUACGCUUACCAAAUAAUAAUCUUUCUGCAACUGUCUGGGGGUGACUUUAUUCCCAUCCCUUGAUCUUUAUUUAUUUAUUCUUUGCUUCACUUCUGAACUUAGCCAAGGAACUUGAACUUUGGCUUUUCAAAUGGACUAGUUUUAGCUUUUAAUCUCGGCCAUGAUCUUCAUUGUGAAGAUGACGAACUAUUAUUCUUUUAUUCUUCACUUGUUGAAGUUACGAAAUAUAUAACUUUCUCAAAAUUUUAGCAAAUCGUUAUCCGUCAGCUUCAGAACCUCAUUAAAAAGUCAUCCUUUGCACUCGUUCUCAAUCAAGAAACACAUAUGCUCCCUUUUGCUGUCAACUCACUUGAAUUUCACUGGAUGAAGAAACCCUUUUCUCUUGGCAUCUGUUCUGUUGUAAUCUCCAGUCUUUGUUAAUUUGUUUCUCUCCAUUCCCAAUCUAGUUGUGGCAUGUUGUUGUCUCUGUUUGGUUCCAUAUCUACCCUUUGUACUUCCGCCGUGUGAAGAUAUAUCUUUUUCUCCAUCUCUUUUACCAGUCAAUAGCGCGUGUUUGGUAACGGAAAAAGGAGGAAAAAAAGGAGAGUGGGGGCAUUACUUUUAUCUCAUCCUUAACUUCCGAAAGUGGGAGAGAACAAGGGGGGAAAGAGGGGAGUGGGGAGUUAGCUAGGGGGGCUUUUUGGGCUCUCUUCCUCUCAUGGAAAAUUCUUUCUUUGACACUCUGCUUUACUUUCUGUAAAUUACUCGAAAAGCCUUGGGUUUUAAGGCAAUGUUUAUUAAGCCACAUGAGUGGUGGCACAAGUUUUUCCGAAAGGCCUAGAAACUAACUUGAGUGUCGGAGGGUUCACGCCGGAAAAACUUCCGGCGCCUCUAACCUUCUUCUAUGAUUUCAGGUAUUCCUAGGUUAAUCGCUAGUGGUUGCAGGACAUCUUGACGAUUGACCAAUCGAUUCUCUACCAAAUAAAUCUAAUACUGGUGUAGAAAUCUGACAUUAAGUCGCUGAUAGACUAGAUCAGAUUUGGGCAUCAACAGCGCGGUUGUUGUCUCUAAUAUUGUUUGCAUCUUUCUUCUGGUCAAUACAUAAGUUAUUUUGACUGAUUCACUUUUCCUCUAUUAUCUAAAUCAUUCCUUAUAUCAAUUCAAUCACUUUUGAACUAGAAACCUUUUCCUUGUUUCCAUCUUCUCACCAGAUUCACAACAGUUUUUAAGCUUUCUUUGAUUUCUCCGCUUCCACAACCAGAUACACUUGUCAUCUUUGUUGUUUCAUUUUCUUUUUUUCGUUUUUCUUUUUUUUUUUUUUUGCCUCUCUUUCUCUUUGUGUUUCGCUCGUCGUUUAUUUUCAUUUCGGAACUUUGAAAAAAAGAGGAUCGAAGAUGGUGGAAAGCAUUGUUACUGUUCUGUUAGAAGUUGUGAAAUGCUUCGCUCCUCCAACAGAACGCCAACUUUGUUAUUUGCGUAACUAUAAAGCCAACUUUGAGAAUCUCAAGGCAGAAAUAGACAAGCUCAAGGAUGAAAGUAAGAGCAUUCAGCACAGAGUUUCUGAGGCUGAAAGAAAAGGAGAAAAGAUUGAAGAGAAGGUUGAGAACUGGCUGGUUAGUGCGAACAACACCAUUGAGCAGGCAGCCAAAUUCAUUGAAGAUGGGGAGACAACAAGUAAGCGAUGUUUCAAGGGCUUGUGUCCUAAUUUCAAGACCCGCUAUCAGCUUAGCAAGAAAGCAGAAACAGAGGUGAAGGCCCUUGUUGAACUCAAAGAAGAAGCUAGGAGAUUUGAUGAUAGAAUUUUCUACCGUACCAUUGCGGAGGAGGUAUGGCUAAAGUCUAACAAAGGUUACGAGGCCUUUAAAUCAAGACUUUCUACUCUGAAGUCUAGACAAGAUGCAUUGACUGAUGUCAAUGUCAGCAUCGUUGGGGUAUACGGCAUGGGCGGCAUUGGAAAGACAACACUGGUGAAGGAGUUUGCAACGCAAGCCAGUGAAGAGAAACUCUUUGAUCAGGUGGUUUUUUCAGAGGUUUCCCAAACUCCAGACAUAAAAAAGAUUCAAGGGGAAAUUGCAGAGAAACUAGGUCUGGAGUUGUCCGAGGAGGCUGAAUCUAGAAGAGCUAGUAGACUUUAUGAACGAUUGAAGAAAGAGAAGAUGAUCCUUGUGAUUCUGGAUAACAUCUGGAAAUAUCUUGAUUUAGAGACUGUUGGAAUUCCUUUUGACGAUGAUCAUAGAGGAUGCAAAUUAUUAUUAACAGCAAGGGAUCGUAAUGUCUUGUUAAGUAUGGGAUCUGAAAAUAACUUCUUGAUUGGCAUUCUAAAUGAGCAUGAAGCUUGGAGGUUGUUCAAGAUAAUGGCUGGUAAUUUUGUUGAAAAUCGUGAGUUAAAAUCUACAGCAACAAAUGUAGCCAAGGCAUGUGGAGGUUUGCCUAUUGCUCUAACCACAGUAGCAAAGGCACUGAGAAACAAAGAGCUGCCUGUGUGGAAGAACGCCUUGCAAGAACUCCAAACGCCUUCAGAGGCAAGCUUCGAUGAAGGAGUACCAGUAGAGGCAUACUCAACAAUUGAGCUAAGUUACAAGUAUUUAAGAGGUGAGCAACUAAAGAAAACUUUUUUACUGUGUAGUCUAAUUACACCAACUUCAAUUAUGGACUUGUUCAAAUAUAGCAUAGGCUUGGGUGCAUUUGAAAGUGUCCAUAAGAUAGAAGAUGCACAUAACAAAUUACAUGCAUGGGUCCAUCAACUAAGAGACUCUUGUUUGUUGCUUGAGGAUGGUGGCAGUAAAUUCUUUUCCAUGCAUGAUGUUGUUCGCGAUGUUGCCAUUUCAAUAGCACGUCGUGACAAAAUUGCAUUUGCGGUGAGAAAUGAGGAUGUGUGGAACUGGCCAGAUGCAGAUGCACUAAAAAAAUAUUUUGCAAUUUGUUUAAAAGAUAGUAUUAUUAAUGACAUUCCUGAAGUGUUGGAAUCUACACAACUUGAAUUUUUAUUCAUGUCACCCAAGAACUCUUUUGUUGGGCCCAAUGUUCCUGAGAACUUCUUCAAAAGGACGAAAAAGCUUCGGGUUUUGGAUUUGACUAGAAUGCGGUUAUUGUCAUUGCCAUCUUCAAUUGAUCUUCUAGUAAAUCUUCGGACACUUUGUCUUAAUCAAAGCAUUUGGGAGACAUGGACACAGCCAUUAUUGGAAAGUUGGAAAAUCUAGAAAUCCUUGGCUUUGUGCGGUCUGAUAUUGUACAGUUACCUAAAGCACUAGGGCAACUGACUAAGCUAAGGCUGUUAGAUUUAAGAGACUGUUUCCAUCUAAAAGUUAUUGCCCCAAAUGUCUUAUCGAGCUUAAUCCGAUUAGAAGAAUUGUAUAUGGGUAAUUGCUCCGUUGAAUGGGAGGUUGAAAGAGCCAACAGUGAAAGAAGUAAUGCUAGCCUUGAUGAAUUGAUGCUUUUACCUUGGCCAACCAAUCUAGAAAUUGAUGUUAAAAAUGACAGUAUUUUACCGGAAGGCUUUUUGGCCAGAAAGCUCGAAAGGUUCAAAAUAUCCAUUGGAAAUGAGUCAUUCAUGCCUCCCAAGAGUAUUACAAGAGAAUGGUUUCAAAGCCGGCCGCACUUUUUGAUCAACAGUAAUCGUGAGAGUUUAAGAGAAUUGAAGCUCAAGCUUGAUUUUAUGGACAUUUUCUCCAUGAAAUUGCAGGGCAUCAAUAACGUUGAAUACCUAUGGUUGGACAAGCUGCAAGGUGUCAAGAAUGUUCUUUUUGAUUUGGACACAGAAGGUUUUUCACAAUUGAAGCAUCUCCAUGUUCAAAAUAAUCCUAACUUCCUGUGUAUCGUGGACUCAAUGGAGAUGGUAGCUUGUGAAGCCUUUCCUCUUUUGGAGUCACUUAUCCUUCACAAUUUGAUCAACAUGGAGAGGAUAUGUAUUGAUCAGCUCAAAGUAGAGUCUUUCAACGAACUCAAAAUCAUACAAGCAUAUAAUUGUGAUAAAUUGAGUAAUAUCUUUUGGCUCUCUACUACAAAAUGCCUUCCAAGACUUGAGAGAAUUGCAGUUGUUGAUUGCAGCAAGAUGAAAGAGAUUUUUGCAAUUGGGGAAGAAGUUGAUAAUGCAAUUGAGAAGAUAGAGUUUGCUCAAUUAAGAUCUUUGAGUCUGGGGAAUCUUCCAGAGGUUACAAAUUUCUGCCGUGAAGUAAAGACUCCUUCAGCAUCACCAAACAGACCAUCGUCACACACAAGCUCGCCCGCGAAUGGCAUGAGGAAGCGGACAUCACGCGAGCCUACCUCGACAAUGCCGCGAGGAAAAUGAAGAAAUGGGCAGAUACAAGGAGACGGCAUGUUGAAUACAAGGAAGGAGAUCAAGUCAUGAUCAAGCUCCUACCCCAACAAUUCAAGACGUUGCGGAAAGUCCACAAGGGGUUAGUGAGGCGCUACGAGGGACCCUUCCGAGUUGUUCGACGUGUGGGCAACGUCUCAUAUCAACUCCAACUUCCGCCAAGACUCAAGAUCCAUCCGGUCUUCCAUGUGAGCCUUCUCAAGCCAUAUCACGAAGACAUGGGAGAACCAAGUCGCGGAGAAUCGAGGCGCGUGCCAACUGCCGUUGUCACCGCAUUCGACAAAGAUGUGGACUACAUCAUUGCGGACCGCACGGUUUCGAGGAGGGGCGUGCCAGCACAUAGCAAGUACUUGGUGAAGUGGAAAAACCUCCCCGAGAGCGAAGCCACUUGGGAACGUGAAGAUGACUUAUGGCAAUUCGCUGAGCACAUCCAGAAUUUCAAGCACGAGAGCGCGACGAGGACGCCGCGAGCUUAGGUGGGGGAGGAUGUUGCGGACCGCCCAAUUCGCUAGCCCAAUUGCCCACAAUUUCGGGCUAGAGAGCCAACACAAGGCCAAGAGUGCUAGCUUGGCCCAAUUCCGGAAAGUUCUAGGCAAUUCUAGCACAUGUGAGCUUGCAAAUACUCUAGAAUUCUCCUUACAAUUCCAGCACAUGUAAAUAGCUAGGAAAUGGUAGAAUUCUCUAGAAUCUCUAGAGCUUGGCAAGCCUCCCCUAUAAAUAUGGGAUGGCAUUAGGCAUUUGUAUCCAACAAACACAACAACAAGCAUUGUAAUCUCUCUUUGUGCAAUACAAUUUCUCUUAUUCGGCUCAAUUGCUCUCUUCUCUAGUUCGAGAAGCUCUAGGCUUACUUAGCAACAUUCGGCAAAGUUGUCUAAGUGCCGCACGGGUUAGCUGCGCAAAAUACUCAUCCCGUGACAAGUGGUAUCGGAGCUAAGGUUUGCACGCACGCAAGUUAGCUCACGAAGCACAAUGAAGGCAGUAAACUCACCCGCCAAGCCAAUUGCGGGAAUUGCACAAGGCGUGCACUUAACACUCGGUACGUGGAGCGGAAAGCUUGAUUUCUCCAUCAUCCCCAUGGAUGACUUCAAGAUAGUCCUCGGCAUGGAAUUUUUCGACCAAGUCCAUGCCUUCCCACUGCCCGCUACAAACUCCCUAAGCAUCCUCGACGGGAGCAAAGCAUGCAUGGUACCCACGGAGCGAGGCAAGUCCGAGGAGAAGACACUCUCCGCCAUGCAAUUCAAAAGGGCUUUCAAGAAGGACCCAAGCUUCUUGGUCUCCAUCCGGGAACUAAACAAGGAAGGAAAGAGCAGAACGUCGCCAAGCCAAGUCCCUUCGCGAAUUCAAGCCGUUCUCAAUGAAUACAAGGACGUGAUGCCUCUGGAACUUCCGAAGAAGCUCCCACCUCGGCGAGAGGUAGAUCAUGCGAUCGAGCUGGAACAAGGCGCGAAGCCACCAGCCUUGGCGCCCUACCGCAUGGCGCCACCCGAAUUAGAGGAGUUGCGGAGACAACUCAAAGACUUGCUGGACGCAGGCUACAUUCACCCCUCAAAGGCCCUAUUCGGUGCACCGGUCCUCUUCCAAAAGAAAAAGGAUGGAUCGCUGCGGAUGUGCAUCGACUAUAGAUCGCUCAACAAGAUCACCAUCAAGAACAAGUAUCUGAUUCCCUUGAUCGCGGACUUGUUCGACCAACUUGGCAAAGUGCGGUACUUCACCAAACUUGACUUGCGCUCCGGGUACUAUCAAGUGCGCAUCGCCAAGGGAGACGAACCGAAGACAGCGUGCACUACAAGGUAUGGGUCUUUCGAAUUCCUUGUGAUGCCUUUUGGCCUUACUAAUGCACCUGUUACAUUUUGCACGCUCAUGAACAAGAUACUCCAACCAUUCCUCGACCGCUUCGUGGUCGUGUACUUGGACGACAUAGUGGUGUAUAGCACCACACUCGAGGAUCAUGCCCAACACUUACGACAAGUCCUCCAAGUACUCCGAGACAACGAGCUCUUCCUCAAGUUGGAGAAGUGCUCGUUUGCCCAACAAGAAGUGGAGUUCCUUAGCCACAAGGUUGCGGGCGGAAAGAUCAUGAUGGAGAAUGCCAAAGUAAAGGCCAUCCUCGAAUGGGAACCUCCCUCGAAAGUACCCGAGCUUCGCUCAUUCCUUGGGUUGGUGAACUGCUACCGCCGCUUCAUCGAGGGCUACUCAGCCAAGGCAGCACCCUUGACGGAUAUGCUCAAGAAAAACAGAACGUGGCAUUGGUCCGAAGAGUGCCAACGCGCAUUCGAGCAGUUGAAGAAGGCAAUUUCGGAGGAACCCGUCCACGCUCUUCUGGACCACACUAAACCCUUCGAAGUUCAAACGGAUGCCUCGGAUUUCGCCAUAGGUGGAGUCCUUAUGCAAGAAGGCCAUCCCAUAGCGUUCGAGAGUCGAAAGCUAAACGAUACGAAACGCCGCUACACGGUGCAAGAGAAGGAGAUGACCGCAAUCAUACAUUGCUUGCGGGUGUGGCGACAUUACUUGCUAGGCUCUCACUUCAUGACUAUGACGGACAACGUAGCGACGAGCUACUUUCAAACACAAAAAAAGUUGAGCCCGAAGCAAGCACGGUGGCAAGAUUUCCUUACGGAAUUCGACUAUUGGCUCGAGUACAAACCGAGGAAAGCCAAUGUCGUUGCAGACGCUCUAAGCCGUAAGGCCGAAUUGGCAACAAUUAGCAUGAGCCAACCAAAGUCCGACCUUGUCUCACGCAUCAAGGAAGGCCUCCAACAAGAUCCGCUAGCAAAGGAUUUGCUGGAGAAGGUGCUCGAAGGCAAGACAAGGCGAUUUUGGCAAGAGGAAGGCAUCCUCCACACCAAGGGAGAUCGGCUGUUCGUGCCAAGGUGGGGAAACUUACGGAAGGAGGUAAUCAAGGAGUGCCACGACUCUAAGUGGGCUGGUCACCCAGGAAUCGAGCGCACCACCGCACUAGUUCAAGCCUCGUAUUUUUGGCCGUACAUGAGGGACGACAUCGAAGCAGAUGUGCGAACUUGUCUUGUGUGCCAACAAGACAAGGUGGAUCAUCAACUUCCAGCGGGAUUAUUGGAGCCGCUACCACUAGCAACAAGGCCAUGGGAAAAUGUCUCCAUGGACUUCAUUACUUCGCUGCCCAAAUCCGAAGGUUGCGGAAGCAUCAUGGUCGUUGUCGACCGAUACAGCAAGUACGCCACAUUCAUUGCCGCACCAAUCGAUUGUAAAGCGGAUGAGGCAGCCUGCCUAUUCAUCAAGCACAUUGUGAAGCUUUGGGGAGUUCCAAGGAGCAUUGUGAGACCCUCGGUUCACUGGGCGUUUUUGGACGGAGCUCUUCAAGAUGUUGGGGACCGAUCUCAAGUUCUCGACAAGCUUCCACCCACAAACGGAUGGGCAGACCGAGUGCAUCAAUGGCCUCCUCGAAAUGUACUUGAGGCAUUAUGUGAGCGCUCAUCAGUGGGAUUGGGCGAAGCUACUCGACAUCGUCCAAUUUUCUUAUAACUUGCAGCGAAGUGAGGCUACGGGCAAGAGUCCGUUCGAGAUCAUCGUGGGAUUCCAGCCCAUGACCCCCAACGCCAUAGCCUCGACUUACGGCGGGAAAAGCCCCGCGGCACACAAGUUCGCCCGCGAAUGGCAUGAGGAAGCGGACAUCACGCGAGCCUACCUCGACAAAGCCGCGAGGAAAAUGAAGAAAUGGGCGGAUACAAGGAGACGGCAUGUUGAGUACAAUGAAUGAGAUCAAGUCAUGAUCAAGCUCCUACCCCAACAAUUCAAGACAUUGCGGAAAGUCCACAAGGGGUUAGUGAGGCGCUAUGAGGGACCCUUCCGAGUUGUUCGACGUGUGGGCAACGUCUCAUAUCAACUCCAACUUCCGCCAAGACUCAAGAUCCAUCCGGUCUUCCAUGUGAGCCUUCUCAAGCCAUAUCACGAAGACAUGGGAGAACCAAGUCGCGGAGAAUCGAGGCGCGUGCCAACUGCUUGUCACCGCAUUCGACAAAGAUGUGGACUACAUCAUUGCGGACCGCACGGUUUCGAGGAGGGGCGUGCCAGCACAUAGCAAGUACUUGGUGAAGUGGAAAAACCUCCCCGAGAGCGAAGCCACUUGGGAACGUGAAGAUGACUUAUGGCAAUUCGCUGAGCACAUCUAGAAUUUCAAGCACGAGAGCGCGACGAGGACGCCGCGAGCUUAGGUGGGGGAGGAUGUUGCGGACCGCCCAAUUCGCUAGCCCAAUUGCCAACAAUUUCGGGCUAGAGAGCCAACACAAGGCCAAGAGUGCUAGCUUGGCCCAAUUCCGGAAAGUUCUUGGCAAUUCUAGCACAUGUGAGCUUGCAAAUACUCUAGAAUUCUCCUUACAAUUCCAGCACAUGUAAAUAGCUAGGAAAUGGUAGAAUUCUCUAGAAUCUCUAGAGCCUCUAGCUUGGCAAGCCUCCCCUAUAAAUAUGGGAUGGCAUUAGGCAUUUGUAUCCAACAAACACAACAACAAGCAUUGUAAUCUCUCUUUGUGCAAUACAAUGUCUCUUAUUCGGCUCAAUUGCUCUCUUCUCUAGUUCGAGAAGCUCUAGGCUUACUUAGCAACAUUCGGCAAAGUUGUCUAAGUACCGCACGGGUUAGCUGCGCAAAAUACUCAUCCCGUGAUAGUAGGCUAACAUUUUCUUCAUAUAUAUAUAUAUAUAUAUAACAGAUUUUAUUCUAUCAUGCGUUCUCUUUUGACGUCAUACGUGGAAAAUAAUUAAAUCAUUUAAGAAUUGAAAGAAAAUGGAAAAAAGGAUAAAAAGAAUCUCACACGCUCACUAAUUGAGCUCUUAACAAGUAGUAUGAAUUAGAAUGCAUCAAACUCAGCUGUCAGUUGGAAAUUGAUUCUGACUUGCAUUAAUUUGUAAUCAAAGAAGAAAAUUUCAACAAUUUGUAAUCAAAGAAGAAAAUUUCAACAAGUGCUUCCUAUAUGGAUAUUGGAUCUAACGAGAAAUUCUUAUUUUUUUAGGUUGCGUUGCCUAACUUGGUGGCUUUGGAGAUAUCUGCAAUUAAUGUCGACAAGAUUUGGCAUUACAAUCAAAUUCUGGCGGCCGUGUUUCCUCACUUUCAAAGUUUAACACGAUUAGUUGUGUGGUACUGUGACAAACUGAAAUACAUAUUUUCAGCGUCUAUGAUCGGAAACCUCAAGCAGCUCCAGCACUUAGAUAUACGCUUCUGUGAGGAUUUACAGGAGAUCGUUUCUGAAAACAGAGCAGAUGAAGUGAUCCCUUAUUUUGUCUUUCCACAGCUCACCGUUCUGAUACUCCAAGGUCUACCAAAACUUAGAUGUUUAUACCCAGGAAUGCAUACUUCGGAAUGGCCAGCACUAGAAAAUUUUGCAGUGUGUCGUUGUGACAAAUUAAAAAUAUUUGCUGAAGAUUUAUCGCAGAAUAAAGAGAAUAAUCAACUUGAUAUUCCUGCACAACAGCCCUUAUUGCCGUUCGAAAAGGUAUGAAGUCAUUUUCUAGAUAUUUUUUUUUCAAUAGCUCAUUGACGACUUUUGACUUUGAAAAAUGUAACAAAACAUUGAUAAAUUAAUACUUAAUAAAUUAAAAAUUUUUAUUACAUAAUAAUCUUUGCUAGUCUUGACUAAGGGAUCAAUGUGGGAGAUUAAUAAUUAUAUGAACUUUUUUAGGUAUAGCAUUAUAAAAGAAUCCUUAGUUUUUCUUUAUACAACGACUUACAAAAUAAAUUAAUAAUUUAUUGUUGUGAAAUAAAAUAUUUUCAUGCAAAUAUAAAUCAACCAUUUUUCCCUAAUUUCUUUUUUACCUCUAAAAUUAACAUAUAAAAAAUCAUAUAAUGAAUUUUAUCACUAAUUCAAUUUUUUUUGGGGGUAAAAUUAAUAUAAAACAGAUACUAUAAAGUCACUGCUUGUGAUUGGAUUACUCAAAAUCAUUUGAGAGAACAUCAAUUGACCUCAUUAGUUAUUAUGAUUUAUGAUGAUCAGAUCUUACCCAACUUGAAGGACCUAUCAUUGAAUGGAAAAGAGGUGAAGAUGAUUUUGCAGGCCGAUUUCCCACAACACCUUUUUGGCAGUCUUAAACAACUAGAGAUUGCCGAAGAUAACUCAGCUUGUUUUCCAAUCUGGAAUGUACUUGAGAGAUUUCACAAUCUUGAAAUACUCUCACUGUUUCAAUUUUCAUUCCACGAAGAGGUAUUUUCGGAGGAAGGAAGCUUAGAGAAACAUGCGGGGAAGUUGGCAAUGAUAAAAACAUUAGAGCUGCGCUGGCACUAUCAUCUGAAGCAGCUGUGCAAACAAGACUCCAAACUUGGCCCCACUUUUCAGUAUCUUGAAAUUCUAAAAGCAUAUCGUUGUCAAAGUCUGUUAAUUCUAUUGCCAUCAUCAUCGGUAUCUUUUCAGAACCUAACAGCUCUGGUGGCUUUCGGUUGCAAGAAAUUGUUACACAUGGUAACAUCCUCCACAGCAAAAACUCUGGUGCGACUCGUAGCAAUAGAAAUAUAUGGAUGCAGAGCAAUGACAGAGGUGGUAAUAAAUGACAAAGAUGGAGUUGAAAAAGAAGAGAUUGUUUUCCGCAAAUUGAAGACGUUGGAACUGCGUGAUUUAGAUAGCCUCACAAGUUUCUGCUCUGCCAAUUACACCUUCCAAUUCCCAUCUUUGCAAGAGUUGUGGGUGAUUGGUUGUCCCAAGAUGAAGAUUUUCACUACAGGAGAAGCAAUCACGCCUCCAAGAGUAAAUGUCUGGUAUGGAGAGACAGCGGAUCAACGGCGCUGGGCUAAUAAUUAUCUAAACACAACCAUACAACAUUACAUGCUGAGAAGGUACGUAUAUACAUAUUACUCUUAUCUCCCAUGAUAAAUUUUUACAAAAUUUGCUUUCUUAAAUACAAUAUUGAUAAGAUAUUUGAUGAAUAAGAAUUUUACUUUCAGCUGUUGGCGGUGUCGUCGUCAUACUCUACGCAGUACGACUAAUUUCAUAGGCUUCUUAUGACUUGGAGUUGCAAAUUUUUAGAAGAAAGUCUCAACUGGUAAUUAAUUUUUAUUUCAUUUAUUUAAUCCCAUGGCUUGUUUCGCAAUUUCAUCUGAAUUAUUUAGAAUGGGUCCCUCGGUUUACUGUUAAAUUUGCAAUGCAAUUUUAAUGAUCCUUUCAGACUUUUAUGGACAGAUUUUGCAUAGUUGAAUGUCUUUUUAGUCUACUUUAAUUUGAGUUUUUCAUUUUUUUUUUAGAGAUCCCUUGUUUUCUAAAAUUUUAUAAUUCCUUGCAUACUUUUUAUGAUAAAAUUUCAUUAAAAGCCUUCAUAUUUUAUAAUUCCUUGAAAACGUGCAUACUUUUUCCUUUUUUUCUUUGCCAAUUAUUUAUUGUUAUCAUUGCUGUUCUUUUAUUUUAGUUUGUGCUCUGUUUGUUCAUUGGGUUUGCUUUUCGGAAAGUUAGAAGGCAAGGAAAGUACUUAGAAAAUGUUCUUCCCUAUGAACACAUAAUUAACAGCUGAAUAUCAUUCAUUGGAUUAAAAAAAAAUUAAAAUAAAAAGAAAGUAAUCAGCCCAUUAUUCCUAGAACAAAUCCUUAAACCAUCAAACGUUAGCUAUGAACAAGUAUAUUGGUCUAUAGCAUAUUCAUAAUAUUUUCUCUGCUGUUCCUGUUAAAAUUUCUCUACUCUAUGAUUGCAAAAUGUCUGGAUACUGAUGAAGAUUUAAGUCACUCUUCUUCUGUGAAUAAGGUCGUUUUUCUUUUUUCAUCUAUUCAAAGUUUCCAUUCUGAUGGGUUCCCAUUUCCAUCUUCGUGAUCUUCUUGUGAUAGUGUGAGUUACAACCUGUCUGUUUCCUUUGUUUGAUCAUCGCAAGUUCAAAGACAUUUUAUUCUAGCUAAGCUCUGUGUAUGUAUUAUAACAUUUUUAUUCUCAAUAUAUAUGACUCAAUGAGAGGUCUUUUAUUAUAUAUAUGUCGUGAAUUUCUAUUGUAUUUUGACAUUUGAUGGUGUAUCAUUGUCUCAUUGCAAGGUCUUUUAAUCACUCUGAUUCUCAUUUGAGGAGGUUGGUCUCGUCUAUGUGUAUGUAUUUAUAUCCACAAGAAAUUUGAUAAAUGGUCUUGUCAUUUUCUCAUCAAAACAUCUGGUGCUUCAUGGAGGGCUACCAGGCAUCAGGGCCAGAUUUUUAAACUCAAAGUUCUUCGUGUCAUUUUUUAACAAUAAUAAGGAAAGCCCAAGAGAAAAUCUAGAAGUCCUAAUAGGACCGCUUCUGCAUAUAUUGUUCAUUUUCUUAAUUACCUUCAUUAUUAUUUUCAUUUUCAAUCGAUCAAACUUCAGUUUCUUAGCAUUAAUCUAAUUAUGUACUUCAUCUUGAAAUCCUUAAUUUACUCAUCAAAAUGUGAACGCUAGUGUAUCAGUUUUACACUAUAAGAAAUAGUUGUAUUACCGACCAGACAUUUCCACAAUAUAAUAUUCAAAAUAAGUACUUUUUACAAAGGUAUUGUCAUUGACGAGCCGUUGGAUAAAUAUGAAAAGUAUAAAGAAAAAUCAAACGCCAAGAAAAAUCGUUUGUCGGAAAUGGAAUGUCGAGCCCAAAAUUACUCUAAACUUGGUAAAGUUAGAUUUUGGCCCAAUUUGUUUGAAAGUUUUAUACAUAAAGCACUUUUUUUUUUUAAUGUAAUUUGUGCAAUCUGAAGUGAGGUAUUGUAAAAUUAACAUAAAUAAAUGUAAUAUGCCAAUACUGUUUAAAACAAAAAAGAUAUCAUGAAAUUGAAAAAAAAAAAAAAUAAUAAUAAUAACAACAUUAAAAGAAAAAGGAAAUUACGGAGAAGAAGAAUCGCUUCUUGAUCUCAACUCUCAAUUUCAAUGCAAUCUAUGAAUCUCACUUCUCAAUGGGGCGAAGAAGGAUCUGUCUCCAUUCUUCAUUCGCAUUUACUCAGUGGUAAUUAAUUCUUCACUCUCACUCGUCUUAUUUCCUGCAGAUUUCUUCAUUUUCCUUCACUGUUCAUUUUUAAGGUUCCAUUGUAUUUCCAUUGAGUUUGCAACCGUUCAAUUGCUCGAUCCUUAUUAGUUUUUGGACUUCAAUGACCAUAGAAGAAAAUUAUCACAAACUCUUCCUUAUUUUGUCUUUGUUUUUUUAUUUGUUUAUGCAUGUUUCCUUUGCUGAUUUAUUUACUUAUUUCUUUCUCUGAUGUCCCAAUUUAUCCUAUGAUAUUUCAAUUGAUGUAUUACGUUCAUGUUAUGUUUAUGGAUGCUUGCUCUACUGUCCUAAUUUACAAUUAAAUUUUACUCCGUCCUUAGCUAUCGAUUCACAGUGGUGUUUCAUUAAUAUGUACUUGUCUUAUUUUAUAUUUCAUUAACUAUUAUUUCAACAAUUGCCGCAGGUGUCAAAUAAUGAAUUUGUAUGAGCUUCAGUCCAAGGUAAUUAUCUUUUUCAUUUCAUGUUAUUUGAUCUCUAGGUUUAUUUUAUCGUUUCAUCUAAAUUAUUUGGAAUGCAUCAGCUGGUUUAUUCUUAAUUUUGGAACGAAUUUGAUGCAGCGGAUGGUUGCGUAGGAUGAGUGGAGUAUCUCUCUAGGUUGCGUAGGAUGAGUGGAGUAUCUCUCUAGGGUAACAACUUGAGCUAUAAGUAUCUAUUUAGGGUGUAUAAUAUACAUUUCGAAGUUCGCGACGAGGGGAAACUAAUCUAAUACUGUAGCGCCGCAUUAGUCUCGUGGUUCGAUUGAAAAUUAUAUUUAUUUCAUAUUAUUUUACAAGUUUAAGAUCUAUUUUCCUAUUGUUUUUAGGAUUUUUAUCUUUUUUUUUUCUAGAUAUAGAAUUUGAGUAACAUUUAUCUUAUUUCAGUUAGGAGAAUGUUAUUAUGUAGUAAUAUGUUAGGUUUAGUUAUUUUGGUAAAUUUGUUAUAUUUAAGUUUAGUUUAAAAGAAGUCCAAAACCUUAAUUUUGUUAUUCAGACUUUCAUUAAUAAAAUAUAAAACUUUCUAAAAGAGAAAAUGUUCGUCUGGUACCUAUAUUUUAACUUCAAUGCUCGUUUAGUUAUUAUAUUUUAAAAAAUACCUCAAUAUACCUUGAUAUUAAAUACGUUACAUUUUUCCUUAAAUUUUAUUUACUUUUACAAUAAUAUCUUGGCAAUAAUAUUCUUAAAUUAAUUUCAUUUAUUUAUAAAAAAUUUAAUUGGAAAAUUAAUCAAUAAAUAUCAAUAUGAAAUAACCAGUAUUUUUUUGUACUUUUACAACAAUCUUGCCAAUAAUUCUUUAUAAAUAAAUCAAUAGCAGCCAUCUUAAAGUAAUGUUUAAUAUUCUUAAAGCAAUCUUACUAAUAAAUGCAUAAAAAAAUUAAUUUACGAAAUUAGUCCUAAAACUAAAAUAAUAACAUAAAAGUUUUUAUUAAUAUUUAUUUUGUUUAAGGCUGGUUAGAUGAAUUACCAUUUUUUUCUUUUCAUUGAUAUUCCCAAAAAUAUUAUUCCAACACAGUAGGGGUGUCUUGAGGUUAGGGAUGGCAAUGGGGAGGGGAGGGGAGGGGACUAAUCUCCCCGUACCCAUCCCCGAUAUUUUGCGUAUGUCCUCGUCCCCUCCCCGUCCCCGUCCCCGUCAGAAUUACUUGAGAGAAUCUUCAUCCCCUCCCCGAAUAAUAACAGAGGAUCCUCGAGGGUCCCCGAUCCCCGAAUAACUAAUACAUUUUUUUUAUUUUCAAUUUUGAGUUAAUUAUAUUAAAAUAAAAAAAUUCAAAUAAAAGUAAAUUUCGAAAUAUAUCUUACAUGAAUAUCUAUUUCAAAAGUCACAUACAUUAAAUUAGUAAGUAACGCAGCAUGCAAGGGAUACAAACUAUCAUGAACAAAUUAAUAGUCUAAUACAAAAUUGUUACAAAUAAAAUCGAAUUUAGAUUCAAAAUUAACUUUUUCAAUGGUGGCGUGGGCACUUUAUAAAUGUGGACUAUUCCCUUUACAGCACAAUAGUUAAGUCCGAGCAAAUCAAGAGCAAAUAUUAGAUUAGAUUAGAUAUUAAAAUUGUGAUUCGCUGUGGGCAAUUAUAACAUCUAAAAAUAAAUAAAUAAAUAGAUUUAAGUUUAAAAUAUUUAAUGAAUAUUAAAAUUAAAACAAAAUUUUUGGGCUAAUAGAAUCUACUGGUCUUUUUAAUGUCCUAAAUAAAAAUUUAAGACUUUAAUUUGUUAAUUAGGCCUAAAAGUUUAAUAAUAUAAAUAUUUUGAUAUUUGUUAUUUUUACCAAUAUUUAUAAUUUUAUAAUUUAUUUACUAGUAAUUUUAAAAAAUUAAAAUAAAAUUAAAAAUUAAAAUGGGGAAAUGGGUAGGGUAUGGGGAUUCCACCUCAUCGCCGUCCCCUCCCCAAAUAAGAAAUUGGGUAUGAAAUUAUCCCCAUACCCUCCCCAAAUAGGGAAAAUCCCCGAUGGUACCCGUCCCCGUGGGGAUUUUUGCCAUCCCUACUUGAGGUUGAGGCACUUUUUAAAAUAUAAGAACUAAAUGCGCUCUCAAGUCAAAAUAUAGAGACUAAAUGAACAUUUAUUCCUUUUAAAAAGCUUGUGUUUCUCUAUCUUUUCAAUCUCAAUGUUUUUGUUUCCGUUUCAUCAUAAGUUCUAAUGUUUGGUUCUCAUCUUAAUGUGCAAAUUUUACAUCAUUGAAGGUCUUUUGAUCUGAGUUAAGAUCAUAAAAUUAUACUUGCAUUGGUCAGGUUAUACGAAAAUUGUACAAAAUAAUAUUCUUAUAUAACUGUUGUCCUCUGUUAUUACGGAAUCCCCAAGUUCUGAAGAAGGUCGAAAUCAGGUCUCUCUACUGUGAAGCCCCUGGAAUAAGAGCUACAAAUGUGUUACCGUUGAAAGCAUGGCAGAAAACUUAGUACUUAAUUCAGACUCUUUGUGGCUUCAAUAUUUUACUUAACAUGAAAAAUUCUUUCUAGCUUGCAUCAUUGUAAAGAUAAAUUGUCGCAGUUCUGACAAUGAACAAGUAUAAAUGUCCACAGAGAAAAGUACUGAACAAUUAAUGUUAACAGCAAUCGAUUGGUGUGAGCGCCAACCACCAUUUUCAUAUUUAAGCCUUUAGAACAGCAAAACAAAAUACGGCAAGUGGCAACCACAUCAAAUAAUCAAAUUGUUGAUAGAUUUUGAAAGCUUUAAUUUGCUUGAUAUAUAUUUAAAUAUUUCAACAGAUGAUCUUUUCGCUACUCACGGGGCACGCUGAGUUAGAAACGGUUUGGAUGUCAAUAUUACUCCAAGUGCCUCAACCAAAUUCAGAAUGAAAAAAAACCAUCUGGUUACCUGCACUUUUGUUUAAGCAGCUAAUGAAGCUAAUUAGCACGAAAUAGUACACAAACUCGCGAGAAAUUUCAUUAGUAGAUCAUCAUCCUGGGAGGAAACCAGCAUCUUGACGCUUUUGUGAUCAAGAAAAUCUGCCAGAACCCCAAUUAAUGAAAAAAAAAUUAUAACAUCAUUUACAUGUAGUUUUACAAAAUCAACAGGACACUCACAGAGCACCUCCUACAGCUGGACCGGCAGUUUUGGUAAGCGACACUACAGUCAUAGCAAGUCCAUUAGCAGCUCCUCUUUGAUGCUGUUCCUUUUGUUGUGGCAUAAACCAACAAAUUAAAUUUAAACUUUGACACAUACAAAAUUUGAAAAAGCUGAAAGCAUGUAAAUGUACUAAACAAACAAAAGAAAAAAAAUAUUUACCACUGCUCUGUUUUGCAGAAGGAAUAAUCUAGUUAUUAUCGACACCUGAUGUUAUAAUUCAGGAAGAGUAAAAUAGAAUUACAACAUUUCUAAUAAAAAAAGACAUAAAAUAAUUUUAUACAUACUUGCUGAUGGAUAAUAUAACCUAAGUAUAUGGAUCAAUGAUUAGGAUAUCCACUUACAGCUAAAACAUUCUUCAUCACAGAAGCACAGUUUAUCAAAAAGGCAAGGCUGAACCCAGAUAGCAUUGCUAUGUAAGUGUAACUUGUCAAAAGCGGUAUCGAUAAAACCUGUACAUACAUAGAAAAUUAUGGGACCAAAACCAUGAAGAAAAGUAUUUUAUAAACAAAUAUGUUUGAAACAAACUAUCAAAUGGUCUAAAUGCCACAUGGUGUGUUCAAAAUUAUUGUUCUGUUUUAGUGACAAAACACUCAUCCCAUGACAUUGAGCUAUCAAUUCUCAUGGCUUCGUCACGCUUGAAAGGUUUGGUAGUUGUUCUGUUUUAUCUUCAGUUUCAUUUGUGAUCACAGAAACGUUAGGACUUGCGUGCAUGAAAGCACAUUAAAUCACAGAAAUUUUGUGAGAAAUGCCUGCAAGUGAAAUUUUAUCAGCAGUCUUGUAAUUUUCUAUUUUUGUUGUUGUCGUCAUUUUUUUACUACUAUUACUGUUUGAAAUUCUAGUAUUUUAGAUGUGAAAUUUAUUAUAUUAGAUAUUCGAGAUAUCUAUGAUGCUGAAUACAGGGCAUGUGUUGUCUAAAUUUAUUUUAUUUUGUUUGCUUCACUUCCAAUUUUCAAAAACUUUGAAGAAUGCUAAGAGAAGGAGCAAAGGGCUAAAGAGUCAAAUGUAACAUUGCUAUUAAUUUGUUAAUUGCCAUCAUUUUUAAUUUUUGCACUGUUUGUUCUGUUUACCCAUUUAUUUCAUUUGGUUUGCUUCACAUCUAUAUUUCCUAACUUAGGAGGGCAAGGAUUUUGUACUUGAGAACAAAUAGCAGUUACUCAAAAUGUGGCAACCACACCAAAUAAUCAAUUUGUUGAGAAAUUUUGAAAGCUUUGCUUGAUAAAAUUUGAAAGUUCUGAAGAAGAUUCAGGUCACUCGCGUGCAGCCUCUGGAAUAAGAGCUGUGUUACUGUUUAAAAGUUUUCAUGCUGUGGGGCUUCCAUCUUCAUUAUUCUACGAAUGCUUUACUUCACUACAUUGACAGCGUUGAAAGUGUAACUAAAACCCUUGCUUUCACAAGCAAGCAUCGAUUAAUGAAAAAGAAAGUCUCUCUCGAAGGUAAUUGACAGAGGAGCAAUCUUCUUACUCUUUAACUAAAUAUCAGAAAUACAAGGUUAAGGCUGCCAGGGUUGCGAAGGAGAAGGAUCGUUCCCGGAUUUUGCCUGCUUCAAGUUGUUGGGCUUGGUGAACCAAGUUGUGUACACGAAUUGCUUAUGAGGGCCCACAUGGUUGCAGACAAGCCUGAGCUUUUGUCUCUCCCUCAUGUCUCACAUUUUAUGAUGAAUCAAAUUGAACUCCCAACACGGUAGUUCAUAAAAUAUGAUUUUCUUCUUCCAAGUAAUCUUGUCAUUUCUCUCAUUUUAUUCAUUCUCCACUUUUCAAGUCUUCAAUCUUAAACUCAGUAAGGAUAUUAUUCAACUGCUUUUUCACUUCAGCUCCAGACAUCCGAGAAGGUGCUUGUCCCCACUCUCUAGAUUUAUCAAAAGGCACUAUAUUUUCGAAACCUAUGAUUCGUCGGUAAAAAUCGACGUUACCGACGUGACAAACCGAAAACUGAACCAAUUGAUUUUACUAUUUUUUUUAUAUUACUAUUUCGGUUUUUUAGAGAUAAAAAAACCACACAAAAACCGAACCGAACCGAUCGAUUCGGUUCGGUUUUUAAUUAAUCAGCUUUUUUUGCCCACCCAUAUCAUUAUGGAGGAGAGUUGAAGAAGAAUGGGAAAAUAAAAUUAUCGUUAUAACUAAAUUGUAAAUAAGAAAGAAUGCAAGGGAUUCAAUCAAAAAAAGACAAAAGAGGGGUACGGUGUCAUAGGGGUACCAAAGCUUUGCCCUUCUUGUUGAGCUUAAUAUUUAUUUUUAGUUAUUUUUUUAUUUUUUGUCCUUUACAAAGAUAUGAUGACUCUAAGUAUUUUAGACAUUUUUAACCCUAGUGGCAAAUGUUAGUUUAGUACAUAUAUUUUGAUUUAAGUGUCCAUUUAAUUUUAUAUUUAUAAGUUACCUAAAACACCCCUGCUAUUAAAUAUGUCACAUGCUUACCCUUACUUUUUCAUUUCUUUUAUAAUAAUACCUUUACAAAACUUUUUUAUUAUUCUUUUACUUUUAAAAUUCAUUUGGUAAAAUAAUUAUUAGUAAAAUUAUUGUAAAAAUAUUAGACAUUACUUUAAGUAGGCUAAUAUUAAUUUAUUUAUAAAAAAUUAUUAGUAAGAUUGUUUAACAGAUACAAAAAAUAUUAGUUCUUUCACACUUAUAUUUAUUGGUUAAUUUGCUAAUUAAUUUUUUUAUAAAUAAAUUAAUUAAUGUCAAGAAUAUUGUUGCAAUAUUAUUAUUGUAAAAGAAAAGAAACAAACAAUGAUAAGAAUGUAACAUAUUGAACAAUAAGAGUGUUUUUACGCACUUUUUAAAAUUUGGAGAUUAAACGGACACUUAUAUCAAAAUUUAGGGAUUAAACGAGUAUUUACCCAAUCAAUUACACUCAUAAUUUAUAAUGUUGAUAUUUGAGAUUAAUUACACUCAUAAGAGGCCAACUAUAAUGAAAGGGCACUGCUAUACCAACAAAUUUUAGUAACAUUGUAAAAAUGGCAAUAAGAUAGCCUGGAACAGCUAAUAGGUACAAAGAAAAUUAGCAAUAAUCAAUUGGCGAGAGCAUCAUCAUCAUCAUCAUCAUCAUAAGUUUAUGGCUACCCCAAAAACUGAUGUGGAACCCCAAAGAAAUAACUUGGUUGAAGCAUUCCGAAAACUUAAUUGGCUUGAAAAUUAAAAGGAUCUUUCUCUAGUUGCGGCGUUGAACUAAAAACGGCUUGAAUGUUAUCAAUACUCCAAUUGCCUAACCACGUUUAAAAUGAAGAAAACCACUGGGAACCUGAACUCAAACUACUGGCAUAAAAUAAUAGCAUUGGUAGGACCUAGCUGGCAUUACAAUUGAAAAACUACUGGAAUAAAAUAAUUUUUGGCGAGUGGAAGAGUAUUUAUGCUUUCAGUAAAAACUAAUGAAUAAAUAAAUAUUGGAUCGACAACUAUAAAUAUCUUGAACAAAAAGAAUAGAACACAGAAGAAAAGCAAAAGCACCAUCUGCAUAAAGAACCAAGAAUAACAACUGAAUCUCUCUACUUUUAUUAAUUAAUAACAACCAAAUUUAGAUAGAAAAAAAAAACAAUAAGUUUUCUGCAUCAUAAAAAGUAGACCCGAAUGAGGCAAUUCAUCAAGCACUAAACCUGCAUUCGAAACACAAACGAAUAACACUUAAGAGAAAGCGGAUUUCAAAUCAAAAAGUAAAUACAUAAAAUCAACAUUUAAUUCGCCAGUACACCUAAAUUACUCUAGAAAUUCAAAUUUAUUGCUAAUUAAACACUAUAAAAUAUAAAAAAAAAAAAAUCUAAAAACAAAAAUAUGUCGACAAUCAAAUCAAAAUCAAUACCUCUAAUUCGAUUCCAAGAGUCUCAGGCACGGGUCGCACGAUAGAGUGAACGAGCUUGCUAAUUGUUCUGCCUCUAUUUACAAGCUUAACUAUUCUUUUGCUCAAGUCAAUGUGACCUUUUAGCUUGUCACACAGACCAUGACGGCUCGACGCGGCUGACUUUGAUGAUGCUAAGAAUACGACUCUAUAAGAUCUCCAAGAAAAUGAUAAAUCCUUUUGAAGUUGUUGUGCUUGAGAAGGCGAGCAUUUAGGGUUUAGACUUUGAUGAAGUCGAAAGAAAAAACUACAAAAAUUGAGAAAGAGAGAGUGUGUUUUGACCUAGAGCUUCGAUCUUCAACUCAACUGUUUUGCUUCUGGUUCGAUCUAUCAUUAUUCAUUAAGAGGCUAGAGAGGUUGAGCUGCUUGAUCUGUUUCUGCUUUUGGUUUUGGCCUUUGUUUUAUUUUGGUAUUUUGUUUUGUUGAGAUACUGUGUCAGGAAAGAGAGGGAAACGAUUUUGUGAAGAAAGAGAAGAUGAAGACUUAAUAAUUUAUCUAAAUUUUAUGUCCAAAACGACAUCGUUAAGAAUAAAUGAAAUAAUAAAUUUCAAAAUAAAAUAAAAUAUAAAAUCUUCGCAUGAGUGAAGGUUUAUGAUCCUAUAAUAUCAAUAACUGUUGAUGCUGGUACGUUAAAAAUGUUAAAAACUACGUAAGUCAUCAAAUACUGAUAUUUUUUUAUUUAACAUUAAACAUAAUAUCAGCGAAUUGAGAAAUUUUAUAAUUCAUUAGUAGUAAUAUAAUCGAUUGAUGUAUGCAUAACAUGUAUAAUUAAAUUUAAUGUAACCAUUAUUUUACAUAAUGAUCUUUCACAAUAAAUACAUAAAUAUCACAGUAUCAUUUACUUGUUAUAUAACUGUUAUAAUACUUCUAAUGCAUUAUAGAAUUUAUCCAAAAAAUGUGAUUUUUCUUCUACCAAUAAUGUAUACUUAAUAUUAAUAUUUUCGUUCAAUCAUACAAGGUUGGUAACUUUAAUUGCAGUAACUGAUUCAAAUUCAGUAGAUGUUUCCAUUAGAUAUGUUUUUUUACUGCAUUGCAUAAAUCGAUGAAGACCCGUGUUGGGCUUACAUAUUGCUUCCAUUGGGCUGGACUAUAUCUGAACAGCGGCCUACACAAGUAUACAACAUAAAUCAAACCCGGCUCCCGCCUGUUUUUAGACAUGUUUGCACUAUAUUUAUUUGAUGAUGAUGAUGAUAAUAAUAAGAUCUCCCUAAGUUACAUGCAUGUAACUUACAACCAUCUCACAUUAAUAGUGAGUGGACCAACAUUAUUCACUAUUUAUGUGAGAGGGUUAUAAGUCACAUGCAUGUAACUUAGCAUUAGCCUAAUAAUAAUAGUUUAAAAACAUAUGUUUAUAUUUUUCAAAUAUUGUAUUGGUCAGCAUAUCUUUGCUCGCUCCUCAACUAAACUUUUCUUAUAAUUGUUCGUUUGCAUGCGGUCGUUAAACUCAUUUCAUAGCAAAUUUAGUACCACUUCAGUCUUCCUCUUUCGAGCUACGUAGUGGUACAAGAAUCUCCCGUAACAAUUUUUAGUUUAGUAUAGAUCUACCAUCAAAGUUUUAAAAUCGACAUAAAAAAUUUAUUCUUCCCCAAGAAUGCCUGAGAAUAGGCUUGGUCUUUUAGAUUUUCUAUUAAAUGAAAGUGUUGACCAAUUUGACCAAAUAAAAUUAUAAUUUCAUCCUUUAAUUAUAACGAAUAAUUAAUGUAAAAUGAUAAAUGUCCAUAAACUUUAUUUUAAUUUUCUUUUCUUACCCUUUGCUUUCUCUCUCCCCUUUCUAAUAAAUGUUGUCCAGUUAAAAAAUUUCGAAAGACUUCAUUUUUAAUCGAUUAUAUAUUUUCACAGUCAAUCUUUUUUUUUUCCUGGUCUAGUGAAUCGGUUGGUUCGAAAGAGAGUGCUUUCGACACACGAACCAUUUAAAGAAGCUUUAGACUACUAGGAUUAGGCAUUACUUGAACAUUGGGUCGUUAUAACUUGAAGGUACGUGAUUCAGAAAUGUAUAAUGGAGGUUUUCUAAGGUUGAUAAUUCAGUACUGUAUUUAUUUAUUAACUCUUUAGCAACAACAAAGGCAUCUUUUUUUUUUUUUUUCUACCUGAGGUAAAAUUCUUUGAUUAACAAAACAAGGAUCUAACAAAAGGGUACAAUUUCCAGCCAAACCAAUCACGGGUUGAACUAUUAAUUUUUCGUGGCUUUUCAAUUACUCGAGGCACCAAAUCAAAAAGUGAAAAAAAAAAAAAAUACUUAAGGCACAAUCCUGUGACUUUUCAACCUAUUAAUCCAUGUGAUAAACGAAUUCUUAGAGUUCCUGAAACCCAAGAACCCGUGCUCCUUACUCUUGUUCAUGCUAACAAAAUAACCCGCACCAAUAUUCAACACCACAUCUGCAUAUGACCAAACAGCAACCUCAUUCAAUUUUGUUGGCUGCAGCUGAUUCUCUCUCACAAUCUCCUCCCACGCACUUUCUUUACCUUUCAUAACUUCCUCCAAUCUCACCCUCUCACUACCCAUUUCUUCUCCAAACCCAUAAUUCUCAAUCUCAAACUGCUCAGCCAACACUUUCCAUAAAUGCUUCCACUUAAAAACAUCUCCAUUGGUGCAAUUGAAAGCUUCGUUUCUUGCAUUAGGAGCCACUGCCGCCCAAAUUUCCUGCUCCGCAACCAACUCUGCGUCUGAAAAUUCUUGGAAACCUUCCCAAGCAUCUCUAGUCCCAUGAAAUACAAGAGGAGCACCUUCGUGUUUACAAAUAGCUGCGUACACGCAGAGAAUGCCUAUAAUAUUCAUCAAACUAUAAGGUGAAAACCCAAAUAUUCCGGAAGGUCGGUGUAUGGACCAAGUCAAACCCCGUCUUUUGUCAACUUCUUCAAACAAUAUAUCUUCCUGAUUAUAGUAAAAAAGUGGUACGUUUAGUCUUGGCAAAUCCUCAGUAAAAGGCGGAUCGUGAGACGGUAUCUUGCCAAUACACUCGAAUGGACCGACGUAAUGUUUGCCUCCCGUUUGGAGACAGAUGUGGCGGAGAUUAGGCGCAUUCGGGAUUACAGAACGGAGCACGUUACGAAACAUGGCGCCGUUGAUCUGACAAUUCUCGGCUUCAGUGGGACGGCUGGCCCACGUCACAUAGAAUAUGUGGGUGACGUCAGCGAGUUUUGAGAGCUUGGCUUGCGUAUCGUCUGGGUCGGAAACGUCGCAUUGGAUGUAAUCAAUAGGGUACUUGGCGUUCCAGUUAGGCCUGGGACGUCUCGCCACCCCGUAGAUCUUCCACGGGCCACCGGGGGUAUCUGAUCGGGGCAAAAUCUCAGCUAGGCUGUUGCCUACAAUUCCUGUCACGCCUACUACAAGUCCCACGUUCUGGUAGUCUUGAAUUCGCGCAUCUUCUUCCAAUUUGUUCUGUACAGCGAAAAUUAAACAAACAUUAUUUUAAAUAUCAGCAUGUUACGUGUAUCUAUAAGCUUUUCAAGUGAAGAGACUUAAUUAGAGGGUUGAUCUUUACCUUAGCAGCGCCAAUACUACCUGCCCAGCGCCAGCUCAUUUUUCGGUGAAUCUGGAAAAUUGAUGAGAAGUUUGGAGACUGCUUAUAUAUAAACAAUUAUACGAGCACUUUCUAGAAGGUAAUUUUCCGUUGAAGUUAGAUAAUGUGAAUAUGUGAUCAAUAAUGAAAGAUCUAAUAUCAUAAUGUGUGGUGAAAUGUGGUUCCGGCCAAAGGCCAAGCUUCGUAUUGUCAUUGUCAGUCAGUUUGCUUUCCCGCAGUUUUCAAGCUCGGUGCCAACUCAAAUAAAUAAGUAGGCCAGUGUAGGUGACCAUUGCAAUAAAAUCGCCCUAUGUUUAUUACGGAAGUUUCAGUACGUGGACCCUGAGUUUUAAACCUAAAAUCAAAUAUGUCUCUUCACUUUUAUAAUUUGCUUAAGACACACCAUUUCUGUAACUUUUCGGAUUUCAAUAUCAGUUUUGGGACAAAAAGAGUCCUUCAAUUUGUAUUUUCAAUAUCACAACAACUAUUAUAUACUAAAUAGCUGUAACUUUUAAGAUAUAACUGCCCAACUUUAGUAUCAAAUAAGACCUUGAAGCCCGUUUGAAAUUGCUUUUGGGAGUUCCCAAAAGUAAUUUUAAAAAACUAAAUGUCAAUUUUGGUGUUUGACAAUUUUUUUUUAAAAUUACUUUUAGCUAAAUCACCCCGUCCUAUAGCAGGUUUUGAAAAGCGUGGAAGGAGUAUCUUUUCAUAAUUGGAUUUUGAAAAUCAGUUUUACAGUUAGUACAAUUUCAUAUAUAUAUAUUCAAUUAUAUUAUAAAAAUCUACAAUUAUCCUUAUUAAUUAGGAAAUAAAAUCAUUAAUUUAAAGAGAUUAUUAUUACCAAUUAUAUUAAGAUAACCAAAUAAAAAAAUAAAAUCAAUAAUUUAAAAUAUUUAUUUUAGUUAUCAAUUAUCAUAUAUACACAAUAAAAAAAAUUUCAUACAUGUUUAUAAAUGCGUAAAUAAAUUUUAUUCAAUAUUGUGUUCAAUUGAUUUAUUUAUAUUUUUACAGCAGUUUAAUAGUAAAAUUUACUAAACACAAACGACUACUUUUAAAAUUUGCAGUAAUUUUAAAAAGAAAUUUUAUCAAAUAUUUAACUGAUUCUUUUUACAACUAAUUAUUUUUACAGUACUGCUAACAGUAAUUAUUUUAAAAACUACAGCACUAUUAAACUGAUUUUUAAUUUGUUUGGCUUCUUAAAAGGUCUGAUAUUGAGACAAUUGACCUAUUUAUAUGGCAAUAAUUGACAUGAUUCUAGAAGCCAAAACAUCAAUUUUUUUUUUUCGUAUCAGAUGGUGUGAAAUGAACGCAACAUGCAUUUGUAGUCUAUUGAAAUAUCAAAAUUGUCCUCAAAUCGUAAAUCUCAGUCAUUUACACCCAGGAACCUAGUACGAGUGAUUAUGAAACUCGAUAUAUGAAUAAAUGAAGAAUUCAUUUUUUUCCUCCUAAAUUUUAGGAAAUAGUUAAAGAUGUUCAUAUGAAUGAAUGGAAGAAUUUUUUUUCCCUUUCUCAUCACAUAAAUUCAUGUGAAUAUUCAUGAGGUUUAUUUGAAUGAACACUUUUUUUCUCAAUAAAUCUGCCAUCAUGAAAAACGUUUUGGCUCUUGUGUAUAAUUUGAAAAUCAUAGAAAAAAUAUAUCAAUAAAAUAAUUCUACAUAAUUUAUGGUUACCAAUGCUCAUUUAAUCCACUAGGCAAACUUAUGCAAAUAAUAAGAAGAGAGACGUCGCAUUUAAUUUAGAAGUUGUUUCUCAUUUAAGCCCUAUUUGAUAUUGAAAUGCUAUAGCAUAGUAAGAAAAAAGAAAAAGAAGUUGCAACUAUUAAAUAAAAGUUGAUAAUGUAUAAUAAAAUAAUUAUUAAAUAAUAAUUUGACAAAAAUAAUAAAGACACUAUAGGUUUUGUCAUACAAGUGUGAGAUCAAAUCAACUUAAUUUCUAAGCGGCAAUAGCUAGUGUUUACUAAACACUUUGGUACUGUAACUUUUAAGCUACACCUGCCCAACUUUAAUACUAAACAAGGGUUUAAAUUGUUUCAGUUAUUGAGGUGUCAAAUUAUUGAGACAUUUGACUUGUUUACAAGGUAAUAAUAAUAGACAUGACUCUAUAAGCUAAACCAUCAAUUUUUUGUAAUGUACUGAUGAAUGUGUGUUUGAUUUUCUUCUUUCACAUUGGAAUCAUGCUUUGCCUAUGAUUUUGUAAUUUACUAGGGUUAUAAUCUUGGGUUCGUAAUCCGGAAAAAAUUCGUUUCCAUAUAAUUUUAAAAAUAUUAUAAUAAAUUUGUACUUUUUGAUAUAAAUUUUAUAAGUUGUAACGGUAUUUUAGUACUUAUAUACCCAAUUCAUUUCGAAAUGGGGGUAGUAUAGUCUUUUAAAUUUAUAACAGUAAUAGUGAGAAUUAGUUGAUUUUUUUAAUGAAAAUAGGGGCGAGGUGCACAUGGUCGAAAGAUGUGGGUGCGUUGUGUGAAAUACUGAACAAUUGGGGGCUGACGCUUAAUUACCCUUAAAUAAAUUAUUAGUUUAAUGGAAGGAACAUAAUUCAGGAAAAGAGGAAUCAAACUGCGAAAGGAAUUAGGAUACUUGAAAAGAAAGAAUGAAAAUAACUUUUUUUUAAAAAAAAUUAUUUAUUUGGACAUUGUUGACGUCCAAUUAAUCAUGACUCUUAAUGAGAAUAAUUUUUGGUGACAAGAAUAGCGGCAUCCUUGGACGUGGCAAAAUAAUCACAAAAAUCCCUUAUUUUAAAAAAUGAUCAUGAAAAUUUAUUGAGGGACACACAAAUUGAGGAUUUGUGUAACUAUUUUUAAAUACAAAAAAAGGUCUACAUGUAUUAAAAAAAGUUUGUAUGUUCAUUUUUUAAAAAUAAGGUCUACAUGUAUUAAAAAAGAGUUUGUAUCAUGUCGUGCUGUUUUCUAAUUUUUCAUGAAAUCUUUGUUACACGAUUUAAGAGAUGGUACCAAACAUAGUGACAAAACUAUCAUAGUACCGUCUAAUGAUGAAACAAAUUGUUAAUUAAUUAAUAAAAAUACUAAGUGAUUGUAACGGUUCCGGUCACAGUCACAGUCACAGUCAAAUACAACUAGGAUAAUUUAAUUUAAAUAAUGUGUAAUUUAGCGUUAGCCCCAAUUGUUUCGACAUUUUGCAUUGUGCCUCCAAUCUUCUGACCAUGUCCACCACCCCCAUUUCUUUCAAAUCUAACGUUAACGGAAAGAAGGGUAGAAUGGUAAUUAAUACAAGAUUAAAAUAAUUUAUAUAAUAAAAAAAAACCCCUUUUUCCUUCGCCGCCUCUAUAAUUUAAUUUAGGGUUUGAUAUCUUUAGUCUUAGGAUUUUUGAUUAUUGAGUUUCUUUUUAUUGAAUUUUCUUAGUAUGAAUUUAUUUUGUAAUAGAAUUUUACAAUGAAAUUUGUUGUCAUGGAUUUUGGUAUCAUUAGUUUCGGGUUUCUUUCUUAUUGGGUUUUAUUUGUUUUGGUGGGAUUAUUGGACUUAUUUUGUAAUGUAUUGAUGAAUGUGUGUUUGAUUUUUUUCUUUCACAUUGGAAUCAUGCUUUGCCUCUGAUUUUGUAAUUUACUAGGUUUAUAAUCUUGGGUUCGUAAUCCGGAAAAAAAAUUGUUUCCAUGUAAUUUUAAAAAUAUUAUAAUAAAUUUUUACUUUUUGAUUUAAAUUUUAUUAGUUGUAAGGGUAUUUUAGUACUUAUAUACCCAAUUCAUUUCAAAAUAGGGGUGGUAUAGUCUUUUAAAUUUAUAACAGCCUAAACAGUUAGAAUUAGUUGAUAGUUGAUUUUUUAACGGAAAUAAGGAAGAGGUGCACAUGGUCGAAAGAUGUGGGUGUGCUGUGUGAAAUACUAAACAAUUGGGGCUGACGCUUAAUUACCUUUAAAUAAAUUAUUAGUUUAAUGGAAGGAACAAAUUUCAGGAAAAGAGGAAUCAAACUGCGAAAGGAAUUAGGAUACUUGAAAAGAAAGAAUGAAAAUAACUUUUUUUUUUAAAAAAAAUUAUUUAUUUGGACAUUGUGACAAACAAGUGAUGGGCAAUGUCAUGUCUUGAAAAACGACAACAUUACAUGAUUCAUGAGAAGCCUAUCACUUUGAGAUUAAUUUAAUUUAAAAAAAUUCCGUUUGCUUAAUACUAAAAUGUCACGUGCAAGUUGUCCUGGACUAGAGAGUCGUUCACCCGUACUUACACAGUUACACCCAAAAGUCACGAGGAUCAAAACCAGAUCUGUCACUGCAUUUGCUUGAAAAAAUAUAUAUUUUAAAAAAUUAAUAUUCGUGUUUCGAUAGCUUUCUAAGUGGUUUAUUUACAGGUAUUCAAAAUAUAUAUAUUUUGUAAUUUCGAUUAAAAUUUUGCGACAAUUGUUUGGCUGGAAUAUUUUUUUUAUAAGAAAAAUAGCGAUCUCACACUGAUCCAUAGUUGAGCCAAUUGCCUAGUUAAAAGCUACCUCCAUAUUUUUUAUUUUUACCCUAAUGCAUGUCUGAUUCUUUUAAAAUUUUACGUUAUAUAUAUUAAACAAAAAUUAUAAUUUUAAUCAUUGAAAAACUAAUGACAGACAUCUUUUGAAUAAUUUUUUUUUGAAAAAUACAGAGCUAGAGAUAAUGCUAUAAUUGAUUGAAUAAGAAGGCUACAACUUGAUGAUAACUUUAUUGCAAUGUUGCGUGAUCUCAAUAUAUUAUUGCCUUAUGUGUGAGUAAAAGUUGCUGGCUCUUGUUUUACUAAUUUGCCUUUGUAUUUGACUGGCUCGACAAAGAAUCGAUUUACCUCAUACUCAAAUUACAAACAUCGAAACCGGAUCUGUCAUUACGUUAAUUGGCCUCAUAAAAUAAUCAAUCACUUUCUCUUUAGUCUACCAUCCACUCUUUCCAGUCGCUUAGUUUCAUUCUAAUCAUCUAAACGAAUCUUGCAAAUCCUCAAGAAGCCAUGUUAAGACAAGGCCAGCUUACUAUUAGGGUAUGAAAGAUAAAACCUUUUAUUUCCUUUUCAGAAUAAAAAGGACAUUGACAGUGUUAAAAAAAAUCUAGAGGAUUUCACGCCUCCAGAUCCUUACAAAUCAAGGAUAUUAAAAAAAAUUACUUAGAGGAGAAAGGUUAUGCUCAUUUGUAUCUUGUUAGAAGAAAUUGAUCCAAAGCCUAAGUUUUAAUUUGCUUCAUAUAGCCAAUGACUAGGUGUUUAAAAACCAAUGAAUAUUUUUAUAAGAAAUCAACAAUUAUGUUGAAAGAAAAACCAAAUAAAAAUAAUAAAGCCAAUGAAUAGAUCAAGGCUCUUUGUGGUCUAAAACUAAUCAAACUAAGUUGUGGGCAAAGGUGAAUAUGUUUGUUUGGUCAAUAAUAAGCUCAACAAAUCACUAAUAAUCACCUAAUCACUAUUCCUUAUGCUAUGCAAUAUAAUGGCCUGGGUAAUGGCGCCAAGGCAGACAAUAACUAGCUAGCCAGUUAUGAUAGUUGAUUAACUUAACCUACUGGAAAUCUGAAGACCAAAACGAAGAAGCUUUGUCUAGAACUAGAAUAGGAACAUUCGUACCCAAAACUAAUAUACACAAUUAAGAAACUUGAUUAUAUGUAUAUUUCUGUUGGCCACACUUAAAGAGAAUUUCCAAAAGAUGCUAAGGUACACCAAAUCCCACUAUUUCAUACUCAUAAACACAAAAAACCAUGGUAAAAAUUAAUGACUAUAUCAAAUAAAAUCGGUGAUAGGACAUUGAGAUUAGGACAACUUGAUUUGUAUACCGUAAAAUAACUAUAUCUGCAUGGUGAACUAUAUUUCUGUUAGAACUCUGAAGUUUCCUAUUAAAUUUUUUUCUCUGUUAGGUAAACCACUUAACUGAAGUGCUUAAGCCAAUUUUGACAAUCAUAGACAUAAAAGUAUUAAUAGGCUCAUUCAAGUGAAAUGAGCAUUAUUUCACACAUCCUUUAGGUUUUUAAGUCAUUUACAAGUCAUUCAUGUUAAAAAAAAAUUCAUAUACUUUUAAUAUAAUUAGAACAUACACAAUUAAUUAAUUAAAUAAAUCUAUUUCAGCUAGUAUAGGAACUUAAUUAAUCAAAGCUAGUAGUUAUAGCUAGGACUUGAACGAGGCACCUUUCAAAGUUCAAGAAGAGCAUCUGAACAUAAUGAAAGCACUUUGUAGAUAUGGUAAUGAUGCUUUACAUCUACAUGCUCUUACACAAUAUGAACUUUCAUUUACUCCAAGCUCUUAUUCUACAAGUCAAUUCAGUUUGUAGAUGCACGCCAUUGUAAAAACUUUUGUAUUAUAAUUUCUGAAAAUAGAACGUAACAUUAUUAAUAUAGAAUCAGCAAUGUAUAUAACUUAUCAGACAAUAUAACAAGCACUUGGUGACCAUACAAGAUAAACUAAAACAAGUUAUCCAGAAAAUGAAACUAAAACCCAAGCUCCGCUAUUCAUUGUAGAUGCUUUAAACAUAAAAUUAAACUAAAUCUAAUAGAAAAACAUUAGAAUGGAUGUUGGAAUUAAAGCUAAAUUCAAUAGUAAUUCAAAUGAAUCCAUUUGAACUUUGUAAAUUCCGCAGAACAAAAUUAAUUUGAGUGAGCAAACUCACCAAUGGAACAAGAACACAGGGGCUUCAACUUGUACGAAUAAAAAAAUAUUGCUGGCGGGACAAAAAUUGACAAUAAUGGCUACAAUACGAAUUUUAAAAAAAAUCAAAAUCUAUAAUUACAAGCUAAGUAAGAGAAGAAACUCAUAAUCACAAGCUUACCUCAAAAGAUGAAGGGAGAAUACGAUGAAGAAGAAGAUGCCCGGUGUUUUAUGUCGUUCGCCGGCAACCAGUUAGGUUUACGAUGGUGGCUAGUCCAGCGAAUAGUUUUCUAACUGGAAAUAAAUUUAAAUUUCUAAAAUAGUGCUAUACCGAACGGCUCUGUACCGUCACGUUGUUACGGUCUGCCCAAUUUGCUAGCCCAAUUGCCCACAAUUUCGGACUAGAGAACCAACACAAGACCAAGAGUGCUAUCUUGGCCCAAUUUCGGAAAGGUCUAGGCAACUCUAGCACAUGUGAGCUUGUAAAUACUCUAGAAUUCUCUUUACAUUUCCAGCACAUGUAAAUAGCUAGGAAGUAGUAGAAUUCUCUAGAAUCUCUAGAGCUUGGCAAGCCUCCCCUAUAAAUAUGGGAUGACAUUAGGCAUUUGCAUCCAACAAACUCACAACAACAAGCUUUGUAAGCAACUCAAGCAUUGUAUUCUCUCUUUGUGCAAUACAAGUUUUCUCAUUCGGCUCAAUUGCUCUCUUCUCUAGUUCGAGAAGCUCUAGACUUACUUAGCAACAUUUGGCAAUGUUAUCUAAGUGCCGCACGGGUUAGCUGCGCAAAAUACUCAUCCCGUGACAAGUGGUAUCAGAGCUAAGGUUUGCACGCACGCAAGUUAGCUCACGAGCAAUGGCCAACCCUUCGAACGUAGCACAAGAGGGUGUUGUUGGUGUGGAUGUUCCAUUGGAACCAAGCUGCAGCCGAGAGGGAGAACGCGCCCAAAGCAAGACUCGCGGCAAGUCCAAAGCCGCAUCAGUGGAUGCGUUGGAGCCUCGUGUGACUACUCUCGAAAUCGCAUUGUCCGUCGCUCAAGAUAGCCUCGAGGGAUUGGAGGAACGAGUGGACAGUCUCGAGGGGGAAUACGCCGAGUUCACGGUGGCAACAAAAGCUCUCAUCCAAGAGCAAGCGAACACUCUUCGAGGUGAGUUUCGUUCUUUCCAUGAUGAGUUGCUCAAACUUCGUAGUUUUGUUCAGGACGAACUACACGCUGUCCGUGCGGAAGUGGAUGAAGUCCGCUCAGAUUGGGCAUGGCACAAGCGCACACUCUCCGCAAGUCCAGCUUCCACAAACUCGAGUGAUGCGCACCGUAUUGAUGUGCCAAAGCCCGACACAUACGAUGGCACACACAAUGCCACAAUCGUGGACAACUUCCUAUUCGGGCUGGAUCAAUACUUCGAUGCCAUGGGUGUCCGUGAUGAGGCAUCGAAAGUGUGCACUGCACCCACCUAUCUUAGAGGCCCUGCACAACUAUGGUGGCGUCGCAAGCAUGGCGAGAUGGGCAAAGGCAUUUGUACCAUCGACACUUGGGCCGACUUCAAGCAAGAACUCCGAAAGCAGUUCGCCCCAAGCAAUGCGGAGAAGGAAGCGCGAGCGCGCUUACGUCGCCUCAAGCAUUCGGGUAGCAUUCGGGACUAUAUCAAUGAGUUCACUACCCUUAUGUUGGAGAUAAGCAACAUGUCCGACAAGGAUUCGCUCUUCUACUUCCAAGAUGGCCUCAAGGAUUGGGCUAAGACCGAGCUUGACAGGCGUGGCAUACAAACACUUGACGACGCCAUUGCUAUUGCGGAGUCUCUCACCGAAUACUCCGCCCAUCUCAAGGACAAGAGGUCUAGCUACGAUCAAGGUGGGGGAGAGAGCCAUGAGGACAACGACCGCAAUUGCAAGGAGUGGAGCAAGAAAAAGCUUCCAAGCGGCAAGGGCGGGCAAAGUAAAUCCGAGAAGUCACCCAAGCCGCGAAGCCCAUGCUUCAUAUGCAACGGUCCUCAUUGAGUGCGCGACUGCCUGGAUAAAAAGUCGCUGAGUGCCCUCGUGGCACAACUCAAGGGCCGACACACACCGCCUACGGAGGAACCUCAACACAACUUGGGUUCGCUCCAACGUCUUAGCACACUCGUGAGCCAACCACCAGCACCUACAAGGAAAGGGCUCAUGUUCGUAAGUGUGCUCAUCAAUGGUCAAACCGUUCGUGCGCUCCUUGACACCGAAGCAGCACACAACUUCAUCUCCGAAGAAGAGGCUAAAUGUCUAGGCCUUAAGGUAACGCAAGACGGAGGCACCAUCAAGGCUGUAAACUCACCCGCCAAGCCAUUUAGGGGAACCACACGAGGCGUACACGUUACGCUUGGGACAUGGAAUGGGAAGCUCGACUUCUCGAUUGUGCCGAUGGAUGACUUCGCAAUGAUCCUUGGCAUGGAAUUCUUCGACAAGGUACAUGCCUUCCCACUUCCAGCAACGAACUCCCUUAGCAUCUUCGAUGGGAGUAAGGCAUGCGUGGCACCGGUCGAGCGUGCACAACCCGUAAAAAAGGCGGUCUCGGUCAUGCAAUGCAGAUGAGGAUUCAAGAAGAAUUCGGACCACUUGGUCUCCAUCCGGCAACACCACAAGGGAGAGGAUUCCAAAAGCCCUCCAAGCCAAGUCCCACAACAAGCACGAACCGUCCAUGAUAAAGGCAAGGACGCCAUGCCUCCGAAGCUCCCAUCGAGACAAGUGGUUGAGCAACGCACAAAGCCAUCCGAGCAUGAUGAGUUGUGGAAACACAAGAGGGGACGCCGCAACACCAACCGAAAGAAGGAAACGAUCAUAUGCGGAGCAAGUGGCGGAACCUCCCCAAGAGUGAAGCACAAGAAGACUAACGACAAAUCGCGGAACAAGUCCCUAAAGGAGCAAGGACGAGAUCGCGACGAGGACGCCGCGAGCUUAGGUGGGGGAGGAUGUUACGGUCCGCCCAAUUCGCUAGCCCAAUUACCCACAAUUUUGGGCUAGAGAGCCAACACAAGGCCAAGAGUUCUAGCUUGGCCCAAUUCCGGAAAGUUCUAGGCAACUCUAGCACAUGUGAGCUUGUAAAUACUCUAGAAUUCUCUUUACAUUUCCAGCACAUGUAAAUAGCUAGGAAAUGGUAGAAUUCUCUAGAAUCUCUAGAGCUUGGCAAGCCUCCCCUAUAAAUAUGGGAUGGCAUUAGGCAUUUGCAUCCAACAAACUCACAACAACAAGCUUUGUAAGCAACUCAAGCAUUGUAUUCUCUCUUUGUGCAAUACAAGUUUUCUCAUUCAGCUCAAUUGCUCUCUUCUCUAGUUCGAGAAGCUCUAGGCUUACUUAGCAACAUUUGGUAAAGUUGUCUAAGUGCCGCACGGGUUAGCUGCGCAAAAUACUCAUCCCGUGACGAGUGGUUAGUAACAUAUGUGACAGCGGCCGUCACAUAAAGGGUAACAAAAGCAACUCGAGGUUACAAAGUUAGAAGUUAGUGGCAUGCGUAAUGGCUGCUUUUGCAAAUUUGCAUUCACAUUAGGGGUCACAUAUACCCUAUUUUCUUGUAGUACAUGGUAAAUUCUAUUUGAAAAUUGCUAAGUAUUUUAGAUUUGUACGAAUUCAUUUUUGUGUGCUUGUUGGAUAGUAAUAUAUUAUUUAAUAAAUUAAUUUUUUGUUGUAAUUUUCACAAUAUUGUAUUAUAAAUAUGUCUCAUUGAAAGGUUUUGAAAUCGUUUUGAUUGAUCAUAAUUGAUAUUUCCACAGUUGCAAAAGAUGCCAGAGAAAAUUUGAUUAUCUUAAGAAAUGAGGGCAUGAGAUCUGAAAUCAACCAUACCAUAAAAUCAAAUUUUAUCAUGUCAUCCUUCUCGGUUCAAAUUUAUGGAAAUAAUAAUCAAAUGCAUCCAUGAACUAGUAUAUUCCGAGAUAUGUACCAUCAAAUUUUUGCUAUAUCAUACUUAUAUAUGUAUAUUGAAAUUUUAAUAACAACAAUUGGGCCAAGUGUUGAGUGUUAGAAAAUGCAUAUUUAUAAAGGAGAAAACCGUUAUUUUACAUUUCAAGUCUUACUAACAACCCUUACUUUUAUGUAUUUAACCUUCUUGUGAUUUAAUUACAUGUGUUUUAUUUUAAUUAAAUAUUUUAUGUAUUUUAGGGGCAUUAUAGUCAUUUCACAAUAAAAGAGAGAUCAGACGGCAAAACGGACAUCACUUUUGAACUCAGGACGGUCGAAAACCUUACGAGGAGCAUAAAAGGAAAAAUGGCACUAUUCACAUGUACGGUACUGUCUACGUUACUGUUCACGACACUGUUUACAUAUACGGAUCGAUGACGUGGCAUUGACCGAUGAUGUGGCAUUGACUGAUGAGGUGUCACGAUCCUGUUGGGUUAAAAUUCUUAUGAAUUGUUGAUGGUGACGUGGCAGCAUAUCAGUGGACGAAAAAUCUCGCGUACGGUACAUGCAUCACACAGGAUUAUUUUCAACCAAACUGUGUUACUGUUCAUCCGGGUCAAACCGUGUUACUGUUCAUCCGCGUGGUCAAACCACGUACUGUUGACUGAUGACGUGGCGCAAUCCUGAGCGUCCAAACUGUUUUUAAUCCGAUGGCCAUGAUUUACUCCAUGUAUCUAUAAAAAGAGGGCCUCUCCCCCCUAAUUUGAGAUCUUUGAAUCCAUUUUUGGGAUCCAUUUUCUGUAAUUCCUUCUCCAUCUUGUAUUUUCUUCGUAUUUUAAUAAAUUCUCAUUUUGCCCCUAGUUCAAUUAUGAGUGGCUAAUUUUCUUUCAAGCUUGGGUUGAAGGUGAAGUCUCAACAUGUGUCAUGGGCUUUAUUUGGUAAAUUUAUUUUCUCUUCCCCUCUAGUUUUUGUGGAUGUUUUGACUUCUCGUCGACAAAUAAUACUAAUUUUGUCUAGUACCGCCUUGGUUUCACCGGCCCCCUAGUACAAGGUUAUUAUUAUUUGGCACGAUAAGCCCUUAGCACCAUAUUGAUUAGACCGUGGUUCAUGUGGUGUGGAUUCCCCCCUCAUGAUUUAAUUGGCAUUAAUAAGGAUUAUUUAGCCCAUGAUGCAUGUUGAUACGGAUCCAGAUUCCCAAGUACGUCAUUUCAAUAGAAUUCUCUUCAAUUUAUUCUCGCCAUUUCAAUACCAAUUUUAGAAUUUAUUCUUGCCAUUUUAAUUUAAGUUUUAGCAUAUUCCAAAUCAUUUCCACCACAAAUCCAAUCACCCAUUUACAAAAUUAAUUCUACACAAUUAAAAUCCACCUCCUCGUGGGAUCGACACUCGUCACCAUUGAUCUAUACUACAAUAGAUUCGUGCGCUUGCGAGUACAUUAAAAUUUGCACAACAAGUUUUUGGCGCCGCUGCCGGGGAGGUAAGUAAUUUUAAUUCAUAGAAUUAAUUUUUGUGAAUAAUUUCUUUUAUUUGUUUUCUUGUAUUUUUUUAAUUAUUAAAAAAAAAGAAAAAAAAAGUGAAUCUACAUAUAAAGGUUAGUAUUUCUUUUCUUUUUCUCUUCUUUAAAAUUCUGUAAUUUAAUUUUCAAUUUAUUUUUCUUUGUAAUUUUUGUUUAUUUUAUUAAUUUAAUUUUUAGUUAAUUUAUUUCACGUAUUUGUUUUUGUGUAUUUUUAUAGAAAUGUUGUAAUAGCGCAAUAAGGUUAGUAUCGUAAUAUCUCCCUCUUCUUUAUUUGUUUUGUUCUCAUCUUUAUUUUUAUUUUAUUUGUUUUGCAUGCAUGGUCGUAGGUCAUUAUUACCUAAUCUUGAACCUAUAGACCUUGAACUUGAGAAAACACUUCGCACACACAAACACGUUAAACAUAAAAUGGAUUUACAAGCACCACAUGAGAGGCCAUUUAAGGAUUAUUUUAGUCCUUUAGCUAAUUUGAGCACAUCAUGCAUAAGAUACCCAAAUGUAGCUGCUAGGAGUUUUGAACUAAAACCUAGUGUGCUAAAUUGUCUCCCAACAUUUUAUAGCCUAGAAAAUGAGGACCCAUAUAAUCAUUUGAAUGAUUUUCAUGCCAUUUGUCAAACAUUUAAAUAUGAAAAUUUUUCAGACGAUGAUGUUAAACUUAGACUAUUCCCAUUUUCUUUAAAGGAUAGAUCUUGUUCAUGGCUUAAUACAUUGCCUGCUAAUAGCAUUGCAUCAUGGGGAAUAAAUGGUUACAAAAUUUUUGAAUAAAUAUUUCCCAGUGCAUAAAACCAAUGCUAUUCGCAAGGAAAUCUCGGAGUUUACCCAGAGAGAGGACGAGCAACUCACGAGAAUACGUUCCCAAAGCUCCAUUUCCUCAGAGGUUAGCUAAAAGCAAAAAGGGAAAAUCCACAGGUGAGAUUCUUGAAAUCUUCAAACAGGUAAGUGUUAACAUCCCUUUACUUGAUGCUAUAAAGCAAGUUCCAUCUUAUGCCAAGUUUCUUAAAGACCUUUGUACUAAAAAGAGAAAUAUGCAUGUUCAAAAGAAGGCAUUUUUAACAGAAAACGUUAGUUCUAUCCUCCAACAUAAAAUUCCUCUAAAAUGCAAAGACCCAGGCUCUCCCACUAUCUCAUGUAGCAUAGGGAACCACACAAUUGAGAAUGCUUUGUUGGAUUUAGGAGCUAGUGUAAAUUUUUUGCCUUACUCUGUAUUCGUGAAACUUGGACUUGGAGAAUUACACCUAACCCCAGUGGUGUUACAGCUUGCAGAUCGGUCCACGAAAAUACCUUGUGGCAUUGUGGAGGACGUGCUUAUCCAGGUAGACAAAUUUUAUUUUCUUGUUGAUUUCAUUGUAAUUGACACUCAACCAAUACAGGAUUCAAGGAAGCACAUCCCCAUUAUUCUAGGCCGACCUUUCUUGGCAACUGCGGAUGCUCACAUUCAAUGCAGGACAGGAAAUAUGCAGUUGUCCUUCGGCAACAUGACUAUGGAACUGAACAUCUUCAACAUUGCCAAACAACCUCACAGUGCAGAUGAUGGAAUUGUUGAUGUGGAUUUAAUAGAAACAAUAGUUGAUAAUACUUUUCUUUCAAACAUUAGUGAUGAUCCUUUACAAACAUGUUUAACUCACUUUGGUUUGGAUUUUGAUAUUGACAGAUCAGUUGAUGAGGUCAACGCCCUACUUGACUCAGCACCAUCCAUGGAUACUAAUAAAUGAAAGUCAAGAGUUGAACAACUAGCACCAUCAGAGAAGAAACUCAUCCCAUCAUCAGAAUCACCACCGAAACUUGAGCUCAAACCAUUACCCAACACUCCGGAAUAUGCAUUUUUGGGAGAAGAAAGUACUCUGCCGGUAAUCAUAUCAUCAUCCCUAAAUGACGAACAAAAAGGUAAGUUGUUGGAUAUUUUAAAAGAGCAUAAAGGAGCAUUAGGAUGGACCAUAGCAGACAUAAAAGUUAUAAACCCAAUAGACUGCAUGCAUUACAUUCACCUUGAUGAAAAUGCUAAAUCUACUAGGGAAAUGCAACGUCGGUUAAAUCCUAACAUGAAAGAAGUUGUUAGAACUGAAGUCCUUAAGCUAUUAGAUGCAGGUAUCAUUUACCCCAUUUCUGAUAGUUCAUGGGUCAGUCAUGUACAAGUUGUCCCCAAAAAGUCAGGAGUCACAGUAGUUACCAAUGCUGAUAAUGAAUUGAUACCAACUAGAGUAACUACAGGAUGGCGUGUAUGCAUUGAUUAUAGAAAAUUGAAUUCUAUCACACGUAAAGACCAUUUUCCUUUACCAUUUAUCGAUCAAAUGCUUGAUAGAUUGGUAGGCCAUGAAUUUUAUUGCUUUCUAGAUGGCUACUCAGGAUAUAAUCAGAUUCCCAUAACACCAAAAUAUCAAGAGAAAACUACUUUCACUUGCCCUUUUGGCACAUUUGCAUAUAAGAGAAUGCCAUUUGGAUUAUGUAAUGCACCUGCUACAUUUCAACGAUGCAUGUUGAACAUUUUUUCUGAUAUGUUUGAACGAUUCCUUGAAGUCUUUAUGGAUGAUUUUUCUGUCUUUGGUGACUCGUUUGAUCAAUGUUUACAUCAUCUAACAUUAGUUCUGCAGAGAUGUAUCGAGAAGAACUUGGUCUUAAAUGGGGAGAAGUGUCAUUUUAUGGUAAAACAAAGUAUUGUUCUCGGUCACAUCAUUUCGAGCAAAGGUAUUGAGGUUGACAAAGCCAAGGUGGAUCUCAUUUCUAAUCUUCCUCCACCCAAAACAGUCAGAGAGGUAAGAUCUUUCCUUGGGCAUGCUGGUUUCUAUAGACGUUUCAUUAAAGAUUUUAGCAAAGUUUCUAGACCCUUAUGCAAUUUACUUGCUAAGGAUGUACCUUUUAUCUUUGAUGAUUUAUGUCUUGUGGCAUUUGAAAAACUAAAGCAGUUGUUGACAUCAUCACCCAUUAUUCAGCCCCCAAACUGGAGCUUACCAUUUGAGCUCAUGUGUGAUGCAUCUGAUUAUGCAGUAGGAGCAGUAUUAGGACAAAGAGUUGAUCGAAUUCCCCACAUUAUUUACUAUGCUAGUAUGACAUUGAAUGAUGCACAGUUGAACUAUUCAACUACUGAAAAAAAAAUGCUAGCAGUAGUGUUUGCAUUAGAGAAAUUUCGAUCUUAUCUCAUUGGUUGUAAAAUAAUUGUAUUCACAGAUCAUGCUGCUCUUAAAUAUCUUCUCACAAAGAAAGAUGCAAAAACUAGACUAAUUCGUUGGGUGUUACUUUUGCAGGAAUUUGACUUGGAAUUCAAAGAUAAGAAAGGGACAGAAAAUGUUGUGGCGGACCACCUCUCUCGUCUCCAUUUUGACACAAUUACAGAGCCAUUAAUAUUGAAUGAGUCAUUUCCAGAUGAACAAUUAAUGAAUGUGGAAGUAUUACCAUGGUAUGCUGAUAUAGUUAAUUAUCUUGUUACAGGUAAACUUGCAGAGCAUUGGACCAAGCAAGAUAAGGCUAAAUUCUUUGCAGAGAUAAAGAAUUUCUUUUGGGAUGACCCGUAUUUGUUCAAGUAUUGUGCAGACCAAAUUGUUAGACGAUGUGUCCCAGAAAGUGAAAUUCAGAAUAUCCUUUCAUUCUGCCAUGAACAAGCUUGUGGAGGCCAUUUUAGUGCUAAGAAAACAGCAACUAAAGUUUUACAAUGUGGUUUCUAUUGGCCAACUAUAUUUCGAGAUGCUUACACUUUCUGUUCUUCAUGUGAUAGGUGUCAACGAAUGGGGAGCAUUACACGAAGGAACAUGAUGCCACUAAAUCCAAUUUUAGUGGUUGAGAUUUUUGACAUAUGGGGUAUCGACUUUAUGGGACCCUUUCCCCCUUCUUUUGGCCAUCAAUACAUAUUGGUUGGUGUUGACUACGUAUCGAAAUGGGUAGAAACAAUUCCAUGUAGAACCAAUGAUCACAAGGUGGUGAUAGGAUUUUUGAAAAGCAACAUUGUUUCGCGCUUUGGAUUCCCUCGAGCAAUAAUCAGUGAUGGUGGUGCCCACUUUUGUAACAAAGCAUUCAAAACUCUUUUGACAAAGUAUUCAAUCACACACAAAGUGGCGACCCCGUAUCAUCCGCAAACCAGUGGCCAAGUUGAGAUCUCCAAUCGAGAAAUAAAGCACAUAUUAGAAAAGACGGUGAAGCCGGACAGAAAAGAUUGGUCAUUAAGACUUGAUGAUGCAUUAUGGGCAUAUAGAACGGCUUUCAAGACCCCGAUUGGGAUGUCACCCUACAGGCUAGUGUAUGGAAAAGCUUGCCACCCACCUGUGGAACUCGAGCAUCGUGCGUAUUGGGCCAUCAAGAAAUUCAACUUUGACAUGCAGCAAGCCAGCUCAGAAAGAAGAUUACAACUGGCAGAACUUGAAGAAAUUCGCAAUGACGCAUACGAAAAUACCAAGAUUUACAAGCAACGGAUGAAAGUCUUCCAUGACAAGCAAAUUAUGAGAAAAUCAUUCACUCCAGGUUAGAAAGUGCUUUUAUUCAAUUCUCGCUUGCACCUAUUCCCAGGUAAGUUACGCUCUCGAUGGUCUGGUCCCUUUAUUGGUCAUACUGUUUUUCCACAUGGGGCAAUUGAAAUUAAGGACCCAAACAACGGUGUCACGUUUAAAGUUAAUGGUCAAAGAUUAAAGCCAUAUCUAGAGUACCAACCACAUGGAGAAGACACCGAAAUAAAUUUGAGUGACCCACCAGAUUUGAAUUGAUUUUUUUUCUUUUCGUUGAUUUGAUUUUUUUUUCUUUAUAUUAUUCUUCUGCUAAUUGAAAUUAUUUUUGCAUAAAUGUGUUUGUUUAACUAUUAAGUUUUCUUUUAUCGUUUUUAAUCAUGAGUACCUUACUUAGACCGUUCCUCCUGAACAUUCUUAAACCACUUCAACGUGUCAAAACUCAUCUCAAAAGGCAGAUUCAAUUUUGUAAAACACAUCGCAUUUGGGCUCUACAACCACCAGAGUUAGUAGCCUAUGUUGAGGGUUUAGAAAGACAACUCAGAGACAUUGAGAGAAGUGUUUACGACAUCCAGUUGGAGCUUGAGGUAAAUUCAAUAAGAGGACAAUUUUAAUUUUCUUUGUGUGUUUUAAUUUAUUUUUCUGUUUGUGUGCUUUAGUUUGUUACCCCGGUGAAGUGGCGGAUAACGGUACUCCGUGACAAUCAAGUCGGUUACUUCAGUUUCUCAUAAUAACUGAUAUUCUGAGGUGAAAGUAUGGACAGAAACGAGAUUCUAGCGAAGCUUCACAAGCGAUUCCCUUCACUUCCUCAGAAUGCCCUCCUUACGAUCUAUAAAGCUCGGUCCGAACGCAUGCGAUUACUCAUGAGGAAUAACAUACCUGCUGACAUCCGUUGGUUAAUCGAGGCUAAAGUACGAUCGGCAGGUGAGUUACCUCCAAAAUUUAUUGCAUACAUGCCUGGUUGUGGUAAAGGAAAUUAUGCAAGAAAACGACGAGCUCGAAGAAUUUCUGUUGCUUGUCAUAAGUGUGCCAGAAUGAGCAGGAAUAAAAACCCAUGUUCUUUAGGAAUGGUGUCUGAUAACAGGGAAUAUAAGAUUCAAUUAAUUAGGGAUGGCUUGAAUAAGGAGUCAUUGGAUGAUAUCCUUUUAUCUCUUGAAACGCAUCCCAAUGGAUAUGUGCAAGGAGCGAUUCUCCAGUUAUGGCCAUUAUUCCAGAAAGAGCAUGCACGAUAUAGUCUCGGGAAUCUGACUAUAAACGACCCUGUUUGCCAGUUUAUAAGAAAACUAGAUAGGAAGCCUAUCCUCGACCCAUAGAGGGCGUUUAAGCCGUUUCUGGACGUAAAACCAGAGGAAGAUGUGAGCUACAGUCGCAACUACCUGUAAAUAUCCUUUCACUUUACUGUUAUUUUAUUUCACUAUUGUUUUAUUGUGUGCAUUAUUGUCUUUAAUAAUUUUAUUACUGUUUACUUUUUCCUUAUUACUGUUUGCUUUUUCCUUUUUACUGUUUCCUUUUUGACUCGCGAGCCACGUGCUUUACGCGUUAUUUGACACUGACGUGUUACCUCAUACACAACUGUGACCCACUGUCACCAAGACUCUUAAAUGUGAUUUUUUUUUGUCAAGCACUCACAAAUUAUUUUUUGAGAAGUAUCACAAUGGUAGCUCCUCCAAAUAGACAAUUCAAGAACAUUUGUGUGAUUUCUGGAUUUACCUAUGGCAAACAUAAAGAGUUCGUUGAGGCAGCCAUCGAUCUUGGUCGAAGUAUAGCAGAGAGAAAAUUACACUUGGUGUAUGGAGGAGGUAAUCGAGGGUUAUCAAAAAUGGUCUCAGAAGCAGCUUUUAUCAGAGGCAGCCAAGUGUUAGGCAUCAUCCCAAGAGCCCUAAAACCUUUGGACAGUUCGUCUGACUCAUCAACUGGAGAAGAGUUAGUCGUCUCAAGUAUGCAUGAAAGAAUAACUGAAAUGCUUAAUCAUUUUAUUUUCCUUCCAGGAGAUCUUGCAACACUAGAGGCACUUAUCACACUAGCAUCUUGGGCCCAUCUGCACAUCCACCAGAAACCCAUUGGUUUGUUAAAUGUCAAUAACUUUUAUGAUGGCUUUAUCGCAUUUCUUAACCAUGCAAUAAAAAACUAUUUCAUUCCCUCUAAUGCGAAAAAACUCUUUAUUUGUGCUCACACUGCUAAUGAGCUACUUGAUAUGUUACAAGCUUAUAGACCGGAGCCAGACCCCUGGACCUUUGUGUUGGAGCAUCCAAAUAAUGAUGGUAACAGUAGCCGCAGUAAGAAGUACAAAUUAGAUUUAACUCUCCACUUGUAAAUAUUGUUUUCUGUGUUGCACCACCCAGUUGAUGUCUUCUAAACUCUACUUCUUUCCUUUCAAACAUUGAGGACAAUGUUUCGUUCUGGUUGGGGGGAGGGAAUAGUCGACAAUUGUGAAAUUUUGGUUAAGUUUUUACUAAUUUUUUGUUGUAGAAACUAACUGUUGCUAACUUUUUGUGUUGAAGAUGGCUGAAUAUGGAGUGUAGUGACUCUAGAAACGCAUCUUCAUCGUUUAAAAAAAAAUUAAAAAACUAAAAAAAAAAUUCAGACAUUUUCUUUUUCUUUAUUCUGUUUUUAUGUUUAUUUUUCUUCUUUUUAAUUUCUCCUCUAUAAAUAUACAUUUUCCAACUUAUGAGUCGAAGAUGGCUGAAUAUGGAGUGUAGUGCCUCUAGAAACACAUCUUCUUAAAAAAAAAAAACCAUUUUCGUUUUCUAUCAUUUUACGUGUAACUUUUUUUAAUUAGUUUUUAUGCAUCAUUUUCACAUUUCUGCAUGCAUAUUUUCCUUUCACGUUUAGAAUAGGUUGGGGGGUAGAAUGUUGUUUAAAAAAAAAAUUGUGUGAUUUGUUUUAACAUUGGAUGACAUGAUUAAUUUCAAAUUUUAGUAUUUGUAUUAUCUUUGGUCUUAAGUGAUGUUACAUUAUGUUUGCUACUCUACAUGUUGAUGUCGGAGACAAAUAUGAGUUGCUUGAAGGAAUGAACAUGUCAUAAUAAGUACCAAGUGAGUUUUUGAGAUUAUCAUUUUUCUUGGAGAGUAACCCUUUUGCCCAUUCUUUAUACAGCUUAACAGUUUAUUAUUGUAUACACGAUCUCUAGAUUUCUUUUGAGUUAACCCUUAAAAAAAAAAUUAUAAAAUUAAAAAAAAAAGAAAAAAAAUGUGUGUAGCUACAUUUGGAGGCCCAUCUAACUAGUAGAUAUAGAUGAUUAUUUAGAGCCCUAAAAGACGAUGGAAAGGCCAUCUUUGAUCCGUUUGAGCCUUUCUAACCAUCCCUUUUAUUAAAUAUCCAUAGUUAACCCUUUUGAGCCUUUAAAAAAAUAUAUAUAUAUUUUCUUUGUCAACUUAUCAUCUUGACCCACUCCGAUUUGGAGUAUUACCCGAUGUCUUAUAAGUUCCAUCACCUAUUUAUGUUUGAGAAAAUGUAAAUAAUUAUUUUAUUUAGUGACGUUGUGCCAAGCAAAAGCAAAAAAAAAAUAAUAAUAAUAAUAAUAACAAUAAUAGGUGAAAUCCACCUUGUAACUUCCAAAAAAAAAAAAAUUUCCUCUGCAUUUUUCUCAAACAUACACUUUGUUUUCCUUAUUUCCCUUCUUUGUUAACCAUGUCCCUAGCCUACGUUACAUCCUAAUAAAAGUCCUUCCCGAUUUUAGGGAACUAUAAUCUGAAGUAGAAACUAGUUAUAUGGGCUAAAAAGAUGUAGUGGUGCAUAAUAAAAAUAAAUAAAUAAAUAAAAGAAAAAAAAAAGAUAAAUAAAUUGGGUUGACUAGCAUUUUUAUUUGACUUGAGAUCGUAUUAUUUCUAAGCUGGGGGCAUAUUUAUUUCAUCUUGGUGAGAGCAUGUGAUAUCACUUUUUUAUUAUUUUCUCUCUCAAUUACAUUCAUUGGAGUGACUAUUUUUAUUGGUUUUAAUUUCUUUGUGAGAGUGUCACUACUUCCAGUGAGAUUUUGGGGUUUGACAUGUCAUUCUUGAAAGUAGCUAUAACGAAGUCUACUGGGCUGAUUCAUGUGGAUGGUUGAUGUGGGUGUGAUGUUGCUUUAGACUGGAGAUAAUGCUUAUACUUUUAUUUGAUUGCUAUCAUUAAUCUGAUUGAAUAAACACGAGUGUUUCUAAAAAAAAAAAAAUCAUUUUGAAUUUGAAUUUUAUUUUCGCUUUAUUUGCUAGGGACUAGCAAUAAGCUGGUUGGGGGGUGUGUUGAGUGUUAGAAAAUGCAUAUUUAUAAAGGAGAAAACCAUCAUUUUACAUUUCAAGUCUUACUAACAACCCUUACUUUUAUGUAUUUAAUCUUCUUGUGAUUUAAUUACAUGUGUUUUAUUUUAAUUAAGUAUUUUAUGUAUUUUAGGGGCAUUAUAGUCAUUUCACAAUAAAGGAGAGAUCAGACGGCAAAACGGACAUCACUUUUGAACUCAGGACGGUCGAAAACCUUAGGAGGAGCAUAAAAGGAAAAAUGGCACUAUUCACAUGUACGGUACUAUUCAUGUGUACAGUACUGUCUACGUUACUGUUCACGACACUGUUUACAUAUACGGAUCGAUGACGUGGCAUUGACCGAUGAUGUGGCAUUGACUGAUGAGGUGUCACGAUCCUAUUGGGCUAAAAUUCUUAUGAAUUGUUGAUGGUGACGUGGCAGCAUAUCAGUGGACGAAAAAUCUCGCGUACGGUACAUGCAUCACACAGGAUUAUUUUCAACCAAACCGCAUUACUGUUCAUCCGCGUGGUCAAACCGCGUACUGUUGACUGAUGACGUGGCGUAAUCCUGAGCGUCCAAACUGUUUUUAAUCCGAUGGUCAUGAUUUACUCCAUGUAUCUAUAAAAAGCGGGCCUCUCCCCCCUAAUUUGAGAUCUCUGAAUCCAUUUUUGGGAUCCAUUUUCUGUAAUUCCUUCUCCAUCUUGUAUUUUCUUCAUAUUUUAAUAAAUUUCCAUUUUGCCCCUAGUUCAAUUAUGAGUGGCUAAUUUUCUUUCAAGCUUGGGUUGAAGGUGAAGUCUCAACAUGUGUCAUGGCUUAUUUGGUAAAUUUAUUUUCUCUUCCCCUCUAGUUUUUGUGGAUGUUUUGACUUCUCGUCGAAAAAUAAUACUAAUCUUGUCUAGUACCGCCUUGGUUUCACCGGCCCCCUAGUACAAGGUUAUUAUUAUUUGGCACGAUAAGCCCUUAGCACAAUAUUGAUUAGAGCGUGGUUCAUGAGGUGUGGAUUCCCCCCUCAUGAUUUAAUUGGCAUUAAUAAGGAUUAUUUAGCCCAUGAUGCAUGUUGAUACGGAUCCAGAUACCCAAGUACGUCAUUUCAAUAGAAUUCUCUUCAAUUUAUUCUCGCCAUUUCAAUACCAAUUUUAAAAUUUAUUCUUGCCAUUUUAAUUUAAGUUUUAGCAUAUUCCAAAUCAUUUCCACCACAAAUCCAAUCACCCAUUUACAAAAUUAAUUCUACACAAUUAAAAUCCACCUUCUCGUGGGAUCGACACUCGUCACCAUUGAUCGAUACUACAAUAGAUUCGUGCGCUUGCGAGUACAUUAAAAUUUGCACAACACCAAGCACAUGUUGGUACUUGAAGAUUUAUAAGCUCCAUCCUUGAAAAAAUAAAGCUUGACUGUUUUCAAUCUAAUUCUUUUUGUUUUAAGUUCUUAAUUAAGCUUUCUUGCUUGUUUUCAAGAGCCAGUUUUGUAAUGAUCCACAAACAUGAUUUGCAUAUACAGUAUUGCACUUGGCAUUUAUGUAUCACUUAUUAAUUAGAUUUAAAUUUUAUAAACUAAUUAAGUUGAUUAAUAUUUUAUAUGUGCAAAUAUUUUAUAUGUGCACUAAAUGAUAGAUACUACAUAAAUUGGGACACUAUAACUACGUAUCCUAACUAUGUAAUAUUUGUUUGUCUCAAACCCAAUCAUGGCUUGAUAUUCUGAAUACUAUUUAGGAUAACAUUUCAAGCCCCAUGAGGGCUCUUUCCAUUUAAAAAAAAAGAGUAUGAAAUAGAUGUAGAUUUUUCUUUAGAUAUUAUUAGUGAGAGUACCUUUGAUGGCAAUGGUUCGGGAUGAUUUGAGAUUUGACAAUUCCGUUCUCAUCUUAAUUAUCAAAUGGAAUGUAAGUAGAGAUAAACUCGUCCUGUUUAUAUAUUUGUGAUCAAAAUUAGGACCAAUAUCAAACCGCUCACAAUCAUGUCCCAUCCUAACUAUCCUGAAUGUCUCGAUUGCCUCCCUUAAUUAUCUUUUUAAUUCUCAUUAACAUAUUAGCAAAAUUUCCAUAUAUUAAAAAAUUAGGGUCCGACUAUCUAUACUUUAAAAAUCAUUAUGAACACUCAAUUAUUUAUGCACUCAGCAAAUAAAUUUAAAAAAUUAAGUUUUACUUUCUACGCUUUUUUUUAGGAGUACUUUCUACACUUUUUAAAAUAACAAAAACAUCUUUACAUGAACCUAAUAAGUUUAUUUAAAAAAAUUAAAUCAACUAUUUUUAUUUAUUCAAAAUACUAAUAAAAAUAUUUAGCAAACCGUGAAAGAAAUUUUUUAAGAAAUUUAACAUGAUUUUAGUUAUUACUUAUUGUUUAUUAAAGAAUGUGUUCACUAUUGUUUUUAAUUUUGUUAGUCAAAAAAAAAAAAGAAGAAGAAGUUUGGGUUUAAGAUACAUUUAAUUUUUAGUGUAACAGUUGUAAUAUAUAGCUUUAUUUACCCAAGUGGGCAAUACAUUUAAUUUUUAGUGUAACAGUUUCAUUCAUACGACGCUUUCAAAACUAAAAGUACUUUUAAAAAUAAAUUUUACUAAAUGUUCAGCUGAUUUUCUUGACGAUUGAUCAAUUUCUACAGUAUAGCUAAUUGCAAUUAUUUUAAAAGCUACAGGAUUACCAAAUUGACCAUAAAUCAAACCAAUAAAAAUGUUUAAAAGUAAUAAUUAUAAACCAAAGUAAACGUACAAAAAUUCAUGCAUAAACUGAUAAUCAACAAAAACAUCCACAAGUUUAACUCCAAGUUUUCUAUUCAAUUGACAUAACCCUUAAAUUUCAAAAGGCAUAAUCAAUUUUGUGUCUAAUCCUAUAAAAUUAGAAAAUUAAAGAAUAUUAUAUACUGAUAAUUAAAUAAUAUGCAAUUAAUAAUGUUAAAUAUAUUGUCAACUAAAAUAAUUGGAGAAUUGGAGUUCCAAGAUAAAUUCUUAUCUAGUCCCAAAUCAACAAAUGGGAUUAACGAGCUGCUAUUGAAAUUAAUGUUAACAACAAAAAUAGAUGCAAAAGGAGAAACAGGCAUCAUGUGCAGUACCCACUGUGAACUGCUCACAAGUUGUUGGCAGCUGGUCAAAAAUUCAAUGUUGAUUUUGAUCCCACUAAAUUAAGUCAUCAAAAAUUACUCACCGUACAAUGAUGAUUGGGCUGCAUAUAUCAUUUAUUAUUAUCAGCUAACUUAUGAAAUGCUUUUGAAUGUACCUCCUAGGUCGUAUUAUUUACUAUACUAGUUAGGAGAAAUUGCAAUGUUAAAUUAUUUGAUAAAUACUUAUUAUAAUUUAAUAAAUAUGUUAAUUUUGUCCUCCACUUUAUGAUAAAAAAAUUUAUAAUAUAUAUAAAUUAUUUAUUCUAUAAUCUUGAACUUUAUUAAAGUUCGAAAAAUUAUUACUCUAUAUGAUAUAAUAGUGUGAUGUAAUUACACUAUUAUACCAUAUAAAAUAUAUUUGCUUUCUUAAAUUUUAAUAAAGUGUAGGUCUUGGACAGAAGCACUUUAUAUAUAUAUAUGUAUAUAUAAUGAUUCUCUAGCAACGACAUCCUCAUUUUAACAAAGUGAUUAUAUUAUUAACAAACUAAAUAACACACAUUUCAAUACACCAAUAGACAAAAAAAAAAUAUAAUUUUUAAUGUGUUAAAAUAUAUGUCUUUUUUAUAUUAUUGAUAUUUUCACUUUAACAAAGUGAGGGUCUCCUCAUUAUAGAAGUACUUUAUAAAUAUUCUUUGUAUUUUUGUGAAAAUUAUUAUUUAAAUGUCAUAUCUUACCAAAGACUAUUAGUUUUUAUUUUAUUACUACACUGUACUUUUCAAUAUAGAACACUUUAAUACCAUGACUUUAAUUUUUGAACUCUCUUGUACAAAGUUGUUGGCUGGUCUAUUUAGCUUAGUCUUUCAAUUAUUUGUCGUUUGAACUGAGAUGAUCCGAAUAAAGCUAUGUAUCAAUAAUUUCCUAGUGAAACUUCGGGAAAAAAUAAAAAUCCUCUCAUACAGUAGCAUUAUUUUAAUUCUCAGCUUGAUUAUGUUUUGAGUUAACUUAUAGAUUAUUUGAAAUGAAAAUAAUAUAAUUUAUGUUUUCCAACUGAAAUUUUUAAAUAAUUUUAUUAGUUUGAUGAGUAAGUAUACACCUACAAAGUUAUGAUAUAAAAUUAUAUCCCAGAAUCCCAAUAAUAUAACACCAAUUAACUACUGUUAUGUGUUUCUUAGUAAUUAAUUUUUUAUACUAUUAUUAAUGAGAUAAUUAACUUCAACACCAAUAAACAAAUUUUAUAUUAAUACAUCCUCUAACUUUAUUAUCAAAUAAUCAUACGCCAUAAUCAAACCAAGCUACCAGAGCCUACCACUAAAAGAUUGAUAGAAGGGUUUUCCAAGUUUUAAAAUGUUAGUAGCAUUAUGGCAACUUCCAGGAAUCUUCCUGCUACAAUCAAUCAUUUAGUGAAAUGCCCAAAUGACACAAAGGACCCCGCCAACCGUGAAGUCACAUAAUUUAUUUAUUUGUAAAUGAAAAAUAAGGUUCCGAUAGGAAGAAAUCAGCGCCUUAUAAUGUAUGAUUACCCGUAUGUCAAGUUUGGCGAUUAUAAGUCAUCAUCACAAUAACUUUGGACUUUAAUAUUUAAGUCUCUGUUUGGGACCAAUGUAUGGCAGUUGGACAACACAUCACUCAAUUAUAGAGUGUGAAAUAUUGAUAUUGUUCUUAUUAUUUUACGUAAUGUAUAAAUUUUUUCUUUUAUUUUUGUUUGUUUAUUUAUUUUUUAUACUUAAUAAAUAUAAAUUUAUUUUUUUAAUAUUUAACAAAUAUUGCCAGAAAUAACAAUCAAUGACCCAAAUCCUUUUAUUUUACAGAAAUAAUUUCAAUUCACAACAACCGUGACGUUACAUUACCAAACAAACACUAAAGUUUUGAUGAUUGUAGUUUAUGUUUCAUUCAUUGCAUGAAGAGUUUGAAAUAUGAUCUCAAAACAAAGAGUACGGCAUGUCAUGUUGGAUUUACAGAAUAAGUGUAUGCCAUGUCAUCCGGAAACUAGAAGGCGCGUAUGACAACCAGACGCUGUCAUGUCUGACUUGCUUACAAUUUUAAGUAUGAAUUCUGGGUUUUGAGUGACAAUUAAAAGCCCGAGUGAGAAUUAGAGAGAAAGUUAUAUAUCUUAUUUAUUCCUAGCCACUUGCUAUAUUGUGUAGGUCUUUUGUGACUCCAAUAAUAAAAAUCCUCAAUAUAUAUAUAUAUAUAUAUAUUGAUAGAGCAAUAUUUGUUAAAGCAUAAAGAAAGGCAAAAAUAUUGUAAAUCCAUCUCAAAUUUUCUGUUUAUUUUGGUCGCUGCUAGUGCUAGUUGUUUUCUUGUUGAACUUUGUUCCCUUUUGCCAUAAGCUCUUAGCAUUUUCAUUGGAUCAAGCGACCCUUUUCUUGUUUCAAUUUCUGAUCUCAAAAGCACUUUGAUUCUCUUCUGUUACACUGAUUUUCUCUUUGUUUUGUACAAAUAUUAUUUCUCUUUCCCAUUUAGCCUUGAUUUGCUUCUACUUGACUAUCAAUUGCCCAGUCGCUGACCCUGUUGUAUUUUUAUUUCGUUCACUUCAAAUAGAACCAAAAAAAAAAAAAAAAAGAGAUGUUGUAUAAAACCUAAAAUUUUUGUUCACUUCAAUCUUCGUGAUUUGGCUGAUUUCUUUUAAAGCUUUGAUUUCUUUAGAAGUACAAGAAGAAAUAGUAAUAAGAUUAAAAAAGCAAUGAAGUAAAACUUAAAAAUUUUUAUUUCUUCAUAUUUUUAUCGGUCAUUUUACCGGCACUGGCGUUUGAUUUUCUGACCAAGCUACUGUUUAGUUCUAAGCUCUGUUUCGUGUAUCACCGACACAAUGAGGCUUAGCAUCUAAAAGUCGGCAGCCAUGCAACUUCUUGGAAUCUUCAUGCAAGUGUUGGAUAUCGACUGUUCGAUAAUGAUGGCAGCAUUGGACUGGACUGUAAUUGACGCAGAUAUUGUCAGAUAUUUCAUUGAUUAAGGAUCACAAAUAAUGGCUAUUGGAUGAGGAUCACAUGUUUUAUGACAGUGGUAAUGGCAUGCCACUAAUGUAAGUGAAGCAUUACUUUUAAAUAAUGAUAUUAUAAUUAAAAAUCUACAAAUAUUUAUAAUACCUAAAGACUAAUUCAGAUUAUUAAUUUGUUUAUAUGACUUAAUUAUUAGCUGACAAAUAAUUAAAAAUUCAUGGAACAAUAUUUAAUUGACGCAGAGGAAUAAGGAUCACAAAUAAUGGAUAUUGGAUGAGGAUCACAUUGGAGUGUUGUAAUGCAACACAUAUUCACAAAAGCGUUGUUGAUGAAGUCUAUUCUCCGCUUAGCUUAGACGUGCAGAGCAGUAAAUUUCAGAGCGAAAUUAUAGAUGUGUUUUAUAAUGGGAUUCAUAAGAUUUUAUAUUUAAAAAAUUAGUAAGGUUUAUUGUGAGUCUCACUAUAGCACAUGAGAAAAUAUCAUUAGAGAAGUUCAUCAUGACCUAUCUCGUGUAAAUUUCUCUUCUAGCAAUUGUGGCUUUGAGUUUAGUUUUAGGGCUCAUUUAAUGGGAUACCAUAGUUGGACCAUAUUAUAGUUGGGUCUAACCAUUGACAACUCUGAUGACUGCCGUAGACUGAUUCAAUGGUACCACUUUAUCAGGUAUUAUUAAUUUUUAUUUCAAAAAUUAAAACUUUCAUUUUAUUACAACUGACAGCUGACCCCACACAUUUCGAUGAUUAUAAUUUAUCUUUCAUUCAUAAUAUGCCAGCAAAUGUUACAUCGCAAUUACGAAUAAUUUAUGUCCUUCACCCCCGACAUUGAUAUUAGCAAUUUUCAGUUAGAAGUUAAAUCAUCCCAGCAUUAGCAUUUUUUGUAUAACAUCAUUUUAAUUAAUAGAUUAGAAACGUGAUUCACGUUUGACAAUAAUUUUCUCUUUUGCUGUUUUGUCGUUAUAGUUUACUGAGACGAGAAAGAAAUAAUUGCUCGUUUGGAUACUCUCUGUAUUCACAUUUGACAAAAUAAAUAAAUAAUUUCUUUUUACUGUUUUGUUCCUUUUACUGUAUGAUAUUGAACAAAAUAAUUUUUUUCAGAUCGCUCAAUAGAAUUGCUUCAAAUCAGUUUUACCAGUUAUAAUUCAUCAGCUCCUACUCUUUGCGUUCAAUUCUCAAUCAAGAAACCCUCUCCUGACCUAGCUUUGCUCCCUUCUGCCAUCACCUCUCUGUAUACUCAUUGGAUCAAGAAACCCUUUUCUUGUUUCAAUUUUCUGAUCGCAACAACACUUUGAUUCUCAUCUAUUACACUGAUUUUUUCCUUGUUUUGCUCAAAUACAAUUUCUCUUCCUAAUUUAGUCCCGUUCCCUUUCACCGUCAUCUGUUUUUUCUUCGGCUUCUUCAUUGAUUAAAAAUUGUCCAGUCGUUUCCCCUGUUCUUUUUCUGUUUCUUUCACUUCAGAUCAAUCCAUCCUCCCACAACACCCCCCCCCCCAAAAAAAAAAAAAAGAAAAGAAAAAGUAUUGAAGGUGAUGGAAUCCAUUGUUACUGUCGUUUUAGAGGUUGUAAAAUGCUUGGCUCCUCCAGCACAACACCAACUUCGUUACUUGCGUUGCUCCAAUGACAACUUUGAGAAUCUCAAGGCUGAAAUCGAGAAGCUCAAGGAUAAAAGUAGGAGCAUUCAACGCAGAGUUUCAGAGGAUGAAAGAAAAGGAGAAAAGAUUGAAGAGGAGGUUGAGAAAUGGCUGGUUAAUGCGAACAAGAUCAUUGACCAUGCAGACAAAUUCAUUGACGACGAGGAGGCAACAAAUAAGCUAUGUCUCAAGGGUCUGUGCCCUAAUCUGAAGACCCGCUAUCAGCUUAGCAAGAAAGCAGAGGCAGAGGUGAAGGCACUUGUCAAAAUCCGAGAAGAAGCUGCAAGAUUUGAUGAUAGAAUUUCCUACCGUACCAUUCCGGAGGAGAUAUGGCUCAAGUCUCACAAAGGCUACGAGGCCUUCGAGUCAAGACUUUCUUCUUUGAAGGCCAUACAAAAUGCAUUGAUCGAUGUUAAUGUUAGUGUCGUUGGGGUGUACGGCAUGGGCGGCAUUGGAAAGACGACACUGGUGAAGAAGGUCGCCAGGCAAGCUAUGGAAGACAAGCUCUUUGAUAUGGUGGUCUUUUCAGAGGUUUCGCAAACUCCAGACAUAAAAAAGAUUCAACAGGAAAUUGCCGAGAAGUUGGGCCUGGAGUUGCACGAGGAAGUUGAAUCUAGAAGAGCAAGUAGACUAUUUGAGCGAUUGAGAAAUCACAAGAAGAUCCUUGUGGUUUUAGAUAACAUUUGGAAACACCUUGAUUUGGAGACAGUUGGAAUUCCUUUUGGAGAAGACCAUAAAGGCUGCAAACUACUGCUGACGGCAAGAGAUCGUAGUGUCCUUUUAAAAAUGAGUUCUAAAGACAACUUUUUGAUAAACAAUUUAAAUGAAGAAGAAGCCUGGAGAUUGUUUAAGAUGAUGGCCGGUGAUGAUGUUGAAAAUCGUGAGUUGAAAUCUACAGCAAUAGACGUCGCCAGGGCAUGUGGAGGUUUGCCCAUUGCCUUGACCACAGUAGCAAAGGCACUGAGAAGCAAGAGUCUGCAUGAAUGGAAGAAUUCCUUGCGAGAACUCCGAACGCCUUCAAUGGUGAACUUCGAAGGAGUAUCUGCAGAGACUUAUUCAAGUAUUGAGCUGAGUUUCAACCAUUUAAAAGGUGAGCAACUCAAGAAAAUUUUUCUCCUCUGUAGUCUAAUGGGUAACCGUAUUCAUACUUUGGACCUGUUUAAGUACUCCAUGGGUUUGGGUAUAUUUAAAGGAGUCAAUAAGAUGGAAGAUGCACGAGACAAAUUAUAUGCAUUGGUCCAUGAACUUAGAGACUCUUGUUUGUUGCUUGAGGGUGAUAGCAAUGAAGAAUUUUCAAUGCAUGAUGUUGUUCGCGAUGUCGCAAUAUCAAUUGCAUGCCGCCACCAACAUGUGUUUUCGGUGAGAAAUGAGGAUGUGUGGGACUGGCCAGAUGAGGAUGCACUUCGAAAAUGCAAUGCUGUCUCUUUAAGAAAUAAUAGUAAUCGUGAAUUUCCUGAAGGAUUAGAAUGCCCAAACCUUGAAUUUUUAUAUAUCUCUCUCAAAGAUUUUUCUCUUGAAAUCAAUAUUCCUGAGAACUUUUUUGUAGGGAUGAAAAAGCUUAGAGUUCUAGAUUUUACUCGAAUGCAGUUUUCUUCAUUUCCAUCUUCAAUUGAUCUUCUAGUAAAUCUUCACACACUAUGUCUGGAUCAAAGUGCGUUGGGGGACAUAGAAAUCAUUGGGAAGUUGAAGAAUCUAGAAGUCCUUAGCUUUCUGAUGUCUGAUAUUAUGCAGUUGCCAGAAGAACUAGGUCAAUUGAAUAAGUUGAGAUUGUUAGAUUUAACCAAUUGUUUCCAUCUAAAAGUUAUUGCGCCCAAUCUCAUAUCAAGCUUAACUCGAUUAGAAGAGCUGUAUAUAGGUAAUUGCUUCAUUGAAUGGGAGGUUGAAAGAGCCAAUAGCAAAAGAAGUAAUGCUAGCCUUGACGAAUUGAUGCAUUUACCUCGGCUAACCACUCUAGAAAUUGACGUUAAAAAUGACAUUAUUUUACCAGAGGGUUUUUUGGCCAGAAAGCUGGAAAGGUUCAAAAUAUCUAUUGGAAAUGAGUCAUUCAGGCAUCCCAUGAGUGUUGGACAAGAUUGGUUCCAAAGUCGGCUGCAGUUUUCGAUCAACAGUGAUCGCAAGAGUUUAAGAGCAUUGAAGCUCAAGCUUGAUUUUAUGGACAUUUGCUCCACGAAAUUGCAGGGCAUCAAUAACGUUGAAUGCUUAUGGUUGGACAAGCUGCAAGGCAUCGAGAAUGUUCUUUUCAAUUUGGACACGGAGGGCUUUUCACAAUUGAAGCUUCUCUGGGUUCAAAAUAAUCCUGACAUCUUUUGUAUCGUCGAUUCAAGGGAGAUGGUCGGUUGUGAUGCCUUUCCUCUUUUGCAGUCACUUAUCCUUCACAAUUUGAUCAACAUGGAGAGGUUAUGUAUUGAUCGGCUCAAAGUAGAGUCUUUCAACCAACUCAAAAACAUAGAAGCAUAUAAUUGUGAUAAGUUGAGCAAUAUCUUUUGGUUCUCUACUACAAAAUGCCUUCCAAGACUUGAGAGAAUUGCAGUUAUUAAUUGCAGCAAGAUGAAAGAAAUUUUUUCAAUUGGGGAAGAAGUUGAUAAUGCAAUUGAGAAGAUAGAGUUUGCUCAAUUAAGAUCUUUGAGUCUGGGGAAUCUUCCAGAGGUUACAAGUUUUUGCUGUGAGGUGGAGACUCCUUCAGCAUCACCGAACAGACAAGUGUCGCAAGAGGAAUCGACGGCUAUGUAUUGCUCCAGCGAAAUCACUUUGGAUAUUUCAACUCUACUUUUCAACGAGAAGGUGCGUAGGCUAACAUUUUCUUUAUUCUAUAAUGCGUUCUCUUUUGAUGUCAUACGUGGAAAAUAAUUAAAUCAUUUAAAGAAUGGAAAGAAAAUGGAAAAAAGGAUAAAAAGAAUCUCACGCGCUCACUAAUUGAGCUCUUAACAAGUAGUAUCAAUUAGAAUGCAUACUCAGCUGUCAGUUGGAAAUUGAUUCUGACUUGCAUUAAUUUGUAAUCAAAGAAGAAAAUUUCAACAAGUGCUUCCCAUAUGGAUAUUGGAUCUAACGAGAAAUUCUUAUUUUUUUAGGUUGCGUUGCCUAACUUGGAGGUUUUGGAGAUAUCUGAAAUUAAUGUCGACCAGAUUUGGCACUACAAUCAUCUUCCGGUCACGUUUCCUCGCUUUCAAAAUUUAACACGAUUGAUUGUGUGGCAUUGUCACAAAUUAAAAUACAUAUUUUCAGCGUCUAUGAUCAGAAGCCUUAAGCAGCUCCAACGCCUGGAAAUAUGCUCCUGUGAGGAUUUACAGGAGAUCAUUUCUGAAAACAGAACAGAUCAAGUGAUCCCUUAUUUUGUCUUUCCACAGCUCACCACUCUGAAACUCCAAGAUCUACCAAAACUUAGAUGUUUGUACCCUGGAAUGCAUUCUUCGGAAUGGCCUGCACUAGAAAUUCUUUUAGUGUAUGGUUGUGACAAAUUAAAGAUAUUCGCUGCAGAUUUAUCGCAGAAUAAUGAGAAUGAUCAACUUGGUAUUCCUGCACAACAGCUCCCAUUGCCGUUGGGAAAGGUAUGAAGCCAUUUUCUAGAUUUUUUAUCAAUAGCUUAUUUUUAACUUUGAAAAAUAUGACAAAGCAUCGAUAAAUUAAUGCUCAAUAAAUUGAAAACUUUUAUUAUACAAUAAUCUUUGCUAGUCUAGACUAAGGGAUCAAUAUGGUAGAUUCAUAAUUAUAUGAACUUUUUUAGGCAUAGCAUUUAUAAAAGAAUCCUCAGUCUUUCCAUUUAGAAGAACUUACAAAAUAAAUUAGUAAUUUACUAUUGUGCAAUAAAAUAAUUUUGAGCCAAUAUAAAUCAACUAUUUUUCCCUAAUUUCUUGCUUUACCUCUAAAAUUAACAUACAAAAUAAAUUUUAUCAAUAAUUCAAUUUUUUUUAAAAUAUAAUAUAAAACAAAUGCUAUAAAGUCACUGCGUGUGACCGUAGAUCAUCAAUUGACCUCAUUAGUUAUUAUGAUUAAUGAUGAUCAGAUCGUACCCAACUUGAAGGAACUAUCACUAAGUGGAAAAGAUGUGAAGACGAUUUUGCAGGCCGAUUUCCCACAACACCUUUUUGGCAGUCUUAGACAUCUACAGAUUGCUGGAGAUGACUCAGCUUGUUUUCCAAUCUGGAACGUACUUGAGAGAUUUCACAAUCUCGAAAUGCUCUCACUGCUUUUUUUUCCAUUCCACGAAGAGGUAUUUUCGAUGGAAGGAUGCUUAGAGAAACAUGUGGGGAAGUUGGCAAUGAUAAAAGAAUUAGAGCUGUACUGGCACUAUCAUCUGAAGCAGCUGUGCAAACAAGACUCCAAACUUGGCCCCAUUUUUCAGUAUCUUGAAAGUCUAGAAGUAUAUCAUUGUCAAAGUCUGUUAAUUCUAUUGCCAUCAUCAUCGGUAUCUUUUCAGAACCUAACAGCUCUGGUGGCUUUCGGUUGCAAGAAAUUGUUACACAUGGUAACAUCCUCCACAGCAAAAACUCUGGUGCGACUCGUAGCAAUAGAAAUAUAUGGAUGCAGAGCAAUGACAGAGGUGGUAAUAAAUGACAAAGACGGGGUUGAAAAAGAAGAGAUUGUUUUCCGCAAAUUGAAGAGGUUGGAACUGCGUGAUUUAGACAGCCUCACAAGUUUCUGCUCUGCCAAUUACACCUUUGAAUUCCCAUCUUUGAAAGAGUUGUGUGUGAUUGGUUGUCCCAAGAUGAAGAUUUUCACUACAGGAGAAUCAAUCACGCCUCCGGGAGUAAACGUCUCUUAUGGAGAGACAUCGAAUCAACAGCGUUGGGCUAAUAAUGAUCUAAACACAACCAUACAACAAUUACAUGCUGAAAAGGUACGGAUAUACAUGUUACUCUCUAUCUCCCAUGGAAAAAUUUUACAAAAUUUGCUUUUUUUAAAUAAAAUAUAGAUAAGAUGUUUGUUAUAAAGUAAAAGUUUAAAUUGAUGAAUAAGAAUCUUAUUUUCAGCUGUUGGCGGUGCCGUCGUCGUUCUCUACGCAUUACAACUAAUUUCAUAGGCUUCUUAUGACUUGGAGUUGCGAAUUUUUAGAAGAAAGUCUCAGCUGGUAAUUAAUUUUUAUUUCAUUUAUUUGAUCUCAUGGCUUGUUUCACAAUUUCAUCUGAAUUAUUUAGAAUGGGUCCCUCGGUUUACUGUUAAAUUUGCAAUGCAAUUUUAAUGAUUCUUUCAGACUUUUAUGGACAGAUUUUGCAUAAUUGAAUGUCUUUUUAGUCUAGUUUAAUUUGAGUCUUUUUUUUUUUUUUUUUUUUUGGGAGCUCCCCUCGUCUUCUAAAAUUUUAUAACUCCUUGCAUACGUUUUUAUGAUAAAAUUUCAUUAAAAGCCUUCGUAUUUUAUAAUUCCUUGAAAACGUGCAUACUUUUUCCAUUCUUUCUUUGCCAAUUAUUUAUUCUCAUCAUUGCUGUUCUUUUAUUUUAGUUUGUGUUCUGUUUGUUCAUUGGGUUUGCUUUUCUUCGCACCUAUAUUUCCUUGGAAAGUUAGAAGGCAAGGAAAGUACUUAGAAAAUGUUCUUCCCUAUGAACACAUAAUUAAAGAACAGCUGAAUAUCAUUCAUCGGAUUAAAAAAAUUAAAAAAAAAAACGUAAUCAGUGCAUUGUUCCUAUAACAAAUCCUUAAACCAUCAAAUGUUAGCUAUCAACAAGUAUAUUGUGGAAAUAUUGUUUGAAAAUAUUUCAUAAAAAAUCAAGUUUUCACAAACCCAAAAAGGGACUAAUUUGGUCUAGCAUAUACAUAAUAUUUUCUCCACUGUUCCUGUUAAAAUUUCUCUACUCUAUGAUCGCAGAAUGUCUGGAUACUGAUGACGAUUUAAGUCACUCUUCUUCUGUGCGCAAUUUGAAAUAAGGUCGUUUUUCUUUUUUCCUCUAUUCAAAGUUUACAUUCUGAUGGGUUCCCGUUUCCAUCUUCGUGAUCUUCUUGUGAUUCACUGCAUCGGGUCGCUACAUCUGUGAUAGUGUGAGUUGCAACCUCUUUGUAUGUAUUAAAAAAAUUUUAUUCUCAAUAUAUAUGACUCAAUGAGAGGUCUUUUAUUAUAUAUAUGUCAUGAAUUUCUAUUUUAUUUUGAGAUUUGAUGGUGUAUUAUUGUCUCAUUGCAAGGUCUUGUAAUCACUCUGAUUCUCAUUUGAGGAGGUUGGUCUCGUCUAUGUGUAUGUAUUUAUAUCCACAAGAAAUAUGAUAAAUGGUCUUGUCGUUUUCUCAUUAAAACAUCUAGUGCUUCAUAGGUUGGAGGGCUGCGAGGCAUCAGGGCCAGAUUUUUAAACUCAAAGUUCUUCGUGUCAUUUACCCAUUUGAUUAUCAAAUAGUCAUAAAAGCAUAUAAAUUCAAGUUAGUGUAUCAUUUUUACACAAUAUACUAAAACUAACACAAGAACCUCGCCGACAUUUUCAGUUGAAUAACUCAGACCCCCGUACUUCCUCGGGCUGACAGCCCAAAGUGAAAAUAUCUAAAAAAAAUAGUUGCAACAUUUACCCAUUUGAUUAUGAUUCAAAAAAAUACACAAAUGGAAAAAUUAUUGGGAUUGUUAAGAUAGUUAAAAUGGUUAGUUAUUGUUUCAGUUUAUUAAGCAAGAUAGUUAGAGUUACUGACGUGUUAGCUGAGCUGGCAUAAGUUAGUUAUUUUGUUAGCAGUUUGUUAGUGCACACUGCUCAACUCUCAGGUGCUUAGCUCGAGUAUUUUAGAUGUGAAAUUUAUUAUAUUAGAUAUUCGAGAUAUCUAUGAUGCUGAAUACAGGGCAUGUGUUGUCUAAAUUUAUUUUAUUUUGUUUGCUUCACAUCCUAUUUUCAAAACCUUUGAAGAAUGCUAAGAGAAGGAACAAAGGGCUAAAGAGUCAAAUGUAACAUUGCUAUUAAUUUGUUAAUUGCCAUCAUUUUUAAUUUUUGCCCUGCUUGUUCUGUUUACCCAUUUAUUUCAUUUGGUUUGCUCCACAUCUAUCUUUCCUAACUUAGGAAGGCAAGGAUUUUGAAAGCUUUGCUUGAUAAAAUUUGAAAGUUCUGAAGAAGAUUCAGGUCACUCGUGUGCAGCCUCUGGAAUAAGAGCUGUGUUACUGUUUAAAAGUUUUCAUGCUCUGGAAUAAAAUUUGCUUUACUGUGUUACUGGUCAACUUCAUUAUUCUACUAAUGCUUUACUUCAUCUUCAUUGUAUCACUACAUUGACAGCGUUGACAGUGUAACUAAAACCCUUGCGUUCACAAGCAAUUUUGAUCACAUUAAACUUUUAAGGAAUUAUCUUUUAUAGCCAUCUUCCAUAUUAUUAGGAGGAGUCGUUUUCACUAUUUUUAAGAAAUUUUGAUCACAUUAAACUUUUGAUCUGAGUUCAUAACAAAAAUCAAAACGGUGCAUGACAUCAAGAUUAUGAUGAAUCAAAUUGAACUCCCAAUACGUUAGUUCAUAAAAAAUGCUUUUCUUCUUCCAAGUAAUCUUAUCAUUUCUUUCAUUUUAUUCAUUCUCCUCUUUUCUCCUCUUUUCAAGUCUUCAAUCUUAUACUCAGUAAGUACAUUACUGAACUGCUUUUUCACCUCAGCUCCAGACAACCGAGAAGGUGCUUGUCCCCACUCUCUAGUUUUAUCAGAUGGCACUAUAUUUUCGGAACCUAUGAUUUGUUGGUAAAAAUCGACGGUGACCCACGUGACAAUUUUCUACUAUGUAUCAACCAAUUAGAUCUAGUGUUUUGUUGGCAAACAAGAAAUGCUUAUUUACCUUUAAUACUCCACCCAAACAAGUUGGCAUAUGCUAGAAAGUCGGAGAUAGUCCAUAACAAUGCUGCGUGUGACUUGAACAUUUGAUUACGUGAUGCAUUAUGCACCAUUCCAACCAUACUAGCAUCACUACCCGAGUCAUGACUAACCUGUUUCUUAGUUAGAUUUCAAAGAUGAAGAUGGCUCACCCUCCAAUAUCCAGUUUUAAUACUUUAACCAAUAGCCAUUUAUAAUGAUAUGGUCUCUUGCCACUUUCCUUAUAAUGAAAUAUCGAUAUUACAACACCUCUUAGAAGGACAAUAAAUUCUUUUAUCACCAACAACAUUCUCAAAUGCAAAAUCUAUAAAUUUUUUGACCCCCAUCAGUAUAUGAAUUGGAUAUCUAUUUGGCAAACCAACCCAACUCUGGUCCAUGACUAUCUCCUUUUAUUGCACUAGAAAAAUUAGUUAAAUAAAUCACUUUAAUUCUUCAUUUCUACUACUAAACAAGAUAUUUUCAUGUGUGCGCAGUUUCGCAAUAUAAUAAAAAAAAUUAUUAUACAAUUUUAUGGUUUUAUAUAUAUGGAAGCAAGCAAAGCCACAAGAAUCAGAGAAAAAGAUGUGAAAAUUAAAGUAUAUAUACAAUAAUAAUUAAUCUAAAAAACAGUUUGCAAUACCUUCUGUAAAGAAAUAUCCUCACCACAGCUGAGAACUUCACUUGGCUAUCAAUUACAGAUAUAUAAAGCCUGUUACCUAGAAACAAAAAAUUAGGUCAGCCAGCUGAAACAUAUUUAUAAACCAACAUUGGAGAUAGUACUCCAUUUAUAAAAAAAAUUACAAGACUCAAAACCAAGUCGACUCAGCAAAAUCAUAACCGAUUACAUUCAUCCCACUCAGCUCCUCCAAUAUAUCCAACAUUCCCUUCAUAUUUACAAAAGGUAAGUGGUCCUAUAUAUCCCACUCAAGAAUGCAUAAGUUUCUUCAAUCUUAAGUAUCUAAAGUUUUCCUCUACGUUUAUAGAAACUUCGGAAGCAUCUCCCUAUAGUUCUUCAAGUACACGACAUAGAUAUAUGAGUGUUUAUGUGUUAUGCCAAAACAACACAUGACACCCAUUUGUCUAGUAUGCACCCAGAGAACAUGAGGAGCAGCUGCUGAAAAACCCAUUUUUACGUGGGAAAAAAAUUUCAG
rnacentral:lncRNA from 1 species